rnacentral:lncRNA from 1 species
AAGCAUGAGGUCGACAUAGACGACUCCUUCCCCGAUGAACAGGUGUUGGCAAUAUCUCUCAAACGUACGCCAUGGUAUACGGAUUUUGCAAAUUACAUUGUGUGUGGGCUGAUGCCGGAUGAGUUGACCUUUUACCAACCGAAGAGGUUCAUGUUCGAUGUUAAAAAGUACUUUUGGGAUGAACCAUACUUGUUUUGAGAGUGUGCUCACCAUGUUAUUAGAAGGUGUGUUCCGAAAGAAGAAGCGGUAGAAAUUCUCCAUGCUUGUCAUACAUCUCCAGUGGGAGGUCACCAUGGUGGUAUUCGCACCGCCGCUAAAGUUCUCCAGAGUGGAUAUUACUGGACGUCCCUUUACAAGGAUUCAGAUGAGUUUGCGAAGAAAUGCUCUCAAUGUCAGCAGUAAGGCGGAGUGUCUAGAAGACACAAAUUACCUCUCACUCAUAUUUUAGAGGUCGAGCUAUUCGAUGUAUGAGGGAUCAAUUUCAUGGGCCCAUUUGUGAGCUCAUUUGAAAAUAAAUAUAUCUUGGUGGCUGUAGAUUAUGUUUCCAAAUGCGUGAAAGCCAUCGCACUUCCAAAUAACGAAGGAAAAUGUGUUGUCCAAUUUCUGAAACGCUACAUCUUCGCAAGAUUUGGCACUCUGAGGGCAAUCAUUAGCGAUGGGGGGUCCCACUUUUGCAAUAGGUGGUUUUCAAUGGCACUGAGCAAAUAUGGUAUGAAACACAAAGUAGCAACCCCAUAUCAUCCCCAAACAAGUGGCCAAGUCGAAGUGUCAAAUCGGGAAAUCAAAAGCAUCUUGGCAAAGACAGUAAAUGUCAACAAAACUGACUGGUCUAGGAAACUCGAUGAUGCACUAUAGGCAUAUCGGACCGCGUACAAAACACCUAUCGGUAUGUCUCCAUAUCAGUUGGUUUAUGGUAAGGCUUGUCAUUUACCCGCCGAGUUACAACAAAAAGCAUUGUGGGCAUUGAAAGCUUUAAAUUUGGACUGGUCAAAAACUUCAAGGGAGAGGGUAGAGCAGCUGAAUGAACUAGAUGAAUUUAAAAUCAGAUCGUACGAAAGUUCAGCCUUCUACAAAGAGAAGAUCAAGAAGUGGCAUGACACUCAGAUACUCAAGCAGGACUUCAAGGUAGGAUAUUGGGUUUUGUUAUACAACUCUCGACUUAAAUUCUUUCUCGGAAAGCUCAAAUCCAAAUAGUCUGGACCUUUUAGAGUAACGUGAGUGUUCACCAAUAGUUCCAUAGAAGUUGAAGAUCAGGAAGGACCUCCAUUUAAAGUGAACGGUCAACAUCUGAAAUUAUAUUUGGGGGAUUGUCAAGAGAUAUGUUUUGUUGAAGUGGUGUAUUUGGAAGACGCCUGAAGGCGCUGCUGCGUCGUGCCGCGACGUUAACUAAGGCGUUGUUUGGAAGACAACCCAAAACCCUUUAUUUCUUUAUGUUACUUUGAUAAAAUAAUGGUGUGUUGAUUGUGCAGAUGGAAGUGUGGAGAGUGAACAACUAGUGCAAAUUGGCGAGCAACAGGUCUAAUCAGCGAAUCACCAAAUGAUUCAGCGACUCUGAACUAGACCGCCGUUAGACUCAAGAUCAUCUUGCAUUGGAGUCUGUAAAACUCGGCGAGCACAUGAAAUUAUUGGCGAACCGCCGAUCGUGUUGGCGAUCUCGACAGAGACCGCCGUUUGGACUCCCACACAACAUGGAGGUUCUGUAAACUUUGGUGGGGUAAAUGACUAUUUGGCGUUACGCCGAAUAGAUCAGCGAUCGGGACUAAUGUCGCCGAACGGGUGAAAAAUGGACGGUUUUGCAAGCCAAAGGUUUAAAAGUUUCAACUUCAUUCCAUUUCCCUCACUUUUUGUCUUCCCAAACUCACACCCGCAUGCUAGCUCCUAUAUUUUUGCAUUUCUAGAGUAUUUUUAGUGUCGAAUUGUGCUACGAGUUGGAUCACAUUGCUUCCUAGAAUCUCAAUAUCCAUUUGAUUGGCAUAAAAUGUUGGUAGUUCAAACUCCACGUUCCUUUCCUUGAUUGUUGUACUCAAAUGAAAUGGCAUUACUUUGAUGAUGUGUGCUGGGACUAUCUGGUAGGAUUUGAAUAUUUGUUUACCUGUUAGGUUCGCAAAUUUCGCCCGUACUAAGUUAAAUAGUUAAUUCCUGAAAGUUACACUUUAAAUUGGAUGAAAAUCAUGGGUUGUGCAUGAUUGUCACUGGGUUUAAGCCUAAUUUGAGUUGUACAUGCCUUAAUUUUGUUUUCGAGGGUUGCGGUGGUGAAGUCGAGAAGUUAGGUUGGAAAUAGGCACGUUGGGACGUUAGGUGAGUUGGUCGAGCUCUCUAAACCACUCGACGAUUCGCCUAUUGACCCCAUCUCGCCUUUAAUUUCAUGUUACUUGUGAUAUGGGUCCUGUAACUUUCGGCGAGAAACCUUUGAUCGCAAAAAGCAUUCGGCGACUCGCCGAAAGACUUCUUUUUCGCCCUUUGUCUGCACCUUUGUAUUUUCUAUGCACUGCACUCGGUGAACCGCCGAAGUAGCUGCGCGCUUCGCCAACUAGUUCAGCGAAGUGAUUUUGCAAUUUAACUGCCUUGCUUUUGUCUGAAUACUUUCUAACUUUUUCUCGAAGCUUUGCAGAAAUGGCUAAACCUAAAGUAGCUGGAAGAGAUAUGCCACCCCGACAAACAAGAGCGAAAAAUUUCAGGAAAAAUACAAAGGCAACAAAUCCUCCCAAAAAUGGAUAAUGAGGACAAGAAGCCCAGUGCCAACAAGAGAACAAAUCCCCGAGACCCCACUAUUCCCUCAUGGAGACGUGAAUUCUUCACAGCUAUCCACUCUUUUCUGGCAGCUCAUGACUUGGACAAUCUUAGUAAGUCAGCUGCCGCAUAAUCUUCUGAAGAAGCUCUGGGGGCCAUUAUCAAGUUCAAGGCUGACACAUCGGGAACUGAUGCCCAGACAAACGGAGCGACUGUGUAGACAAGAUUUUUUUGUACCUCCCUCUCUGUCCUUCUCUAUUCUAAAGUCUGGAUAUUCUGUUAUUUGCAUUUGAGAACAAAUGGUGGGGUGAGGCCCACACCUUUUGUGUGCUACUUUUGUUUGUGUUUUGUGUAUGUAUUUGGGCUGUUCUGUUUAACAUUGUGUUAAAUACUGCUUUCUAUGGAUGUUUGAGCUUAUGGCUCAUUUUAUUUUAAAUUGCAAAAUGAUUUGGACCCUUCCAAAUUUUUUUGAAUUUUUCACACAUUUUCACCACCAUUUAUAUGCUCUUGAAUGUGGCUGUUAUUUUGCAAAAAAUUGAGUCUCGGUUCCAAUCAAUACCGGUGACUUGAAUAGUGCUCACAAUCGAACGAACGUGAAUACGCAGCUACGAUGAGGCCAAAUGAAGUUGCAUAAACAAUAUGUGAAUUCUUUGCAUCUCGUUUUGACUAGCCUAGUAUCGAAUCGAGUCUCUUGUAAUGACCGUUGCACACUAGCGAAAGUGUGUAGUCUUGUUUGACUAUAAUGUCGAUGCCUAUUGUGAUGAGCUUACCUGUGAACUAUGCAUACAUUAUAGAUCCUAGAAUUUGCCCUGUUGGUCUGGUCAACUGAGUUAUGCUAUCUCUUGAUAUGAUCUUAGGCAACUUCUACGAAUGUGAGCCAAUUUGAUAGCCAAUGUGAGCCAAUUUGACAUAUACCUCCUUUGUGGCAUAUGUCAAAUUGGCUCACACUCAUAGAAGUUGCCUAAGAUCAUAUCUAGAGAUAGCAUCACUCAGUUGACCGGACCAACAGGGAAAAUUCUAGGAUCUAUAAUGCAUAGUUCACAGGUAAGCUCAUCACAAUAGGCAUCGACACUAUAGUCAAACAAGAGUCAUUACAAGAGACUCGAUUCGAUACUAGGCUAGUCAAAACGAGAUGCAAAGAGUUCACAUAUUGUCUAUGCAACUUCAUUUGGCCUCAUCGUAGCUACGCAUUCAUGUUCGUUCGAUUGAGAGCACUAUUCAAGUCAUCGAUAUUGAUUGUAACCGAGACUCAAAUUUUUGCAAAAGAACAUCCACAUUCAAGAGCAUAUAAAGGGUGGCGAAAAUGUGUGAAAAAUUCAAAAAAAUUCGGAAGGGUCCAAAUCAUUUUGCAAUUUAAAAUAAAAGGAGCCAUAAGCUCAAACAUCCAUAGAAAGCAGUAUUUAACACAAUUUUAAAUAGAACAUCCCAAAUACGUACACAAAACACAAACAAAAGUAGCACACAAAAGGUGUGGCCCCACCACAAAUAAAAUAAAUUUGUCCUCAAAUGCAAAUAACACAGAAUCCGAAUGAAAAAGGGAGGUAAAGAGGGGAUCCUGUCUAAGUAGUCGCUCCAUCUGUCUGGGCAUCAGUGCCCGGAGUGACCCCAGAAGGACCAUCUUCACUGGAUCCAGCAGUAGGAGCCUUUGCCAAGGAAGCCUACACAACAACAUCUACUAUGAUUUCUUCAGUCUCGGCUAUGUCGUCUGCUGCAGCUUCCUCAAACAUCUCUUCGUCAGUCUCUGCCUCUGAUUCAGGAUAAGUUGUAUGCUCCAUUCCAUCCCCAAGUCCUGUGGUGGUCUGAGGUAUCUCAGGCACGUCUAGAAUCUCCACUGUUCCAAAGAUCAUGGACACAUUGGUGGACUUCAGGUGGUCUACAUAUUUUCGCAGCUUAGCAAUGGUAGCUUUUAAAGCCGUCACCUCCUUUGUGGGACUUUGGUUGUUCUCACACAUCGCUUUCCUGGCCACUAGGGCAUCAAUGGUAGUGCUCAGAGGUGUCACAACAUCAGUUAGGGCAACCUGGAUCAUGCCUGGAACAGAGGCCUCUAAACUGGCAGCUCGACAAUCAGCAAAAAGAGCCAGUUGUCCCAUCCUGAGUAGGGAAGCCUGGGUGAGUGGAGGUCGAGAAACAACAACAAUAGUAGUGGGUCUGGGAGACCGUGCAGCAGCAGAAGAACCUGGAGUAUCAGUGGGAGUAGCAGUGGCAAUGAAUAUACUUGAAGGCGCAGGGGCCGGAGUAGGCAGAGAUGCCUCUGCAGGGGAUGAUUCUGUGUUUACUAACUCCACCGAUGUUGCCUUCUUCCUUUAUUCUUGAUCCUUAAGGUACUCCGCUUCGAUCCUCCGAAUAUCAGUAGAGGCUGUGAGCAUCACUUCCAUAUCCUUCUUGGCAUCUCGAGGUACCCGAGCUUAUUUGCAUAAUUCUGUGAUCAAUACUGGGAAUGGAAAUGAGGUCUGGCUCUGCCUUGCAGACAUGAGUAUUUCUGAAGCAAUGAUUGUACCCAUGUUUAUCCGAGUUUUCUCUAUGAUGCAACCUAGGCAAGCUGCUUUGGCAAGGCGAAGGAUCGAUUCAUUCUGGGACAGCAUAAUGUGAUGUUGAUAAAACUGAACUAGAUCCUUGUGGUUAUGUUUAGUUCUUUCUUUUCAAUCGGAACUCUUUUCGUCAACCACUUUGGAGUAUCGUCUGAAAUUAGUGAGGCGAACCACUUUUUCAUCUCGUCUAGAUUCUUUGUUCUGAUCAGGUGCUGCCAGUGAUCCCUAGUAUUCAUGGACAUGCCCAAGACUGCGUUGAUUGCCUCACUAUCACACUUCACCCUCUUUCCUCUAACUACCACAAAGUCCAGUUCCUUAAAGGUUGCUGCUAGCUACUUUUUCUAGGGUAUUAGUGCACUGUAUGCACUGUAGAACUAUCUUACCCAGCUUGGAAUAUAAGGGCCACGGGGUUUGGUGAAGAUUUGGAACUUGUGGUAUCUCAGGCAUUCCAAUAUGUCUGGGUGCCUGUCUAUAACCCCGUCUAUGGAUAGACGCUUUUCUUCCAGAAUUGCCCUCAGCCCCUCAGCCUUUACUCGAUUCAUUAACUUAAGCAGAGGACCUUGUACUAGAGACGUUAAUACCAUUGCUUGUUCUGGAACUGGAGGUGUAGUAGUGCUAGGUUGGGGAGUCCUGACCCUGGAUGGAUUAUUCAGCUCACUCAGCCCUCUGUGCUAUUAACAGAUCAUCCUCAUCACAACCCACACCUUCGCUUUCAGAUUGGUUGGGAUCAUUUCUAUAAAAUCCAUCACUGUCAGUGCUUGCAUCUGAUAAGUCAAGGGUCUUGUCUUUGCCCUUGCCUUUCCCACCCGUUGUUGAAAGUUCAGCAACUUUGCUUCUGGAUGCAAUUGUAUCCUCGUUGAUUGUAAUCCCUUUUGUUUUACCUUGUGGUGGCCUGCCUCUUCCUGCAACCUUCGAUCUAGCCAUUUCUGCAAAGAAUUAGGAAGAAGUUAAAACAACUAAAUUAAAUUCAUAGGGACACAAUUGCAGAAAAACUCGCCGAAUAGAUCGGCGAUUCGCCAAGUUGCUUUGGCGAGCAGGGUUUUAUCCGCCGAAAGAUACAGUGUGAAAAGGUUCAGGGGUACAGACAAAUGGCAAUCAAGGAGACUUUCGGCGAGUUGCUGAAUGCUUUUGGCGAUCAAUGAUUUCUCGCCGAAAGUUACAGAAUCCAUAUCACAAGUAGCAUGAAAUUAAAGGCGAGAUGGGGUCAUUAGGCGAACCACCGAGUGGUUUAGCGAGUUCGACCCAUCUCGCCUAACGUCCCAACGUGCCUAUUUCCAACCUAUUUUCUCGACUUCAACCCCGCAACCCUUGAAAACAAAAUUAAACUAUGCACUAGUAAAAUUAAGCUCAGACCCAUAACACUUAAUCAUGAUAAACAUCAUGCACGCACAACCCCACAAAAUUUAACUCAUUUCUACCCGCAACAAAAAGAGAGUUUAAAAAUCAAGAUAAAAUGGGCAAGAUUAAUAGAUUGAACUCGGCAUUUCGAUAAUCUAAAUCUAUUAUAGAGGCCCAACACACGUCAAUUCAAUAAGCCCAAUUGCAUAAGAGAACAAAUGUUUCAAUGUAGUCUCGGGAUUUGGGAAAACCAACUUUUUAUGUUGAUCGAUGUACUUUGAAAUUCUAGGAGGCAAUGUAAUCCCAAGUCCGAACACCAAUCGACGACUAAAAUACCAGGAAUGCAAAGAUAAUGAAAAUUACUUACUAGGUGCACAUUUGCGAAAGUUAAAAUCGAGUGGAAAAUGAAAAGUUGUCAAACUUUGCAAUCAUUGGCCUUUAAAACUGUCCAUUUGUUGCCCAUUCGGCGACAUUAGUCACGAUCCCCGAACUACUCGGCAUGAUGCCGAGUAGUCACCUUCCUCAUCGAGUUUUACAGAUUCCAAAGUAAAUUGGUCUUGAGUCUAACGGUGGUCUAGUUCGGGGUCGCCGAACCCUUUGGUGAUUCGCGGAAUGGACCUAUAGAUUGCCAAUCUACACUUGUCGAUCACUCUCCACAUUUCAACCUGAAAAAUCAAUACACCAUUAUUUCUAUAAUAAAACAAAGCAUUUAAAACCUUGGGUUGCCUCCUAAGAAGUGCCUUAGUUAACGUCGUGGGAUGACACACGUCAACACUCAAACUCUAUUUUUGGGGUUAGCCAUAGUAUCACUAGGCAACCCCCUGUUUUGUUGGAAUUGGAGAUGGGGAAAUACAUGUCCCAAAAGGUUCUCAAGCAGCUGGACGGCUCUGGAAUGAGACCAAAUCAUUCGCUUCAUCCCUUCAAUGUUUUCCUUCAUUUCUUCCAGCUCUCUAUCUUGCUCAGUUACCUUGUGGAAAAUGAUUGAGAGUAUUCCCUCAAGGUGUUUAACCUCAUUGUCCUUGGGACUUCGUCGCUCAUGAGGAGGGAUGUAUUUAUCCUUCCUCUUGCACUGGACUUCGGUCUUCAUCAUCUUUUUGGCAAGCUCAUCCAACUUAAUCAUCAGUGUGGCCAACAUGAAAUACUUUUCUACUUCUUAGCUCAUUUUAGCUAUGUUGUCGAGCAGUUGUAUUGCCCUCGCAUAUCGCUAUUUUGCAAUACCACCCGGAAUGAGUUGGUCGACCAACCUCUUGUUUUCGGGGCCAAGACUUCUGUAGAGAAGUCAAGAAAGAUUAUGUUGGGAAUGACAUGAAUUGGCAUUGCAUGAUCAGUUCUUUAAACCUUUUCCCAUGCCUUGUGGACCCUUUCACCCUCCAAUUGCUUAAAGGUUAGGAUACGAUCCCGAAUCAUCAUUACCUCUAAUAGAGGAAACUCCAUUAGCUAGCAUGUGUUGAUUGAUAUAUUCACCUCCUCUUCUUUUAAAGCUCAAACAAGCAAAAUACAAAACUAAAAAUUAGGUAAGUAAACUACAACUAAGAAGAACAAAAUUUAUACUAAACUAAGAAUUAUCAAAUAACACCACUCCCCAGCAGCGGCGCCAUUUUGAUGUUUGCGUAAUCAAGACACAACUUUCGAUGCAAGUGUCUACGAUCGUACAAUAGUUUAGUAACCCAACCAAGGGUUGGGAUCGUUCCCAAGAGAGUGGUUUUGAUAAUUAAUAGAAAAAUAAAACUUAGUUCUAACUAGUCGUAGCUAAAGACAUUAACGAUUAAAAACAUUGUAAAUUAAAAGGGGGACACAAGAGUGUCAAUUAACAAUGGGGGUUUUUGUCGCAAGUAAGUAAAAAUAGCAAAAAAAAAACAAGGGUUCCUAAAUAAUAAUAGGGGAUCCUUGGGAUGUGACGGGAAUAAGAAUUAAGAUAAAUUAUUGGGUAUAUGCUUUCGAUAGAAGAUUCAUAGAGUAAUUGUGACUAGGCUAGACUUUAAGGGGGAUAAGCUCUCUCUCGAGCAACUUACCCCGUGUCAAAUGCGUUCCUCUCGGACACCAACUUGCCGCAUGAAGACCAGGUUACAGCUUAACCCACUCACUCUCUCGAGCUGAAUGUGUGGACAUGGGACUAGGGUUUGCUCUCUCGAGCUGAACCUCAUGUCGACCCACUCGUACUGGCCAUCAAUUUAGUAGUCUUAAUUUUACGACCACUCUCUCGAGCAAGCCGAAAACACUUAAAUAAACUUGUAUUUGCAACUACAAAUUCAUUAAAUUCAUCCACCACUACUAAACGAAAUCACAAUUAAACUAUGAUUAAACUAUCAGCAAGCAAGACCCAACAAUUAUCUUAACCCAUAUUCGCUAAAUCACACCCCAAGAAUUGGGGGUUUUAGCCACACAUGUAUAAGAGAUAGAAAUUUAUACCAAAUUGAGCUUGCAUUCAACUGGGUAUGGAGAUUUAAGUCUUGAUAUAGGCUAAAAUUGAAGAAUCCAAGAGACCCAAAUCCAAAUCUUGAAGAUGAAACCAUUUGGAUCUUCAAGUCUUCAAAACCUUCUCAACAAGAGAAUAAAAAUAUCAAAAAAUACUAUUCUAUAUGAAAAUUAUAAUAAUUGUUCGACUCUUAAAACUACAACUCUAACUAGUAUUUAUAGUUUUUAUAGAUUUGUGUUGCAGCGGAUCAUUCGGCGUCGUUAGUCGAAAUCGCCGAUCAACUCGGUGAUUCGCCUUUUGGUGUAGUUCACCACCGUCUUGCACCAGCCUUCAACAUCGUCGUGUUCUAGGUCAUUGGGCGACAUGGUACUGCUUCGCAGAACUUCUCGGCGAUGCGCCGACUGCUUCCUUUUUUCUGCAGACUUAAUCCUUUCCUUUAGGGCUCAGCACACUGGAACAAAAGGUGAAGUAAGACCCUUCGGCGACUCGCCGAGUUGACUCGGCGAUCCUCAGGCCUUCAUUUCUUUGUUCUUUUCAGCCUUUUCGUUCCUUUUUGCGACGUAGUGUCCAUGCUUUCCUUCAAACUUCAAAUACCUGAAACUUAAAGGUUUUCAUUAGAUAUUGAGAUAAAAUAAGCAUUUGAGGACACAAUUUCUAUGAAAUAUAACCCUAAAUGAGUCUAAUUUGUGGACUCAUCAGUGGAAUAGACAUGCCACCCCCAAAAUUUGCAUCACAAUCACUCGCGAGAUUGUCACUAUUGGCUUUCUUAGCAACAAACUCCGGCUUAUUAACAUUAGUUUCCAUCAGUGAUCCAUUAUCGACAAUCACCUUGUUAGAUCCAUAAUCUUCAUUGGAAGCAUCAUUAUUCAAUGCCAUACCACUUUGGGUCACAAUAGCCAAUACAUGAGCAUCAUUCUUCGAGUUAGCAAUUGUAUCACUUGGCAACCCUCCCUUUGUUCUAGGAUUUAAAUAAGUUGAGAUUUGACUCAUUUGUGUCUCAAGUUUCUUUAUGGAGACCGAGUGUGAGGUGACAGUUUGAGUCAAAGAAGAGAAAUUAGUUUUCAUCUCUUUCAGCACCUUGUCAGAAUCUUCUAUUUUGUUGAGUAUCCUCCCGAACAUAUCUUUAGUCCAAAAACUUUCCAGAUCUUCUUAUUGUUCCUUUGUCGUGGGUCGGUCAUGCACUGGCACAUAACAAUCUCUUUCCCCUUCACAAUAUCUCCAAUUUAUGCCCCUAUCAUGCUAAUCCCUUUCUGUAUAUCUCCAAAUGCCUCCAUGUUUCUUGUUCCAAAAUUGAUUUUUGCCCGACUUUUGAUAGCUCAGACGAGAACCCCCACUUGGUUGCCCAAGAAUUGAAACUCUUCAUUAUACAUUGUCUCAAACAUAUCAUCUUCUGAACUCAUCCCACUACUUGCUUUCAUUACAUUUAUCGCUGUGAAUUUACCACUCAUGAUAUGCUUUGAUAGUAAAUCAAGUUGGGUCAUUAUUUUUGUCAUAUUCUUGUCACGCUCUUGGUUUUUCUCCAUCUUCUCCUUAGUCAUACAAAAAGAGAUGGGGAAGACUUGAUCUUUCCUAGUAUGCAGGGAUCAAUUGAUCCUUAUCAUCUCAUCUAGCAAAGCUGAAGCUACUAUGAAUGGUUGCCGCAUGACUCCGCCACACACAAGUUAGUCAGUGGUUCCUUUAUUCACUGUAUCAAGGCUUCAAUAGAAGAAUUGCAAGAAAACGUUAUCAAGGAAACCAUGAUUUGGACAUUGAAUAAACUUUUUUUUGGAACCUCUGCCAAGUCUCAUGAAUUGGCUCACCAUCAAUACAUUUGAAAUUUUGAAUGUCAUUUCGAAGCUUCAACAUCUUUGAUGGGAAAAAAUCUCUCUAGAAAUGUUACAGUUAGUUCCUCCCAGGAUGUAAUUGAAUGUAACGACCCGAGAGCACCCCCUAGUCAUUACCGGCGUAUUCGACCUCUCGGAGGUGUUAUACAAGCCCUUAGCAUUCGUCAUAGUAUUUAUCAUAGAAAAAUAGCCGAAAAUUUAAAACUUCUUCAUAAUAUAACACAAGACAUAAAAGUCACCUCAUUAAACCUUUAAUACAAAAAUUGGAGUACUACGUCUCAAGGUAGCCAUCUUAAAACAUGACUACAACACAAGAGGGACACAUCCCUUACAAUACAAAAGAAACUACUAUCUAGUACAUAGAACUUAAGGAAACUCUUUAACAUAAAGGUCCUUGAAUCUUUAAGGACACACCCGAACUUGGGAAUAGUAAGCCAAGCUCAUCNNNNNNNNNNNNNNNNNNNNNNNNNNNNNNNNNNNNNNNNNNNNNNNNNNNNNNNNNNNNNNNNNNNNNNNNNNNNNNNNNNNNNNNNNNNNNNNNNNNNNNNNNNNNNNNNNNNNNNNNNNNNNNNNNNNNNNNNNNNNNNNNNNNNNNNNNNNNNNNNNNNNNNNNNNNNNNNNNNNNNNNNNNNNNNNNNNNNNNNNNNNNNNNNNNNNNNNNNNNNNNNNNNNNNNNNNNNNNNNNNNNNNNNNNNNNNNNNNNNNNNNNNNNNNNNNNNNNNNNNNNNNNNNNNNNNNNNNNNNNNNNNNNNNNNNNNNNNNNNNNNNNNNNNNNNNNNNNNNNNNNNNNNNNNNNNNNNNNNNNNNNNNNNNNNNNNNNNNNNNNNNNNNNNNNNNNNNNNNNNNNNNNNNNNNNNNNNNNNNNNNNNNNNNNNNNNNNNNNNNNNNNNNNNNNNNNNNNNNNNNNNNNNNNNNNNNNNNNNNNNNNNNNNNNNNNNNNNNNNNNNNNNNNNNNNNNNNNNNNNNNNNNNNNNNNNNNNNNNNNNNNNNNNNNNNNNNNNNNNNNNNNNNNNNNNNNNNNNNNNNNNNNNNNNNNNNNNNNNNNNNNNNNNNNNNNNNNNNNNNNNNNNNNNNNNNNNNNNNNNNNNNNNNNNNNNNNNNNNNNNNNNNNNNNNNNNNNNNNNNNNNNNNNNNNNNNNNNNNNNNNNNNNNNNNNNNNNNNNNNNNNNNNNNNNNNNNNNNNNNNNNNNNNNNNNNNNNNNNNNNNNNNNNNNNNNNNNNNNNNNNNNNNNNNNNNNNNNNNNNNNNNNNNNNNNNNNNNNNNNNNNNNNNNNNNNNNNNNNNNNNNNNNNNNNNNNNNNNNNNNNNNNNNNNNNNNNNNNNNNNNNNNNNNNNNNNNNNNNNNNNNNNNNNNNNNNNNNNNNNNNNNNNNNNNNNNNNNNNNNNNNNNNNNNNNNNNNNNNNNNNNNNNNNNNNNNNNNNNNNNNNNNNNNNNNNNNNNNNNNNNNNNNNNNNNNNNNNNNNNNNNNNNNNNNNNNNNNNNNNNNNNNNNNNNNNNNNNNNNNNNNNNNNNNNNNNNNNNNNNNNNNNNNNNNNNNNNNNNNNNNNNNNNNNNNNNNNNNNNNNNNNNNNNNNNNNNNNNNNNNNNNNNNNNNNNNNNNNNNNNNNNNNNNNNNNNNNNNNNNNNNNNNNNNNNNNNNNNNNNNNNNNNNNNNNNNNNNNNNNNNNNNNNNNNNNNNNNNNNNNNNNNNNNNNNNNNNNNNNNNNNNNNNNNNNNNNNNNNNNNNNNNNNNNNNNNNNNNNNNNNNNNNNNNNNNNNNNNNNNNNNNNNNNNNNNNNNNNNNNNNNNNNNNNNNNNNNNNNNNNNNNNNNNNNNNNNNNNNNNNNNNNNNNNNNNNNNNNNNNNNNNNNNNNNNNNNNNNNNNNNNNNNNNNNNNNNNNNNNNNNNNNNNNNNNNNNNNNNNNNNNNNNNNNNNNNNNNNNNNNNNNNNNNNNNNNNNNNNNNNNNNNNNNNNNNNNNNNNNNNNNNNNNNNNNNNNNNNNNNNNNNNNNNNNNNNNNNNNNNNNNNNNNNNNNNNNNNNNNNNNNNNNNNNNNNNNNNNNNNNNNNNNNNNNNNNNNNNNNNNNNNNNNNNNNNNNNNNNNNNNNNNNNNNNNNNNNNNNNNNNNNNNNNNNNNNNNNNNNNNNNNNNNNNNNNNNNNNNNNNNNNNNNNNNNNNNNNNNNNNNNNNNNNNNNNNNNNNNNNNNNNNNNNNNNNNNNNNNNNNNNNNNNNNNNNNNNNNNNNNNNNNNNNNNNNNNNNNNNNNNNNNNNNNNNNNNNNNNNNNNNNNNNNNNNNNNNNNNNNNNNNNNNNNNNNNNNNNNNNNNNNNNNNNNNNNNNNNNNNNNNNNNNNNNNNNNNNNNNNNNNNNNNNNNNNNNNNNNNNNNNNNNNNNNNNNNNNNNNNNNNNNNNNNNNNNNNNNNNNNNNNNNNNNNNNNNNNNNNNNNNNNNNNNNNNNNNNNNNNNNNNNNNNNNNNNNNNNNNNNNNNNNNNNNNNNNNNNNNNNNNNNNNNNNNNNNNNNNNNNNNNNNNNNNNNNNNNNNNNNNNNNNNNNNNNNNNNNNNNNNNNNNNNNNNNNNNNNNNNNNNNNNNNNNNNNNNNNNNNNNNNNNNNNNNNNNNNNNNNNNNNNNNNNNNNNNNNNNNNNNNNNNNNNNNNNNNNNNNNNNNNNNNNNNNNNNNNNNNNNNNNNNNNNNNNNNNNNNNNNNNNNNNNNNNNNNNNNNNNNNNNNNNNNNNNNNNNNNNNNNNNNNNNNNNNNNNNNNNNNNNNNNNNNNNNNNNNNNNNNNNNNNNNNNNNNNNNNNNNNNNNNNNNNNNNNNNNNNNNNNNNNNNNNNNNNNNNNNNNNNNNNNNNNNNNNNNNNNNNNNNNNNNNNNNNNNNNNNNNNNNNNNNNNNNNNNNNNNNNNNNNNNNNNNNNNNNNNNNNNNNNNNNNNNNNNNNNNNNNNNNNNNNNNNNNNNNNNNNNNNNNNNNNNNNNNNNNNNNNNNNNNNNNNNNNNNNNNNNNNNNNNNNNNNNNNNNNNNNNNNNNNNNNNNNNNNNNNNNNNNNNNNNNNNNNNNNNNNNNNNNNNNNNNNNNNNNNNNNNNNNNNNNNNNNNNNNNNNNNNNNNNNNNNNNNNNNNNNNNNNNNNNNNNNNNNNNNNNNNNNNNNNNNNNNNNNNNNNNNNNNNNNNNNNNNNNNNNNNNNNNNNNNNNNNNNNNNNNNNNNNNNNNNNNNNNNNNNNNNNNNNNNNNNNNNNNNNNNNNNNNNNNNNNNNNNNNNNNNNNNNNNNNNNNNNNNNNNNNNNNNNNNNNNNNNNNNNNNNNNNNNNNNNNNNNNNNNNNNNNNNNNNNNNNNNNNNNNNNUGGAUCAAACCACACAACAUCAAUUCUCAUUCUAUAGACUAGAAGUUAGGUCAACUUACCAAUUCUCCAAGCCAUGAUCACCAUGGAUCAAUCCUCAACAAUUCAUAAUCAAUUGACAUAUAUAGAAAUAGGAAUCAACAAUGUAAUUCAAUAACAUAAACAUAAUCUAAGUACAAUUCUAUAAACAAAGGGAUCAACCCAUAACUUUGCCCAUAAGGCCAUAAUCCUCAACUCAUCAAUAUACCAACAAUUCAACAUGAAUAAGUAUAGAUAAUCAUAGGAAACAUCAAUACAAUCUAAUCUAAACAUAAUUUCACCAAUAGAGAUCAUAUUCACAAAGACCCACAUCAUAGGCCCAUUUUUGAGAAUUUGGGGAUCAUGGGUUCUUCAAGAAUUCCUUUGAAAAUUGUCUUAAAAACAUUAAUUCCACAUUAAUUCAUCAAUAGAAUGAUUUAGAAAAUCGUUUGACAAGGAACCCAUGUUUAGAUUGAAAAUUGGGAAUUUUGGUCUUUGAAUCACUUUUGAAGAUCUUUGAUAGAACUCCUUGAAUGAGAGGUUAUUCAAGAAUCAAGAGUUACCAUACCUUAAUUAUUGAAGACCCAUGAAAUUGAAGAAGAAAUCAGUUGAAAACCCAUCUUCUAGCUUGAGCUUCAUCAAGGUCUUCAAUGGAGUUUUUGAGAGAAUCUAUUUUGAGAGGGAAGGGUCAAUUUGAAGAAUGGGGUCUAAUUUUAGGCUUUGGGGUUUUAACCAACUUAAAAUACCCUAAAAUAGAUAGAAUAACCAUUUUUAAUAAUUCCCCGAAGUACCCAAACUAUCCCUCACUUAGUUGGACCUUUUUAAAUAAGUCAAACUUGAGUUUUAUUUUCGCAGAUUUCGUCGAGAAACAAAUUCGCGACGCAGAGGUGUUCCCACAAGUUUUCUGGAAAUUAACUUCGAGACAGUAGAGUCUGCGACAUGUCCGCGAUGCGGAUCAAACUUUUAGCCCUUGGUGUAGCUAGUCCGCGAUGCGGACAUGCUCCCUCCAAGCACAACUUCAAGCUUGCUUGGCCAAGGUUGGGGUCCUCCUCGGGGACCCUUAGGGUGGCCCACGGGGAGUCGUAUCCAAACGUUUUGACCCUAAAACAUUUAUUAAGACACUAGGGUCACCUCCACUGAUUUUAGACUCCAAACAACACAUAAAAACAUGAACAACAUACUAGAACACACCAACACGUAAAAGACUAAGUUUCCGAACGUCUUGGUCGUCCCUUGACGUUUGACUUCCAAACUCUUUAAAGCUGACUAAAAGGCUAUUCUUCAUUAUUUUAACAAGUUAUUAAUACAUAAAACUCAUGUGCGGACUCUACUUUAUCCUACUUCAUUUUGAGGGUCGUUACAUUGAAUCUCUUAGAAACUCCGUCAAUCACUUCAUAGUCUCACCCGUCAAAGAAAAAGGAAACAAUCUUAGCUGGAUGGACUCUUGAGUGAUGUUUUUUGAAAAUGAAUGGGCCACACACAUCCACAAACUUCUAAAAGUGAUCAUGAGGGUCUUCAGAGCUAAAACACUAUACUGCCCUUUCAUUUGAAGUAGUUAGAGAAUGGUUCUAGUCAUAUGAAAUAUAGCAUUGCUCAUGAUUGGGAAAAACGGAUAGCUCUCGCACUCCCAAGAUCUUUCAUGUUGAAUUCAUUCAAGUUUCCCACAUCAUUCAUGUGUCCAUCAUUGUUAGCAACAUUUCUACCAAUGACACUCAUAUCUUCACCUAUUAAGAACACAAUACGAAAAGCAAUGGUAAGAGUGCUCAACUACAAAUAAAUCAGUUCACAAAAUUACUUCACUAAAAUAAUUUUAUGCUCCAUUCCUUUGCAGUGGUGGCAUUUUGAUAAUGUUCAAUUGUACACCUUAUAAAUCAGUGUACAAGCGAUCGUUGAUCAGAAAAAACCCAAACAAGGUUGGGGUCAAAUUAUACCGGGAGCGGUCUAUGUUAUAAUUCAAUUAAGAAGUUAAAAUCGUGAACUAAUUCUUUAUAGAUUUAGAAAGACAGCAUGUAACAUAAACUAAAUCUUAGGAAUUUCAAAUUAUCAAAUUUAGAGAGUAUAGUUAACAAUUACUCACUAAGAUCAAGUAAAUAAGUAUGAGAUUGAAGCUAGGAGUGUGGGUAAUUGGGUAUCAAUUUCGAUCAUGGGUAAAGAUGUUUGCUCAAUAACAUUAAUGCCUAAUGGAUAGGCUAGGUCAAUCUAAGAUAUAAAAUGUAUUACCCAAUCACACGUUGUUUACUCACACGAGCUUUACCAAGCCUCUAGUGCAAAGCAUUACAAACCAAUCUAAAACCUUAAUAUAGAAUUUUUUUUCACAUGCAACUUUAGCAUUUGACAAUAACAUCUAAAUCCCUUCACCAAGAAAACUUAGCUAUUAAGGCCAAUAUGCAAUUAUCAAUCACAAUUACUCACUUAAUGCAAUAUAUCCCAAGUAAAACCACGAAGUUCUAAUCUAAGCUUGGGUUUGCAACCCCAAACUAUCAAUUUCCACUACUAAAAAACUACUAAAAAACAACGGAAGAAAAAGCGACGGACAGCGUCGCUCCAAAAAAGCGACGGACUAAGAGAAGCCGUCCGUCAUUUUUAAUUAAAAUAAUUAUUUUUAAAAUUAUUUUAUAAAAGGCGACGGACUGCAUCUCUUAGUCCGUCGCUUUUUAUUAAAAAUAAUUAUUUAUAAAUUAAACAAUAACCACGCUGUCCGUCGUUUUAAUUUAUUUUAUUUUAUUAAUUAAUUUUUAAAAAAAGCGACGGACAACAUCUCUUAGACCGUCGCUUUUUGGUCAAAAUAUCUAGUCAAACAUUUUUAAAAAGCGACGGACAGCGUCUCUUAGUCCGUCGCUUUUUAAUUAUUUUUUUUAUUUUUUUAUUUUUGUGGUUUAGUUGGUGGAUUUAGUGUUGUAUUAAGUCAAAACUAAACUAGUUAAAGUUGUUAAGUUGUUUAAAUAAGUUAAAUUAAUUAAUGUGGUUUAGUUGGUGGAUUUAGUGUUGUAUUAAGUCAAAACUAAACUAGUUAAAGUUGUUAAGUUGUUUAAAUAAGUUAAAUUAAUUAAUGUGGUUUAGUUGGUGGAUUUAGUGUUGUAUUAAGUGAAAGCUAAACUAGUUAAAGUUGUUAAGUUGUUUAAAUAAGUUAAAUUAAUUAAUGUGGUUUAGUUGGUGGAUUUAGUGUUGUAUUAAGUCAAAACUAAACUAGUUAAAGUUGUUAAGUUGUUUAAAUAAGUUAAAUUAAUUAAUGUGGUUUAGUUGGUGGAUUUAGUGUUGUAUUAAGUCAAAACUAAACUAGUUAAAGUUGUUAAGUUGUUUAAAUAAGUUAAAUUAAUUAAUGUGGUUUAGUUGGUGGAUUUAGUGUUGUAUUAAGUCAAAACUAAACUAGUUAAAGUUGUUAAGUUGUUUAAAUAAGUUAAAUUAAUUAAUGUGGUUUAGUUGGUGGAUUUAGUGUUGUAUUAAGUCAAAACUAAACUAGUUAAAGUUGUUAAGUUGUUUAAAUAAGUUAAAUUAAUUAAUGUGGUUUAGUUGGUGGAUUUAGUGUUGUAUUAAGUCAAAACUAAACUAGUUAAAGUUGUUAAGUUGUUUAAAUAAGUUAAAUUAAUUAAUGUGGUUUAGUUGGUGGAUUUAGUGUUGUAUUAAGUCAAAACUAAACUAGUUAAAGUUGUUAAGUUGUUUAAAUAAGUUAAAUUAAUUAAUGUGGUUUAGUUGGUGGAUUUAGUGUUGUAUUAAGUCAAAACUAAACUAGUUAAAGUUGUUAAGUUGUUUAAAUAAGUUAAAUUAAUUAAUGUGGUUUAGUUGGUGGAUUUAGUGUUGUAUUAAGUCAAAACUAAACUAGUUCAAGAGUUAAAGUUGUUUAAAUAAGUUAAAUUAAUUAAUGUGGUUUAGUUGGUGGAUUUAGUGUUGUAUUAAGUGAAAGCUAAACUAGUUAAAGUUGUUAAGUUGUUUAAAUAAGUUAAAUUAAUUAAUGUGGUUUAGUUGGUGGAUUUAGUGUUGUAUUAAGUCAAAACUAAACUAGUUAAAGUUGUUAAGUUGUUUAAAUAAGUUAAAUUAAUUAAUGUGGUUUAGUUGGUGGAUUUAGUGUUGUAUUAAGUGAAAGCUAAACUAGUUAAAGUUGUUAAGUUGUUUAAAUAAGUUAAAUUAAUUAAUGUGGUUUAGUUGGUGGAUUUAGUGUUGUAUUAAGUGAAAGCUAAACUAGUUAAAGUUGUUAAGUUGUUUAAAUAAGUUAAAUUAAUUAAUGUGGUUUAGUUGGUGGAUUUAGUGUUGUAUUAAGUGAAAGCUAAACUAGUUAAAGUUGUUAAGUUGUUUAAAUAAGUUAAAUUAAUUAAUGUGGUUUAGUUGGUGGAUUUAGUGUUGUAUUAAGUGAAAGCUAAACUAGUUAAAGUUGUUAAGUUGUUUAAAUAAGUUAAAUUAAUUAAUGUGGUUUAGUUGGUGGAUUUAGUGUUGUAUUAAGUGAAAGCUAAACUAGUUAAAGUUGUUAAGUUGUUUAAAUAAGUUAAAUUAAUUAAUGUGGUUUAGUUGGUGGAUUUAGUGUUGUAUUAAGUGAAAGCUAAACUAGUUAAAGUUGUUAAGUUGUUUAAAUAAGUUAAAUUAAUUAAUGUGGUUUAGUUGGUGGAUUUAGUGUUGUAUUAAGUGAAAGCUAAACUAGUUAAAGUUGUUAAGUUGUUUAAAUAAGUUAAAUUAAUUAAUGUGGUUUAGUUGGUGGAUUUAGUGUUGUAUUAAGUGAAAGCUAAACUAGUUAAAGUUGUUAAGUUGUUUAAAUAAGUUAAAUUAAUUAAUGUGGUUUAGUUGGUGGAUUUAGUGUUGUAUUAAGUCAAAACUAAACUAGUUAAAGUUGUUAAGUUGUUUAAAUAAGUUAAAUUAAUUAAUGUGGUUUAGUUGGUGGAUUUAGUGUUGUAUUAAGUCAAAACUAAACUAGUUAAAGUUGUUAAGUUGUUUAAAUAAGUUAAAUUAAUUAAUGUGGUUUAGUUGGUGGAUUUAGUGUUGUAUUAAGUCAAAACUAAACUAGUUAAAGUUGUUAAGUUGUUUAAAUAAGUUAAAUUAAUUAAUGUGGUUUAGUUGGUGGAUUUAGUGUUGUAUUAAGUCAAAACUAAACUAGUUAAAGUUGUUAAGUUGUUUAAAUAAGUUAAAUUAAUUAAUGUGGUUUAGUUGGUGGAUUUAGUGUUGUAUUAAGUCAAAACUAAACUAGUUAAAGUUGUUAAGUUGUUUAAAUAAGUUAAAUUAAUUAAUGUGGUUUAGUUGGUGGAUUUAGUGUUGUAUUAAGUCAAAACUAAACUAGUUAAAGUUGUUAAGUUGUUUAAAUAAGUUAAAUUAAUUAAUGUGGUUUAGUUGGUGGAUUUAGUGUUGUAUUAAGUCAAAACUAAACUAGUUAAAGUUGUUAAGUUGUUUAAAUAAGUUAAAUUAAUUAAUGUGGUUUAGUUGGUGGAUUUAGUGUUGUAUUAAGUCAAAACUAAACUAGUUCAAGAGUUAAAGUUGUUUAAAUAAGUUAAAUUAAUUAAUGUGGUUUAGUUGGUGGAUUUAGUGUUGUAUUAAGUGAAAGCUAAACUAGUUAAAGUUGUUAAGUUGUUUAAAUAAGUUAAAUUAAUUAAUGUGGUUUAGUUGGUGGAUUUAGUGUUGUAUUAAGUCAAAACUAAACUAGUUAAAGUUGUUAAGUUGUUUAAAUAAGUUAAAUUAAUUAAUGUGGUUUAGUUGGUGGAUUUAGUGUUGUAUUAAGUGAAAGCUAAACUAGUUAAAGUUGUUAAGUUGUUUAAAUAAGUUAAAUUAAUUAAUGUGGUUUAGUUGGUGGAUUUAGUGUUGUAUUAAGUGAAAGCUAAACUAGUUAAAGUUGUUAAGUUGUUUAAAUAAGUUAAAUUAAUUAAUGUGGUUUAGUUGGUGGAUUUAGUGUUGUAUUAAGUGAAAGCUAAACUAGUUAAAGUUGUUAAGUUGUUUAAAUAAGUUAAAUUAAUUAAUGUGGUUUAGUUGGUGGAUUUAGUGUUGUAUUAAGUGAAAGCUAAACUAGUUAAAGUUGUUAAGUUGUUUAAAUAAGUUAAAUUAAUUAAUGUGGUUUAGUUGGUGGAUUUAGUGUUGUAUUAAGUGAAAGCUAAACUAGUUAAAGUUGUUAAGUUGUUUAAAUAAGUUAAAUUAAUUAAUGUGGUUUAGUUGGUGGAUUUAGUGUUGUAUUAAGUGAAAGCUAAACUAGUUAAAGUUGUUAAGUUGUUUAAAUAAGUUAAAUUAAUUAAUGUGGUUUAGUUGGUGGAUUUAGUGUUGUAUUAAGUGAAAGCUAAACUAGUUAAAGUUGUUAAGUUGUUUAAAUAAGUUAAAUUAAUUAAUGUGGUUUAGUUGGUGGAUUUAGUGUUGUAUUAAGUGAAAGCUAAACUAGUUAAAGUUGUUAAGUUGUUUAAAUAAGUUAAAUUAAUUAAUGUGGUUUAGUUGGUGGAUUUAGUGUUGUAUUAAGUCAAAACUAAACUAGUUAAAGUUGUUAAGUUGUUUAAAUAAGUUAAAUUAAUUAAUGUGGUUUAGUUGGUGGAUUUAGUGUUGUAUUAAGUCAAAACUAAACUAGUUAAAGUUGUUAAGUUGUUUAAAUAAGUUAAAUUAAUUAAUGUGGUUUAGUUGGUGGAUUUAGUGUUGUAUUAAGUCAAAACUAAACUAGUUAAAGUUGUUAAGUUGUUUAAAUAAGUUAAAUUAAUUAAUGUGGUUUAGUUGGUGGAUUUAGUGUUGUAUUAAGUCAAAACUAAACUAGUUAAAGUUGUUAAGUUGUUUAAAUAAGUUAAAUUAAUUAAUGUGGUUUAGUUGGUGGAUUUAGUGUUGUAUUAAGUCAAAACUAAACUAGUUAAAGUUGUUAAGUUGUUUAAAUAAGUUAAAUUAAUUAAUGUGGUUUAGUUGGUGGAUUUAGUGUUGUAUUAAGUCAAAACUAAACUAGUUAAAGUUGUUAAGUUGUUUAAAUAAGUUAAAUUAAUUAAUGUGGUUUAGUUGGUGGAUUUAGUGUUGUAUUAAGUCAAAACUAAACUAGUUAAAGUUGUUAAGUUGUUUAAAUAAGUUAAAUUAAUUAAUGUGGUUUAGUUGGUGGAUUUAGUGUUGUAUUAAGUCAAAACUAAACUAGUUCAAGAGUUAAAGUUGUUUAAAUAAGUUAAAUUAAUUAAUGUGGUUUAGUUGGUGGAUUUAGUGUUGUAUUAAGUGAAAGCUAAACUAGUUAAAGUUGUUAAGUUGUUUAAAUAAGUUAAAUUAAUUAAUGUGGUUUAGUUGGUGGAUUUAGUGUUGUAUUAAGUCAAAACUAAACUAGUUAAAGUUGUUAAGUUGUUUAAAUAAGUUAAAUUAAUUAAUGUGGUUUAGUUGGUGGAUUUAGUGUUGUAUUAAGUGAAAGCUAAACUAGUUAAAGUUGUUAAGUUGUUUAAAUAAGUUAAAUUAAUUAAUGUGGUUUAGUUGGUGGAUUUAGUGUUGUAUUAAGUCAAAACUAAAUUUGUUAAAGUUGUUAAGUUGUUUAAAUAAGUUAAAUUAAUUAAUGUGGUUUAGUUGGUGGAUUUAGUGUUGUAUUAAGUCAAAACUAAAUUUGUUAAAGUUGUUAAGUUGUUUAAAUAAGUUAAAUUAAUUAAUGUGGUUUAGUUGGUGGAUUUAGUGUUGUAUUAAGUCAAAACUAAAUUUGUUAAAGUUGUUAAGUUGUUUAAAUAAGUUAAAUUAAUUAAUGUGGUUUAGUUGGUGGAUUUAGUGUUGUAUUAAGUCAAAACUAAAUUUGUUAAAGUUGUUAAGUUGUUUAAAUAAGUUAAAUUAAUUAAUGUGGUUUAGUUGGUGGAUUUAGUGUUGUAUUAAGUCAAAACUAAAUUUGUUAAAGUUGUUAAGUUGUUUAAAUAAGUUAAAUUAAUUAAUGUGGUUUAGUUGGUGGAUUUAGUGUUGUAUUAAGUCAAAACUAAAUUUGUUAAAGUUGUUAAGUUGUUUAAAUAAGUUAAAUUAAUUAAUGUGGUUUAGUUGGUGGAUUUAGUGUUGUAUUAAGUCAAAACUAAAUUUGUUAAAGUUGUUAAGUUGUUUAAAUAAGUUAAAUUAAUUAAUGUGGUUUAGUUGGUGGAUUUAGUGUUGUAUUAAGUCAAAACUAAACUAGUUAAAGUUGUUAAGUUGUUUAAAUAAGUUAAAUUAAUUAAUGUGGUUUAGUUGGUGGAUUUAGUGUUGUAUUAAGUCAAAACUAAACUAGUUAAAGUUGUUAAGUUGUUUAAAUAAGUUAAAUUAAUUAAUGUGGUUUAGUUGGUGGAUUUAGUGUUGUAUUAAGUCAAAACUAAACUAGUUAAAGUUGUUAAGUUGUUUAAAUAAGUUAAAUUAAUUAAUGUGGUUUAGUUGGUGGAUUUAGUGUUGUAUUAAGUCAAAACUAAACUAGUUAAAGUUGUUAAGUUGUUUAAAUAAGUUAAAUUAAUUAAUGUGGUUUAGUUGGUGGAUUUAGUGUUGUAUUAAGUCAAAACUAAACUAGUUAAAGUUGUUAAGUUGUUUAAAUAAGUUAAAUUAAUUAAUGUGGUUUAGUUGGUGGAUUUAGUGUUGUAUUAAGUCAAAACUAAACUAGUUAAAGUUGUUAAGUUGUUUAAAUAAGUUAAAUUAAUUAAUGUGGUUUAGUUGGUGGAUUUAGUGUUGUAUUAAGUCAAAACUAAACUAGUUAAAGUUGUUAAGUUGUUUAAAUAAGUUAAAUUAAUUAAUGUGGUUUAGUUGGUGGAUUUAGUGUUGUAUUAAGUCAAAACUAAACUAGUUCAAGUUAUAAAGUUGUUAAUUUGUUUUAAAUAAGUUAAAUUAAAUAAUGUGGUUUUGUUGAUGGAUUUAGUUGUUGGAAUUAAGUCAAAACUAAACUAGUUCAAGAGUUAAAGUUGUUUAAAUAAGUUAAAUUAAUUAAUGUGGUUUAGUUGGUGGAUUUAGUGUUGUAUUAAGUGAAAGCUAAACUAGUUAAAGUUGUUAAGUUGUUUAAAUAAGUUAAAUUAAUUAAUGUGGUUUAGUUGGUGGAUUUAGUGUUGUAUUAAGUGAAAGCUAAACUAGUUAAAGUUGUUAAGUUGUUUAAAUAAGUUAAAUUAAUUAAUGUGGUUUAGUUGGUGGAUUUAGUGUUGUAUUAAGUGAAAGCUAAACUAGUUAAAGUUGUUAAGUUGUUUAAAUAAGUUAAAUUAAUUAAUGUGGUUUAGUUGGUGGAUUUAGUGUUGUAUUAAGUGAAAGCUAAACUAGUUAAAGUUGUUAAGUUGUUUAAAUAAGUUAAAUUAAUUAAUGUGGUUUAGUUGGUGGAUUUAGUGUUGUAUUAAGUGAAAGCUAAACUAGUUAAAGUUGUUAAGUUGUUUAAAUAAGUUAAAUUAAUUAAUGUGGUUUAGUUGGUGGAUUUAGUGUUGUAUUAAGUCAAAACUAAACUAGUUAAAGUUGUUAUGUUGUUUAAAUAAGUUAAAAUAAAUAUUGUGGUUUAGUUGGUGGAUUUAGUUGUUGUAUUUAGUCAAAACUAAACUAGUUAAAGUUGUUAAUUUGUUUAAAUAAGUUAAAUUAAAUAAUGUGGUUUUGUUGAUGGAUUUAGUUGUUGGAAUUAAGUCAAAACUAAACUAGUUCAAGAGUUAAAGUUGUUUAAAUAAGUUAAAUUAAUUAAUGUGGUUUUGUCAAUACUAAACUAUUUUUAGGACUAGUACUAGUAAAAUUAUUAUUAAAUUUUAUUUAUAAUAUAAUUGAAUAUCUAUAUUUUUGUAGAUGGAUCAUCGUUUGUGGAUGUAUAAUAUGCAUUAUGAAACUGGUGCUGGUUUGAAACCUGAGUUUAUUGACGGUGUUAGAAAUUUUAUUGAACAUACAAUGACACUUGACAUUUUCAAGAUUAAUGGAUUGGUUAGGUGUCCUUGUAGUGCAUGUAAGUGCUUAGAAGGUAUUGGAUCAUCACUUCAAGCUGAGGCACUUGACGGUGUUCAGAUUGCUGCUAUGUCGGAUCAAAUAGCUAAACUUACAGAGGCACUAGCAGAGUCGGAGCGGAAAAAGAGUAGCUGAACAACAAAGCAUAAGUGAGACCGUUCAGCAAAUCAAAGAACAAGUGAUGAACCUCGCUCGUCGACCUAGUACUUCGGCUCCCGAUGACACCGACGACGAGAGUGAUGAGGAUGAUUAUGUAGAUCUCACUCCCUAGUUUAGAUCUCUGGACAUUUAUGAACUUUUUGAAAUUUUAAAACGAAUUUUAAAAGACUUUAUAAGUCUUUAAUUUAUGAUUUAGAUACUUUUGAAUGUUAUUUUAAGUUUGUUAUUUUAUGUUUUGUUUAGAUUGUUUAUAAUUGUGUGUUUGAUUGAGCUAAAUAGUGUAGAAUUGAAUUGAAUUGCAUUUGCAGGUGGGCAGCAGAAGCUGCGAGCUGCUACUGUCAAAAAUAUUGCAGAAAAAAGCGACGGACAGCGUGGUUUUGUCCGUCGCUUUUUUAAGUUUUUAAAAAUAAAAUUUCCAGAAAAGCUACGGACAGUGUCCUUUUAUUCGUCGCUUUUCUGGAAUUUUCAAAAAAUAAAUUUCCAGAAAAGCGACGAACUGCGUCCCCCUUUAGAAAUUAAAAAAAAGAAAAUUAAAAUAAACAGACGCAGUCCAUCGCUUUUUAAAAAAAAUUCAAAAAAAAAAGUAAAAAAACGACUCAGUCCGUCUCUAAAAGCAACGCAGUCCGUUGCUUUUCUGGGAUUUUAAAAAAAUAAAUUUCCAUAAAAGCGACGGACUACGUCGCUCUUUAUAAAUUAAAAAAAUUGAAAAUUAAAAUAAAGCGACGCAGUCCGUCGCUUUUUUUAAAAAAAAUCAAAAAAUAAAAUAGUAAAGAAGCGACUCAGUCUGUCGCUAAAAGAGACGCAGUUCGUCCCUAAAAGCGACACAAUCCGUCGCUCUUCUAGCGACGCAGUCCGUCGCUUUUUUUGCGAUGCAGUCCGUCGCUUUUUUAAAAACGACGUUGUCCGUCGCUUUUUGAAAACCGUCGAGCUAAAAAGCAACGGAAGUGACUGUGUCGCUUUUCCGUCAAUUUUGACCAAAAAAGCGACGCAGUCCGUCGCUUUUGGUCGUCUUUUUUUGACAAUUUUUUAGUAGUGUUCACACAUGGAAAAGAUUGAAUUCAUUAUAACUAAUGUAAAUUAGAGUUAUUCACUACACCCAAUACUCAAAUUCAAUUGCACACCCCUAGAAUUGGGGUUUUAGCCACUCAUAUGAAAAUUAAAAUAAGAUAUACCAAAAAGGUUGUUCUCCAUUGGAAAUGGUUUAUUCAAACUUCAAAUUCAAAAAAUCCCCUGGAAAAAAAUUUCCAAAAUCAAUUACAAAAUUGCUAAAUCUCAAAAUCAUUAGAAGGUUCAUGUGUACUGUAAUUUCAUAGAUGAAAGAUAUUUUUAUCUUUCUUCAAAGCUAUUUAUACUUCGCUAAAAUCGAAUAAAAUUUGUAUUCAGACUCGUUCGACGACAUUAGUCCGGCACACCAACUAACUUGGCGAGACUCCGACUUCAUCUUCUUCUCAUUUUUAAUCUUUGGCUUCAAGGCUUCAGGUGUUGAACAACAUUUGGCGACCCCAAUGGGCAUCACCGUUCAGGCUCGAUGAGUCAUUGAGUAUCACCUUAGCUUGCCAACUUGUUCUAAAUAAUUAGCAGAACUUUCAGAAAGUUUUGGCAAAAGUAACCUAUACUCGUCGACCUAUUUGGCGAGUAACCGAUUGAAUUUUCAUUUCUCCGAUAUUCUUUGAAAUUUUAGUAGAACUCUCUAGCAACGUUGGAGACUUCAAAUUCCCUUGCCGAGUGAGUUAGUCGCCUUUUGGUCUCUCAUCUCGUUGACCUGCUUUGAGAGAGGUAUGGCCAUCUUGGAGAACUGCCAACUACUCUUGGAGAGUUUCAACUUCACUUCUGCUUUGUUUUUAUAUGUUUUAAGGCUUGUUUAUGCAUACAUUUUGUAACACCCCGUAUGCUAGAAUUAUCAAAAUGUAGAUUUUCAGAAGUUGCAGGUGCCACCGACGGGCACCACCCACGGUCUGUCCCGGUGGUCUGUGGUUCACCACCUGCAACCCCCUCCUAGAACCCCCCGUAAAAUUCAUCUAAGGGUCAACCUAUGAUGGGACUAUGUACCGUAGGUCAGACCACAGUCCGUGGUCCAGGGCCGUAGGUCAGACCCUCAAAUUUCAACUCUCUGAAGCCAAAUGGUGGCCGACCAAAAUGGACCGUCGGUCCUCCCACGGUUUUUCGGUCUGGUCCGUCGGUGACCCCCGAUAGCUUUUAAGUCAGGGGUCGUUUGGUCUUUUCCCUAUGUGCUGGACCCUUAAACUACAUCGUUUAACCCCUAAACUAUGUGGUUUUAGUUAGUUUUAGCCUAUUAAACUAAUUAGAACCUAAACUAAUCAAUUUUUCAUCAAAUCAAGCGAAACUUAGAGCAAAAAUCAGAGAAAAAGUCGACCAAGCCCUAGUUUAAGAAUGCAACGAGGUUUCGUCAGUUCCAGCCCCGAUAUCAAAAGAUUUCUCCGUGAGAUUCGUCACCAAUUAUGUGGUAUUUCACUAGUGGGUUCCUUUCACCCAUUAGGUCCCUAGAUUUCAGUCAGAAUCUUGAUUCCCAUAAUAUUAUCUAGACCUAAGGUUCCUUGAAUAUUAAGAAUUGUUUGGUUUUAGCUGUUAGAAUGAUCCAAAUCAGAUUGUCAUAUUGUUGCUUAGUUUAUUGUAUGAUAUUCAGAAGCCUAAUGAGUCCUGGGUUUGGACUCAUUAAAGGCUUUAUUUAGAAAGAUUUUGUGUCCUCAAAUGCUUAAUUUGUGCCAUACACUGACGAUAAAUCCUUGAUUUUAAGGUACAUGGAUUGAAAAACAAAGCAAGGACACUAACAUGCAAAAAGGAACAAAACAAACUACAGAAAUAAAGAAAGGCAAGUGUGGUGAUCGGCAAGGGCAUUUGGCAAAUCGCCGAGUGGCUAUCUAACCGCCUAAAGUUCAAGUGUGCCAAGCCUUAAAGGAAAGAACCAAUUCGGCGACGAAAAGGAGCAGUCAGCGGAUCGCCGAGUAGUUGCACGAAGCCAAGAUAGAUCGCCCAAAGUUACAGACCUUGAGUAUGCUGAAUGUCAAGGCAAAAAGGCGAUGGAAGGGGUCAAAGGGCGGCUUGACGAGUGGUUCGGCGAGCCCGACUUACUUCGCCGAAGAGCCCUUCGUGGCUUAUUUUUGGCAACUAAAAAUAAUAUUUUGAAUAUUUAGUUUAGGAUCUGAUUUUUGGACAUCUAUUUUCCAUUUGAAACAUUUUUAGAACAGUUUUCUCUGAAGAUUUUCUUAGUUUUUAAAGAACCUUAGAGAUUCAAUUUGGAGAUUUUGGAAGUUCGUUUCAGAUUUUCUUCAAAUUGAGUAUUGUAAAGACAAAAUCUCUCUUACCCAAUAGAUGGCUAAUCGAUUUGGUAAUAGUUAUUACCUUUUUAUGAUGCUUGGCUAAAACCCCAAUUCUUGGGGUGUGAUCAUGUGAUUAUGGGCUGAAUUAGUUUAUGGGUAUUUCUAAUUACUAGUUUAAAUGUUAUUUAAAAGUGAGUUUAAUAAUUAAUCGUGGUUUAAUUUAAGAAUUGUAGUUGCAAAUGUAGUUCUUUAUUUGUGUUCUUGGCUUGCUCGAGAGAGAGGUUUUAGAACUAAGAUUAUUGAUUGAUGGUUUGUGGGUAUUGGGUUGAUCUGGGUUUAGCUCGAGAGAGUGAAUCCUAAACCCAAUCCCAUACAUUUAGCUUAAGAGAGUGAAUGAAUUAAGGUGUGGGCUUUUCUUCAUUGUCGUGCUUGUUGAUGUUCGAAAGAAAUCACCUGAUUCGGGGUAGUUGUUCGAGAGAAAGCUAUCUCCCUUAUAGUCUAGCCUACUCACUGAUAUUUAGCUAUUUACUAGUAGUUGCAAUUACCCAUAUGCCUAUAUUUUCCUAUAAUCGAUCACAUCCCAAGAAUCUUUUUCCUAAUUGUUAUUUCAAACCAUUUGUGUCUGUUUGUAGUUGAUAAUUACAACCAAAUCCCUCCAUUUGACAUUUGUGUCACUCCUUUAAUUUGAUAUGUCUUUUUUCGAUAAUGUUAAUUCCUAUGGCUAUUUAGACCGCAUUCAUACUUUUUAAUUGAAUUCUAAUUAUGUAUCGCUCCCUGUGGGAUUCGACCCCAACUCAUUUAGUUGGGUAUUAUACUGAUUUACGAUCGUUGACACUUAGAAUUGGAAGAAGUGUCUUUGAAAUGUUAUUAAUCAAACUGGCUCCGCUGCCGGGGAUCAUCCUUGUUGUGAGGGAAUUUGAGUACUUUUGUUGAGCUUGAACUUGCAUUUGAAGCAAGUAUUGUGAAUAUGAGCAUCUUUGAUAAUGGUGAGUCACAAUUUGAAUCUUUGAGUGCACAAUUGAUCAUUGUACGAGUAAGUUGAGUCUUGUUGUGUGCAUUCAUGUUGAGUCUUAUGCAGCACUAUUUGAGACAUCCUUUUUGAACUGCUGAACUUGAGUUUUACUUGAGGACAAGCAAAAGUAUAAGUUGGGGGUGUUGAUGAGUCCUGGGUUUGGACUCAUAUAGGGCUUUAUUUAGAUAUAUUUAGUGUCCUCAAAUACUUAAUUUAUGCCAUAAACUGAUGAUAAAUACUUGAUUUUCAGGUACAUAGAUUGAGGAACAAAGCAUGGACAGUAACAUGCAAGAAGGAACAAAACAAACUGAAAAAAUAAAGAAAGAAAAGCUUGGUGAUCGCCAAGGGAAUUUGGCAAAUCGCCGAGUAGCAAUCUGACCGCCUAAAGUUCCAGUGUGCCAAGACCUGAAGGAAUGAACCAAGUCGGCGAUGAAAAUGUGCAGUCGGUGGAUCGCCGAGUAGUUCCGUGAAGCAAAGAUAGAUCGCCCAAACUUACAAACCUUGAGGAUGCUGAAUGUCAAGGCAUAAAGGCGAUGGAAGAGAUCAAAGGGCGGCUCACCGAGUGGUUCGGCAAGCCCGACUUACUUCGCCGAAGUGCCCUUCGUGGCUUAUUUUUGGCAACUAUAAGUAAGAAUUUGAACAUUUAGUUUAGGAUCUGAUCUUUUGACAUUCUUUCCAUUGAAACAUUUUCAGAACAGUUUUCUCUGAAGUGUUUCUUUGUUUUUGAAGAACUUUAGAGAUUCAAUUUGGAGAUUUUGGAAGUGGGUUUCAUAUUUUCUUCAAAUUGAGAAUUGUAAAUACAAAAUCUCUCUUACCCAGAUGAUGGCUAAUCGAUUUGGUAAUAGUUUUUACCUUUUUAUGAUACUUGGCUAAAACCCCAAUUCUUGGGGUGUGAUCAUGUGAUUAUGGGCUGAAUUAGUUUAUAGGUAUUGCUAAUUACUAGUUUAAAUGCUAUUUAAAAGUGAGUUUAAUCAUUAAUCGUGGUUUAAUUUAAGAAUUGUAGUUGCAAAUGCAGUUCUAUAUUUGUGUUAUUGGCUUGCUCGAGAGAGAGGUUUCAGAACUAAGAUUAUUGAUUGAUGGUUUGUGAAUAUUGGGUUGAUCUGGGUUUAGCUCGAUAGAGUGAAUCCUAAACCCAAUCCAACACAUUUGGGUCGAGAAAGUGAAAGGUGUGGGAUGUUCUUCAUUGUCGUUCUUGUUGAUGUUCGAAAGAAAUCACCUAAUUUGGGGUAGUUGUUUGAGAGAAAGUUAUAUCCCUUAUAGUCUAGCCUACUAACUGAUAUUUAGCAAUUACUAGUAGUUGCAAUUACCCAUAUGCCUAUAUUUACCUAUAAUCGAUCACAUCCCAAGAAUCUAUCUUCCUAUUGUUAUUUCAAAACGUUUGUGACUGUUUGCAGUUAAUAAUUACAACCAAAUACCCACAUUUGACAGUCAUGUCACCCCUUUAAUUUGGUGUCUUUUUUCGAUAAUGUUUAUUCUUAUAGUUGAUUAGACCGCAUUCAAACUUCUUAAUUGAAUUCUAAACACGUACCGCUCCCAAUGGGAUUCGACCCCAACUCAUUUAGUUGGGUCUUAUACUGAUUUACGAUCGGUUUACACUUGGAAUUCGAAGAAGUAUCUUUGAAACGUUAUUAAUCAAACCCUAGAUAUGUAGUUCUUUUAGUUCAUGAAUUACAUAUGCUAGGUCAGUUAUUUCAAAUAUAUAUACAUGCUUCAGUUACGAAUGUCACAUUAUCAGUUAUAAUUGUUGCAUUCUCAGAUUUUGGAUGUUAGUAUUUUGAGCUAUCCAGUAUUACAAAAAUUCAGUCAUAAAUUGUUAAUUACAUAUUCAAUUGGGAGUAGCUUAAUACCGAGUGGAUUAGGUUCAGUCACCCUCAAAUCCCAAAACUACGUGCCCCGUAGGUUAAGUCCCUUAUGUUGGGCAUUACAUUUUAGUGAUCACGCGAGUCAUGCCUCUAUACCUCUGGCAGGGUAUAUUGGGUCCUCUCAAAGGGGCGUAUACAUCGGACUCCACAUUUAGCUCAUAUGGUUUUAUGUCGGCUAUUAGUAGCUCCCACAGUCAGAUUCUAGUGCAUUGACAAGGUUAUCAGUUACAGUUCAGUAUUCAGUUUCAGCAUGUUAUAAACUUGGUCAUUGCAUUCAGUUUGUUCAUGUUCAGUAUUAUCCGUAUAGUAUCAUGCUUAUCUCAUAUCAUUGCUCAGUUAUAUGCUUUGUUCAAUUAUGUUAUUGUUCAGCUUUACUCUAUCCUGCAUGCUCAGUACCUUUCAAGUGCUGAUGCAUACUCUGUGCUACAUCUUCUCGUGAUGUAGGUUCAAGUUCUCAGAUUAUAGAUCAUGCAUAGAUCGGUUCCCGAGCUUCAGCUCAGCAACAUCAGUUGUGAGUCCUCAUUAUCUGAGAAUGACAUACAUGUUUUCUUUCUAUUUUUAGUCUUUAGUUUCAGUUUUUGCUAUAUCUAGCUUAGGCAUGUCCCAACAUUUCUAGUCAGUUAGAGGCUUUAUUUCAGACAUAGUUUAGUUUCAGUUUUAUCUUUGGAGUUUGAUAUUUCAGUUGUCAUUGAACUCAUAGAUUAUUUAUUCAGAUCAGUAUUGGGUACUCCCCAUUUUCAGUUUAUGAUAUGUUUCUAGCUUCCGCACAGUAUGUCUAUCUUGUUGAAAAUCUUUAAGAAUGCUUAUGAUAUGCCAACAGGGUUAGCUUGGCGUCACUCGUGAUCCUAGAUCCUGUGUCCGCAUCCUAUGGGUAGCUUCGGGGAGUGACAAACUUGGUAUCAAAGAACUAGGUUCAAGAGUCCUAGGAUGUCUGAAAAGCCGCACUAAGUAGAGUCUUUUUCAUGGGUGUGAAGUGCACCACAUCUAAUGAGAGGGAGGCCAUGAAGUGUUUUAGGAAACCUUCAGUUUCUUGAUAUUCUUAUCGUCUGAAAGGUAUGAUCUCUUUCUAAUCCAUCGUUAUGCCCUUUCAGAUCAUGCCUCCUCACAGAGCUUACGGAUGGAAUGCCCGCAACGCUAAUGCAUCUCCUCCAGUCGCAGAUCAAGAAGUUUCGAAUGCAGAGUUCCAAAAUGCCAUUCAGUUUCUGGCUCAGAGUGUGACCAACCAGAACAACCAGCAAGUUCCAAUUUCUGCAAAUACUAGUGGCGGGUCAGUAGCAGCCAGGGUUCGUGAUUUUGUUAGGAUGAAUCCGCCUGAGUUCUUAGGAUCGCAGAUUGGUGAGGAUCCCCAAAACUUAAUAGAUGAGGUCAAGAAGAUCUUUAGAGUGAUGCAAGUGACAUGUAAUGAUAGGGUAGAGUUGGCAUCUUAUCAGCAUAAGGAUGUAACUCACAUCUGGUAAACUCAAUGGAAAGAAAAUAGUGGUACGGAUGCGGCUCUCAUCACUUGGGAAUGCUUUAGUGAGACUUUUCUGGAUAGAUUCUUCCCAAGAGAGUUGAGGAAGGCAAAAGCUCAGGAGUUCAUGAAUUUGAGGCAAGGUAGCAUGUCAGUCCAAGAGUACGGAUUCAAGUUCACCCAGCUCUAUAGAUAUGCUCCUCACAUGGGGUAUUCGACCUAGUGAAAACCGAGUGUAGGAAUGCUAUGUUGCUAGAAAAUAUGAACAUUUCUAGGCUCAUGACUUAUGCUCAGCAGGUUGAGGGGGAUAAGCUUAGGGAAAAUGCUAAGGAGAAUAAGAAGGCUAGAAUAGGCAAAUAUGAGUAUUCUCAACAGAUAUCUGGUGGUGGUGCAGUUUCAGCAAAAGUCUUCAGCUUCAAUACCUUCAUCAGCUAGUACUCCAUCUUCCAGGUUUCGAAAGGAUCAGAAAGAUUGGGCAUCAUGAUCUAAGUCGCAGGGGGAGUGUUUCAGGUACUAGGACCUACCCAACUUGUCCCAAGUGUGGUAAGAACCAUCCGGGUGAGUGUCUUGCAGGAAAGAAAAGAUGUUUUGGGUGUGGUCAGACUGGUUACAGGUUGAAAGAUUGUCCUUCUUCUAAACAGGGUCAAUGAGGCAAUAAUGGUAGGGCUCAGUCCACUACACCAUUUUAGACAUAAGGUUACACUAAAUCUGGACAACACUUGUAAAGUGUUGCCUAAAAUAUUUGUAGCUACACUUUUAAAGCAUAACCUUAGUUUUUACCUUUUGACUACAAUAUUUUUGGCAACGUUUAUAAAGUAUACUCUUUAAUGGUAUAGGCUACUACUUUAUAAGUGUAGUCAUAUCAUGACAUAAUUAGCAACUACCUAUUUACACCUAUUCUUACACUUUUAAAGUGUGCUAUUUUAUAAUUUUAAAAACAACACUUUACAAGUAUGGCCUUAUAAUUUUCUUAAAAAUUUCACCAAAAUAAUAUAUUCCCUCCCAUAUAUUCAACUCUCCCUCCAAUUUCUAAUUGGCAAAAAAAAGAACUCUCAACACAAACAUAAAAACAAUUUUGCCCAAAUAAAAAAACUCCCUUAGCUGUCAAUUGCCUUUAGCACUAUUCAUAAAUUAAACCCUAAACCCUAACUUUCUCUCCUUCUCAUCAUUUUCUCUCCAAAAUUCUCCAUUGUAACCUUAUCGAUAGUAGGCGGAGAUUUCCAUAACCCUUCUUCACCUUGGUCCGACAGACGGGAGAAACAAUUUGAAGAAUUCCAAAUUUAGAGGAACCGAAGAAUCUAUGAGCAGUGGUGAUGAAGAUAGAUUUUGUCACUCGGCGAACAUGUAAACCUUCUUCUCAUUCAUCAUUCUCACCGUGUUGGAUAUUGGUGUUUGCUAGAAUUUAGCAUGAACAUCAGUUAUUGUAAACUAUGUUCUUUGUUCUUUCUGUUUGUUGGUCCUGCUGUUACAAUAUAAAUCAAUGAGUAUGUAAGCGUUUGAUUCUAUCUUUCUUAGAAAUCACUGGUUUUGACACCUUCAUUCUACUUCUGAAGUUCUUGAAUUUGUACUUCGUUUUCAUUCUAUUUAUGAUGUUGUUGAAUUUGUACUACGUUUUCCUUUUAGUUGCUCUUAUUCAUAUAUCUUUGUUAAUUUUGAGGAAUUUUGAUUAUUUAAUCACACGCCUCUUAUGAGAAUAAAUGUGCAUUGAUGUAGCUUCUGUUUUAUACAAGUGAUAUGCCCAAAGUUCGACAGCUCAAGAGGUACAAUUUUUUUAUUAUUGCUAGACAAUAUUAGUAAGAAAUAUAUCGUAACAUUGAAAAUGACUUUCGUUAUAAUAUUUGCAUAUUUCCAUUGUGUAAUAUCAUUGUCUAAUAACUAAGAACAGUCCACUAUAAAAAGAAAGAGCAGACAGAAAACAAUGAAGAAGCUGCACAAAUAUAGUAAUAGUUUGCUUGCAAAAAUUUCUAAGAAGUCAAAUUUGGGAGGGCAUAGGAAGAGUCUUUAUGAGCACUCUGAUUUUGUUUGUACAGUUUGUUUGGCAGUUCAGUGGCUUAGUCUUGGAGAACCAGUUAUUGCUCUAUUAUAUUGAAUCAUGUAUAUCAAUUGGUUUCAAAGUGUAUAUCAUCUCAUGACACAACCCAUUGAUAUAAGAACUUGAUAGUGAGAGGAUACUGAUACGAUUUGGUGUCAGCCCACACUAGCAGCCUGGCAUUUGCAGUAAGUUCCCAACAUGUAUUAAUUAAUGUACAUUGCAAAUAAUAAAUGUGUACUGAUCUGCUUCAAUCUUGUGUUGUGUUAUUGCCAGAAUCUUGCAAUAUUCAAUGCCUAUGUAGGAUGUUACUUGUUGAGAUCAGUCCCCUUGAAGAGUAAUGGGGUGCGCGAUUUUUGUCUACCAGGUUGGAAAAAAGAAGAAGUAGAAGGGCAUCAUCCCUGAGGUCAGCAUAUUUGUCCCCUCAAUGCGUGUUCCUGCUCAAUGUGAUCUACAGAGGACACUAAAGGGUGUCAUUCCUAAGGAUCUUGCUNNNNNNNNNNNNNNNNNNNNNNNNNNNNNNNNNNNNNNNNNNNNNNNNNNNNNNNNNNNNNNNNNNNNNNNNNNNNNNNNNNNNNNNNNNNNNNNNNNNNNNNNNNNNNNNNNNNNNNNNNNNNNNNNNNNNNNNNNNNNNNNNNNNNNNNNNNNNNNNNNNNNNNNNNNNNNNNNNNNNNNNNNNNNNNNNNNNNNNNNNNNNNNNNNNNNNNNNNNNNNNNNNNNNNNNNNNNNNNNNNNNNNNNNNNNNNNNNNNNNNNNNNNNNNNNNNNNNNNNNNNNNNNNNNNNNNNNNNNNNNNNNNNNNNNNNNNNNNNNNNNNNNNNNNNNNNNNNNNNNNNNNNNNNNNNNNNNNNNNNNNNNNNNNNNNNNNNNNNNNNNNNNNNNNNNNNNNNNNNNNNNNNNNNNNNNNNNNNNNNNNNNNNNNNNNNNNNNNNNNNNNNNNNNNNNNNNNNNNNNNNNNNNNNNNNNNNNNNNNNNNNNNNNNNNNNNNNNNNNNNNNNNNNNNNNNNNNNNNNNNNNNNNNNNNNNNNNNNNNNNNNNNNNNNNNNNNNNNNNNNNNNNNNNNNNNNNNNNNNNNNNNNNNNNNNNNNNNNNNNNNNNNNNNNNNNNNNNNNNNNNNNNNNNNNNNNNNNNNNNNNNNNNNNNNNNNNNNNNNNNNNNNNNNNNNNNNNNNNNNNNNNNNNNNNNNNNNNNNNNNNNNNNNNNNNNNNNNNNNNNNNNNNNNNNNNNNNNNNNNNNNNNNNNNNNNNNNNNNNNNNNNNNNNNNNNNNNNNNNNNNNNNNNNNNNNNNNNNNNNNNNNNNNNNNNNNNNNNNNNNNNNNNNNNNNNNNNNNNNNNNNNNNNNNNNNNNNNNNNNNNNNNNNNNNNNNNNNNNNNNNNNNNNNNNNNNNNNNNNNNNNNNNNNNNNNNNNNNNNNNNNNNNNNNNNNNNNNNNNNNNNNNNNNNNNNNNNNNNNNNNNNNNNNNNNNNNNNNNNNNNNNNNNNNNNNNNNNNNNNNNNNNNNNNNNNNNNNNNNNNNNNNNNNNNNNNNNNNNNNNNNNNNNNNNNNNNNNNNNNNNNNNNNNNNNNNNNNNNNNNNNNNNNNNNNNNNNNNNNNNNNNNNNNNNNNNNNNNNNNNNNNNNNNNNNNNNNNNNNNNNNNNNNNNNNNNNNNNNNNNNNNNNNNNNNNNNNNNNNNNNNNNNNNNNNNNNNNNNNNNNNNNNNNNNNNNNNNNNNNNNNNNNNNNNNNNNNNNNNNNNNNNNNNNNNNNNNNNNNNNNNNNNNNNNNNNNNNNNNNNNNNNNNNNNNNNNNNNNNNNNNNNNNNNNNNNNNNNNNNNNNNNNNNNNNNNNNNNNNNNNNNNNNNNNNNNNNNNNNNNNNNNNNNNNNNNNNNNNNNNNNNNNNNNNNNNNNNNNNNNNNNNNNNNNNNNNNNNNNNNNNNNNNNNNNNNNNNNNNNNNNNNNNNNNNNNNNNNNNNNNNNNNNNNNNNNNNNNNNNNNNNNNNNNNNNNNNNNNNNNNNNNNNNNNNNNNNNNNNNNNNNNNNNNNNNNNNNNNNNNNNNNNNNNNNNNNNNNNNNNNNNNNNNNNNNNNNNNNNNNNNNNNNNNNNNNNNNNNNNNNNNNNNNNNNNNNNNNNNNNNNNNNNNNNNNNNNNNNNNNNNNNNNNNNNNNNNNNNNNNNNNNNNNNNNNNNNNNNNNNNNNNNNNNNNNNNNNNNNNNNNNNNNNNNNNNNNNNNNNNNNNNNNNNNNNNNNNNNNNNNNNNNNNNNNNNNNNNNNNNNNNNNNNNNNNNNNNNNNNNNNNNNNNNNNNNNNNNNNNNNNNNNNNNNNNNNNNNNNNNNNNNNNNNNNNNNNNNNNNNNNNNNNNNNNNNNNNNNNNNNNNNNNNNNNNNNNNNNNNNNNNNNNNNNNNNNNNNNNNNNNNNNNNNNNNNNNNNNNNNNNNNNNNNNNNNNNNNNNNNNNNNNNNNNNNNNNNNNNNNNNNNNNNNNNNNNNNNNNNNNNNNNNNNNNNNNNNNNNNNNNNNNNNNNNNNNNNNNNNNNNNNNNNNNNNNNNNNNNNNNNNNNNNNNNNNNNNNNNNNNNNNNNNNNNNNNNNNNNNNNNNNNNNNNNNNNNNNNNNNNNNNNNNNNNNNNNNNNNNNNNNNNNNNNNNNNNNNNNNNNNNNNNNNNNNNNNNNNNNNNNNNNNNNNNNNNNNNNNNNNNNNNNNNNNNNNNNNNNNNNNNNNNNNNNNNNNNNNNNNNNNNNAAAAUGGUGGUUGAGAUCAUUUGUUUAUAUAAUUAUGUGAUUAGUGAAGAAUAUAUGCAAAUCAAGAUAAUAAUUUUUCUAUUAGAAAUUGUGACUACAAAAAAAAAAAAAAAAGGUUACACUUUAUAAGUGCACAUAAAUUGCAACAAGUAGAUAAGCAAAGGUUACACUUUGUAAGUGUUUGUGUAGAAGAGGUAUAAAAGGCAACACUUUUUAAGCGUGCCCAAUAACAAAGCAAAGACCACACUUUAAAGUGUAAUUUUAUCAAAUAAAAGUGUUGCUAUGAAGAUGCUACAAAGCGUUGCCUUAUACCUCAUUGGCCACGCUUUUAAGUGUAGCUUUUAUGACAACACUUAAAAAGUGUGGCCUAAAGUCAAAGGUUACGCCUCUUUAGGCCACCCCCGAAAAAGUGUUGCCAAAAGUCAAAAAGUGUAGCCUUAUAUCAAAGGCCACACUUUUUGUCUAGUUUAGGCCACACUUGUAGGGGUAGCGAAAAGCCUAAAAUGUUGUAGUGGUCUACUACUUCAACAACACCAGUAUGUUGCCCGACUCAGCAGAGUAACUCAUCUGGUACAGGUUGUGGUCAGCACUAAAACAGGUUAUAUGCUCUUCAGGCUCGCCAGAAUCAGGAAGAUUCUCCUGAUGUGGUCACUGGUAUAUUAUGAGUCUUUAACUUAGAUGUUUAUGCUUUGUUAGAUCCUGGGGCUACUCUCUCCUUUGUAACUCCCUAUAUAACAAUCAACUUCGAUGUUAGUCCAGAAACUCUCUCAGUCUCUACUCCAGUCGGUUACCCAAUUAUACCUAGACGGGUAUACAGAAAUUACCCUGUCACAGUCUCCCAGAAAAUCACCUCAGUAGAUCUUGUAGAGUUAGAAAUGGUAAACUUCAAUGUCAUUUUAGGCAUGGAUUGGUUACAUUCCUGUUAUGCCUCAGUCGAUUGUAGAACUAGGAUCGUUCAUUUUUAGUUUCCAGACAAACUAAUCUUAGAAUGGAAGGGUAGUAGGUUAGCGUCUAUGGGUCGAUUCAUUUCUUAACUGAAGGCUAGAAAGAUGAUUUCUAAGGGGUAUCUCUAUCAUCUAGUUCGGGUUAAGGAUUCAAGAUGCGAAACCUCAACUCUUGAGUUAGUUCCUGUAGUUAAUGAGUUUACAGAAGUGUUUCCAGAAGAUCUUCCCAGAGUUCCUCCCGAAAGGGAAAUCAACUUUGGAAUUGAUCUCCUUCCAAAUACCCAGCCUAUUUCUAUUCCUCCUUACAGAAUGUCUCCAACUGAGCUUAAGGAAAUGAAAGAGCAGUUGAAAGACCUUUUAGAUAAGGGCUUCAUCAGACCAAGUAUUUCCAAAUGGGGUGCACCAGUGUUAUUCGUGAAAAAGAAAUAUGGUUCUCUUAGGAUGUGCAUUGAAUAUCAGCAGUUGAACAAAGUCACAAUCAAGAAUAAGUACCUUAUUCCCAAGAUUAAUGACUUGUUUGAUCAUCUUCAGGGUGCUAGUCAUUUCUCGAAAAUAGACCUCAGAUCCGGUUAUCAUCAGCUCAGAUUCAGAGGUAGUGAAAUUUUGAAAACAACCUUCAGAACUCGGUAUGGUCAUUAUGAAUUUGUAGUUAUGUCUUUUGGACUAACCAAUGCUCCUGCAACUUUCAUGGAUUUAAUGCAAAGGGUGUUCAAACAGUAUUUGGACUUGUUCGUUAUCGUCUUUAUUGAUGAUAUCCUUAUUUACUCUAGGAAUGAGGAAGAACAUGCGAAUUAUUUGAGGGUUCUCCUGUAAACUCUCAAGGAUCGCCAAUUAUUCGCUAAGUUUAGCAAAUGUGAGUUUUGGUUGUAAUUCGCUUGCUUUCCUUGGGAAUAUUGUGUCUAGCAAAGGGGUCCGAGUGGAUUCUCAGAAAAUAAAAGCAGUGAAACAAUGGCCCAGACCUACCUCUCCUUUAGAUAUCAGAAGUCUCUUGGGUUUAGCUGGUUAUUAUAGAAGUUUUGUGGAAGGAUUUUCAUCCAUAGCUUCUUCAUUGACUAGGUAGACUCAGAAAAAAAAGGUUAAGUUUCAAUGGUCAGAUGAUUAUGAGAAAAGUUUUGCCGAACUGAAAACUAGGUUGACUACAGCUCUUGUCUUAACUCUACUAGAGGGUUCAAAUGGUUAUGUUAUCUAUUGUGAUGCAUCCAGAGUCGGCCUACAUUGUGUGUUGAUGCAGCGAGGUAAGGUUAUAGCUUAUGCUUCUAGGCAACUUAAAGGGAAUGAGAAGAACUAUCCAACUCAUGACCUCGAUCUUGCAGCAGUGGUGUUUGCACUUAAGAUUUGGAGACAUUACUUGUAUGGUUUUCACGUAGAUGUGUUCACAGACCAUAAAAGCCUUCAGUAUUUGUUCACUUAGAAAGAGUUGAAUCUUUACCAGAGGAGAUGGCUUGAAUUCCUCAAGGAUUAUGAUAUGAGUGUGCAUUACCAUCCAGAGAAGGCCAAUCUAGUAGCAGAUGCUCUUAGCAGACUAUCUAUGGCUAGUGUAGCACAUAUUGAGGCAGAAAGGAAAGAACUAGCAAAGGAUGUUCACAGGCUUGCUCUCUUGGGAGUUUGCCUUAUGAGCAUAUCAGAUGGUGGUGUAACAGUUCAGAAUGGGGCAGAAUCUUCAUUGGUAGUGGAGGUUAAGGAAAAGUAAGACAGUGAUCCAAUAUUGCUUCAACUAAAGGGUGCAAUUCAUCAUAAGAGAAUUGAGGUUUUUGUCCCAAAGGGGAGAUGGUGUGCUUCCCUAUCAUGGUCGAUUAUGUGUUCCUAAGGUGGGUGAGUUGAGACAACAAAUUCUUGCAGAAGCCCAUAACUCCAGGUAUUAUAUUCAUCCAUGCUCCACUAAGAUGUACCGUGAUCUGCGGGAAGUCUUUUGGUGGAAUGGCAUGAAGAGGGAUAUAUCAGAUUUUGUGGCUAAGUGCCCCAAUUGUCAGGAAGUGGAGGUAGAACAUCAGAAACCAGGAGGUAUGACCCGAGAGAUCAAUAUUUCUAUAUGGAAGUGGGAAGUGAUCAUCAUGGACUUCAUCACAGGUUUACCUCGUACUCACAAACAUCAUGACUCCAUUUGGGUGAUUGUUGACAGAGUUACUAAGUCUGCGCACUUUUUGGCUAUUAAGACUACAAAUUCAACGGAGGACUACUCCAAGCUUUACAUUAAUGAGAUAGUCAAGUUGCAUGAGGUUUCCAUGUCUAUCAUCUCAUAUAGAGGUCCUCAGUUUACCUCUCAUUUUCGGAAGUCAUUUCAGAGGUUGCAUGGGGUUCCCUUGUCUAUCAUCUCAGAUAUAUGUACUCAGGUAAAUCUCAGUACAACAUUUCAUCCACAGAUGGAUUGUCAGGCAUAGCGUACCAUUCAGACCUAAGAGGACAUGUUGAGAGCUUGUGUGAUAGACUUCAGGGGUAGUUGGGAUGAUCACCUUCCUCUUAUAGAGUUCGUGUACAAUAAUAGUUACCAUUUCAGCAGUCAGAUGGCCCCUAGUUGUAGAUCUGCAGUUGGUUGGUUUGAAGUAGGUGAAACAACCUUUAUAGGGCCAGAUUCGGUUAAUGAUGCUAUGGAAAAAGUUCAGCUCAUUAGGGAUAGACUUAAGACAGCCCAGAGUCACCAAAAGUCCUAUGCAGAUGUAAGGAGAAUGGACUUAGAGUUCCAAGUUGAUGAUUGGGUUUUCCUGAAAGUGUCACCUAUGAAGGGGGUGAUGAGAUUUCACAAAAAAGGGAAGCUCAGUCCUAGAUAUGUAGGCCCUUACGAUAUCUUGAAAAGAGUCGGUAAAGUGGCUUAUGAGUUAGAGUUGCCAGCAGAACUAGCAGCAAUGCAUUCGGUUUUUCAAAUUUCGUUGUUGAAGAAGUGUGUGGGUGAUCCAGCAUCUAUAUUACAUUUACAAAGUGCGACUGUGAAGGAUAGUCUCACUUAUGAGGAUAUGCUAGUUGAGAUUCUUGAUCGUCAAGUUCGAAGGUUGAUAAAGAAAGAAGUCGCGUCAGUUAAGUUUUUGUGGAGGAGUCAGUCGGUAGAGAGAGCUACUUAGGAAGCAGAAGCAGCCAUGAAGGCCAAGUAUCCUCAUCUCUUUCCUUCCGAUUCCACUCCAGUUUUCAGUCAUUCAUGCGUAGUUUCAGCCUUAGUAUCAUGUUCCUUCAGUUUGUACUUGCAUUUUCAGCGUAUUUACAUGUUCUUAGAACUUAGUUCAGUCAGGAUUCACUUUCCAGUACUUAGUGGUAGGGUUUGCAGCUCUUUCCCUCCGUAUUCAGUUAGUUUAGUCUUCAUUCGAGGAUGAAUGUUCCCAAGGGGGAGAUAAUGUAACAUCCCGUAUGCUAGAACUACCAAAAUGAAAAUUUUCAGAAGUUGCAGGUGCCACCGACGGGAACCACCCAUGGACCGUAGGGUGACCCACGGUCUGUCUUGGUAGUCUGUGGUUCACCACCUGCAACCCCCAGAAAAUUCGUCUAAGGGUUAGCCUACACCGGGAUCUACAGACCGUAGGUCAGACCACGAUUCGUGGUCCAGGGCCGUAGGUCAGACCCUUAGAUUUCAACUCUCUAAAGCUGAACGAUGGCCAACCAGAACGGACCGUCGGUCCUCCCACGGUCCGGCGGUCUGGUCCAUCGCCGACCCCCGACAAUGUUUAAGUCAGGGGUCAUUUAGUCUUUUCCCUAUGCGUAGGACCCCUAAACUACGUUGUUUAACCCCUAAACUACGUUGUUUAACCCCUAAACUACGUUGUUUAACCCCUAAACUACGUUGUUUAACCCCUAAACUACGUUGUUUAACCCCUAAACUACGUUGUUUAACCCCUAAACUACGUUGUUUAACCCCUAAACUACGUUGUUUAACCCCUAAACUACGUUGUUUGACCCCUAAACUACGUUGUUUAACCCCUAAACUACGUUGUUUAACCCCUAAACUACGUGGUUUUGGUCAAUUUUAGCCUAGGAAACUAAUUAGAACCUAACCUAAUCAAUUAUUCAUCAAAUCAAGAGAAAAUUAGAGCAAAAAUCAGAGAGAAAGUCAACCAAGUCCUAGUUCAAGAAUGCAACAAGGUUUCGUCAGUUCCAACCCCAAAAUCGAAAGAUUUCUUCGUGAAAUUCGUCACCGAGUAUGUGGGAUUUCACUUGUAGGCCUUUUACCCAUUGGGUCCUUAGAUUUCAAUAAGAAUCUUGAUUUCCUUAAAAUUAUCUAUACCUAAGGUUCCUUGAAUGUUAAGAAUUGUUGGGUUUUAGCUGUUAGAAUGAUCCAAAUCAGAUUGUCAUAUUGUUGCUUAGUUUCUUGUAUGAUAUUUAGAACCCUAGCUAUGUAGUUCCUUUAGUUCAUGAAUUGCAUAUGCUAGGUCAGUUAUUUCAGAUAUAUAUACAUGCUUCAGUUACGAAUGUCACAUUAUCAGUUAUAAUUGUGGCAUUCUUAGUGUUUGCAUGUCAGUAUUUUGAGUUAUCCAGUAUUACAAAAAAUCAGUCAUAAAUUAUUAACUACAUAAUCAAUUGGGAUUAGCUUAAUACCGAGUGGACUAGGGUCAGUCAACCUCAAAUCGUAGAACUACGUGCCCCGUAGGUUAAGUCCCUUAUGUUGGGCAUUACAUUUUUGUGAUCACGCGAGUCAUGCCUCUAUACCUCUGGACCAGCAUGCCUUUAUACCUCUGGCAGGGUAUAUUGGGUCCUCUUGAUGGGGCGUAUACAUCGGAUUCCACAUUUAGCUCAUGUGGUUUUAUGUCGGUUAUUAGUAUCUCCCACAGUCAGAUUCUAGUGCAUUGACCAGGUUAUCAAUUAUAGUUCAGUAUUCAGUUUCAGCAUAUUAUAAACUUGGUCAUUGCAUUCAGUUAAUUCAUGUUCAGUAUUCUCAGUACAGUAUCAUGAUUAUCUCAUAUCAUUGCUCAGUUAUAUGCUUUGUUCAGUUAUGUUACUGUUCAGCUUUACUCUAUACUGCAUGCUCAGUACCUUUCAAGUACUGACGCAUACUCUGCGCUACAUCUUCUCGUGAUGUAGGUUCAGGUCCUCAUCUUCCAGAUCACGCAUAGAUUUGUUCUCGAUCUUUAGCUCAGCAACAUCAGUGGUGUGUCCUCAUUCUCCGAGGAUGAUAUACAUGUUUCCUUUUUAUCUUUAGUUUUAGUUCUUGCUAGAUCUAGCUGGGGCUUGUCCCAGCAUUUCUAGUCAGUUAGAAGCUUUAUUUCAGACAUAGUUUAAUUUCAGUUUUAGCUUUGGAGUUUGAUAUUUCAAUUGUCAUUGAACUUAUAGAUUAUUUCAGUAUUCAGUAUUCCCCAUUUUUCAGUUUAUGAUAUGUUUCUAACUUCCGCACAAUAUGUCUAUUUUGUUGAAAAUCUUUAAGUAUGCUUAUGAUAUGCCAGCAGGGUUAGCUUGGGAUCACUCGUGAUCCUAGGUUCCAUGUCCGCGUCCUGGGGGUAGCUUCAAGGCGUGACACAUUUAUCCUUGCUUUGUUCUUAAGACUACAUUGUUGUAAAUCAACACUUUAGCAUCAGAAAUGGACAUAAAAGGCCAUUGGUGAAACUAUUUUGUGAACUAAAAAGCCUCAAAUGAGUUGAAAAUCUCUGACUCUUCAGUGGUUCUGUUCCUUAUCAGAGUUUGAGAGGCUCGCAAUAGGGUUCUUCAAGCUGUAAUCGUCAAUCUUCUCAGGUUCAUACUUGUCAAGUUUUUUUUUAAAGUUUUGCGAUCUUAGACUCUAUUCUAAGGAUUAUUCCCGAAGAGGGAUGAUUACACCUACUCCACAUUUAGUACAACCAAUUUUUGUAGUAGCACCUUUGGCUAGAGGUGAUGCCUAGGGUUAGGAUCAAUGUGGUGGUCAUUGUGGGGCUUGAGGAGGACCCCAGAGAGGUAAGCCAGGUGGUAUAUUGGAUUCUCAUUUUAGAGGUGGACAGGGCUACCUAUAUGUAACUCCAAUAAGGGUGGAGGCUAAGGCAUCGGACGAUGUCAUCAUAGGUAUGAAUUUUUUAUGCCAUUAUCCUGCCUCAUCUUUAUUUAAUAUGGUUUCUAUAUUCUCUUAUGUAUGUGUGCACAACUUAUAGGUAGUUGAACGAGGUUACAGUGAAAAUUAGGUAUCUUAUGCCUCGUAUCCAUUAUUUGUUUGAGUAGCUUCAGGAUGGUGUAGUGUUCUCUGAGAUUGAUUUGAGAUUCAUUACCAUCAAUUGAGAAUUAGGUGGUGGACAUCCGUAAUAAAGCUUUUAGGUUUUUUUACGGUCAAUAUGAGUUCCUAGUGAUGUCUUUUGGAUUAACUAAAACUAAUGUGAUAUUCUUCAACUUGAUGAAAAAAUAUGUUCAGGACUUAUAUAGACUCCUUCGUAUGGUGUUCAUUGAUGACAUCCUUGUGCUCUCAUAGAGUAGGGAAGAUCAUGAGCAACAUUUGGAGGACUGUCCUCCAAACUUUAAGAAAUCAAAGGCUUUAUGCCAAGUUCUCAAAGUGAGAAUUAAGUUUGUAGUAUUCUUGGGGAACAUAGUGUCCAGUGAUAGCAUUAUGAUUGAUUUGAUAAAGAUUGAGGCUAUUCGUGAUUGAGCUAAGACCAUUUGAAUUACUAAGAUUUGGAGCUUCGUCUGAUUAGUUGGUUACUAAAUAUGAUUUAUGAAGCAUUUCUCAUCUAUUGCAUCAUUCUUUGACCUGAUUGACUCAUCUUGAUAUUCCUUUUGAGUGGUAAGAUGAGUGUGAGUUGAGCUUUCAAGGGAUCAAGGGGUUGCUUACUCUUACUCAUGUUCUGACUCUUCCAGUUGAGGGUGAGGGGAUCAUAGUGUAUUGCGAUGCAUUUGGCAAUUGUUUGGGUUGUGUAUUGAUGAAUCAUGGUCGUAUGAUUGCAUAUGUGUUGUGGUAAAUUAAGGUACAUACAUGCAACUACCCCACUCACGAUUUGGAGUUGGCGGUGGUAGUAUUUUCGCUGAAGAUUUGGAGGCAUUACUUAUAUGGAGUCCGAUGUGAGAUCUAUACUGAUCACAAGAGUUUGCAGUAUAUUAUGAGCCAUAAGGACCUUAAUUUGAGGUAGCGUAGAUGGAUGAGCUCCUGAAGGACUACUGAUGAGUCCACAAAUUGGACUCAUUUAGGGAUAUAUUUUAAUAGAAAUUGUGUCCUCAAAUGCUUAUUUUAUCUCAAUAUUAGAUGAAAACCCUUAAGUUUUAGGUAUUUGAAGUUUGAAGGAAAGCAUGGACACUACAUCACAAAAAGGAACGAAAAGGGUGAAAAGAAUGAAGAAAUAAAGGCCUGACGAUCGCCGAGUCCACUUGGCGAGUCACCGAAGGGUCUUACUUCGCCUUUUGUUCCAGUGUGCUGAACAUUGAAGGAAAGGAUCAAGUCAGCGAAAAAAGAAAGCAGUCGGUGCAUCGCCGAGAAGUUCCGCGAAGCUAUACCAUGUCGCCUAAUGACACAGAGCGCGACAAUGCUGAAGACUGGUGCAAGACGGCGAUGAACUACACCAAAGGGUAAAUCACCGAGUUGAUCAGCAAUUUCGACUAACGACGCCGAAUGAUCUGCUGCAACACAAAUAUGUGAAAACUAUAAAUACUAGUUAGAGUUGUAGUUUUAAGAGUCAAACAAUUAUUAUAAUUUUCAUAUAGAAUAGUACUUUUUGAUAUUUUUGCUCUAAGCUUGAGAGGGGUUUGAAGACUUGAAGAUCCAAAGGGUUUCAUCUUCAAGAUUUUGGAUUUGGGUCUCUUGGAUUCUUUGAUUUUGGCCUGUAUCAAGAAUUAAAUCUUCAUACCUAGUUAAAUGCGAACUUAAUUUGGUAUAAAUUUCUAUCUCUUAUAUAUGCGUGGCUAAAAACCCCAAUUCUUAGGGUGUGAUUUAGCGAAUAUGGGUUAAGAUAAUUGUUGGGUCUUGCUUGCUGAUAGUUUAAUCGUAGUUUAAUUGUGAUUUUGUUUAGUAGUUGUGGAUGAAUUUAAUGAAUUUGUAUUUGCAAAUACAAGUUUAUUUAUGUGUUUUCGGCUUGCUCGAAAAAGAGGUCGUAAAAGUAAGACAACUAAAUUGAUGGCCAGUGCUAGUGGGUCGACAUUAGGUUCAGCUCGAGAGAGUGAACCCUAGUCCCAUAUCCACACACUCAGCUCGAGAGAGUGAGUGGGUUAAGGCAUAGGCUGGUCUUCAUGCGACAAGUGGGUGUCCUAGAGGAACGCAUUUGAAAUGGGGUAAGUUGCUCAAAAGAGAGCUUAUCCCCCUUAAAGUCUAGCCUAGUCACAAUUACUCUAUGAAUCUUCUAUCGAAAGCAUGUACCCAAUAAUCUAGCAUAACCCGUAUUCCCUUCACAUCCUAAGGAUCCCCUCUCAUUACUUAGAACAGAUUAAAGAUUCAGGGGUUGAGGACAAUUAUUGAGGAAAAGAGUCUGUCAACUGAUGGGGUCAUUGAUAGAUACCCAUAGAUUAUAAGCUGUCUAAAGUCUCAUAAGUUCCAGAUCUUCACCAAGCCCUGUGGCCCAUAUAUUCCAAAUUGGGUUUGUGAAUUCUACGCUGCUUAUGGGGCCUUGAUACCACAGAGGAAGAAGCAAGCAACGAGAUUCAAGCCGGUUGACUAUGUAGUUGUCUGGGGAAAGAAAGUCAAGUGUGAUAGUGAGGCUAUUAAUGAUAUCCUGGAUUGUCCUGAUGACAUUGAUGAUGAGUGCCAGCAUCUGAUCAGGACAAAGACUUUAGACAAUAUGAAGAAAUGGUUGGCCCCGCUGAUAUCAGACGGUACUCCCAAGUGGCUAGAGAUUGGAGCACCAAUUGAAAAGAAGGAUCUUAACGUAGCUGCAAGGUUCUGGUUUGGCUUCAUCAAAAGUACUAUCAUGCCAUCCCAGAACAAUUCGAUCCUCCGCCUAGACAAGGCAGCCUAUCUGGGUUGCAUCAUUGAGGAGACAAGGAUAAAUUUGGGGAUCACUAUGGCACAAAAGAUGGUCAUGAGGGCCAAGCAUCACUAGACCUCACUUCCCUUCCAGGUGUUUAUCACCGAGUUGUGGAGAUGGGCUCGGGUUCCUAGCGAUGCAAAGAAGGAUGUGGGAGUGAUUCCCAUAUCAUCUACUGAUAUCCGGAUGAUUGAGGCAGAAUAUUUAAAGGAUUAGGCGGAGAAAAAAGAGGGUAGCCCUGAUGGACUCUUCCCCAGUUGUGGACAUAGACUCACUACCUGCAGAGGCAUCUUUUCCUACUUCGGCCCCUCGGCCUUCAGAUAUCUCUAUUGUUGUCCCUUCUGACACCCCUAGUUCCUCUGCUGCUAUGUUGCCUCCCAGAGCUGUUGUUGUUGCUAUUUCCUAGACCCUGUUACUCAGGUUGCAUUACUCCGAAUGGGGCAGCUUACCCACUCUGCCAAUCGUCGUGCUGCCAAAAUCGAGGCCUCAAUUCCGGUCAUGAUUCAGACUGCCCUGGCUGAUGCUGUAACACCAUUGAGCGCUACCAUUGAUGCCCUUGCGGCUAGGAUUGCGGUGUGUGAGCGUGGCUAAGGGGCCACCGAGGAGGUGACGGCCUGAGGAUCGCCUAACCCAUUGGGCGAGUCGCUGAAUGGCCAUGGUCUAGCCUAUUGUUCCAGUGUGCCAAGCCCUGAAGGAGAAAAUCAAGUUCGCGAUAGAAAGGAGAAAUCGGCGAGUCAUCGAAUGGUUCCGGGAUGCGUGCUAGAUCACCCAAAGUUACAGAACUUGAAGAUGGUGAAGGCCAAAGCAAAAUGGUGAUAGAAUUGACCAAAAGGGCGGAUCACCGAGUGGAUCGGUGAUCCCAAGUUAUUGCGCCGAAUGGUCCUUCGCAGCAUAUUUUUGGCGACUAUAAAUACAUUUUUAAAUUCCUAGUUUAGAAUCAAGUUUUCAUUAUAGAAAUAUUUUUAUCAGUUUUGAAGUUGAGAGCUUAGAAAUGAGAGUUUGAGACAAUAUUUCCUUAGCUUUGAAGAUUUCCAUUUCUGAGAAAUUGGAAGUGGGUGUUGAAGAUUCUUCAUCUUAGACCUCUGUAAAGACAAUAUUAAUCUUACCCAGUUGAUGGAAACACAAUUUGGUAACGAAUUUUAUCUUUUUAUGAUGUCUAGCUAAAAUCCCAAUUCUUGGGGUGUGAUUAUGUGAUUAUGGGUUGAUUUAACUGCUGGGUAUUAUUAAUUGAUAUUUUAAAUGUUGUUUAAAAGUGAUUUCAUUCAGUAAUUGUGGCUUAAUCUAAAGGGUUGUAUUUGCAAAUGCAACUCUACCUUCGUGUUUUUGGCUUGCUCGAGAGAGAGGUUUAAAAACGAAGAUUACUGAAUUGAUGGUCUAUGGGUAUUGGGUUGUCAUGGGUUCAGCUCGAGAGAGUGAAUCCUAAACCAUUUUCCACACAUUCAUCUCGAUAGAGUAAAUGGAAUAAAGCGUAGGUUGUUCUUAAUUGCUGCUUAUUGGUGUUCGAGAGAAACCAAUUUGAUUCAGGGUAAAUUGUUCGAGAGAAAGUUUAUCCCCACUAAAUCUAGCUUAUUCACUGAUUUACAGUUAUUUAUUAUUAAUUACAAUCACCCAUUUGUCUACCUUAGCCCAUAAUCCAAUGGUGAGAAGGGAAAAAGACAAUUAGUCAGAGAUGUGCACUGACUUGCACGAUUGGGAGUUUGGUUGUUGGAUUCCAAUGAAGGUGGAUUGGUGGUGAUUGAUGAGUCCACAAAUUGGACUCAUUUAGGGCUAUAUUUUUAAUAGAAAAUUGUGUCCUCAAAUGCUUAUUUUAUCUCAAUAUCUGAUGAAAACCCUUAUGUUUCAAGUAUGUGAAGUUUUUAGGAAAGCAUGGACACUACAUCGCAAAAAGGAACGAAAAGGCUGAAAAGAACGAAGAAAUGAAGGCCUGAGGAUCGCCAAGUCCACUUGGCGAGUCGUCGAAGGGUCUCACUUCGCCUUUUGUUCCAGUGUGCUGAGCCCUGAAGGAAAGGAUCAAGUCGGUGGAAAAAAGGAGCAGUCGGCACAUCGCCGAGAAAUUCUGCGAAGCAGUACUAUGUCGCCCAAUGACCCAGAGCACGACGAUGCCAAAGGAUGGUGCAAAACGGUGAUGAACUACACCAAAGGGAGAAUCGCUGAGUUGAUCGGCGAUUCCAACUAAUGUCGUCGAAUGGUCAGCUGCAGCACAAAUUUUUUGAAAACUAUAAAUACUCAUUGAGAGUUAUAGCUAAGUAUCAGAUUUUUAGUGUAAAAAUCAAUUAUUAUAAUUUUCAUAUAGAAUAGUACUUUUUAUUUUUGCUUUGAGUUUGAGAGGGUUUUGAAAACUUGAGAAAGAAGAUGGUUUCAUCUCCAAGGAUUUGGACUUGGGUCUCUUGAUUUCUUCAUUCUUGGCCUAUAACAAGACUUAUAUACUCAUACCCAUUUGAAUGCAAGCUCAUUUAGGUAUAAAUUUCUAUCUCUUGAUGUGUGGCUAAACAUCCCCAUUCUUGGGGUGUGACCUAGCGAAUAUGGGUUAAUAUUGUUGUUGGGUCUUUCUUGUUUAUAGAUUAAAUGUAGUUUAAUGGUGAUUUCACCUAGUAGUUGUGGUUGAAUUUAAUGAGUUUGUAGUUGCAAAUACAAGUCCACCAAUGUGUUUUCGACUUGCUUGAGAGAGCGGUCGUGAAACCAAGACUGCUAAACUGAUGGCCUAAGGAGUGGGUCGACAUGAGGUUCUGCCCGAGAGGGUGAGCCCUAGUCCCAUAUCCUAACACUCAGCUCAAUAGAGUGAGUGGGGCAAAGCGUAGGCUGGUCUUCAUGCGGCAAGUGGGUGUUCGAGAGGAACCCAUUUGAAACGGGGUAUGUUGCUCAGAGAGAAUUUAUUCCCUGAACAGAUUAAAGAAUGAGGGGUUGAGGACAAUCAUUGUGGAGAAGCGUCUAUCCACUGAUGGGGUCAUUGACAGGUACCCAGAGAUUAUGAGUUGACUGAAGUCUCAUAAAUUCCAGAUCUUCACCAAGCCCCGUGGCCCGUAUAUUCCAAAUUGGGUUCGGGAGUUCGACGUUGCUUAUAGGGCCUUGAUACCACAAAGAAAGAAGCAGGCAACAUCAUUCAAACCUGUUGACUAUGUAGUUAUCAGGGGAAAAGGGUGCAGUGUGAUUUUACUGCCAUCAAUUUUGUUCUAGAAUGCAAUACAAGACUUGAAGAUGCCUGCAUAUGAUCAGGACAAAGACGCUGGACAAAAUGAAGAAGUUGUUAGCCCCGCUGAUAUCCGAUGGCACUACGAAGUGGUUGGAGGCAGGGGAUCCAAUAGAAAAGAAAGAUCUAAACAUAGCUGUAAGGUUUUGGUUUGGCUUCAUCAGCAGCACUAUAAUGCCAUCCCAGAACGAGUCGAUUCUCCGCCUAGCCAAGGCAGCCUGUCUGGGUUGCAUUAUCGAGGAGACAAGGAUAAAUUUAGGGACGAUUAUGGCUCAGGAGAUGGUCAUGAGGGCCAAGCAGCGCCAGACUUCCCUUCUCUUUCCGGUGUUGAUCACCGAGUUAUGCAGACGGGCUCGGGUUCCUAGAGAUGCGAAGAAGAAUGUGGAAGUGAUUCCCACAUCCUCUACCGAUAUCUGGAGGAUUGAGGCGGAGUAUUUAAAGAAUCAGGCGGAGAAGAAGAAGGCAGCCCAGGUUGUUGAUCCUCAGACAUUACCUGCAAAGCCACCUUUGCCUACUCGGGCCCCUGGGCCUUCAGGUACUUCUAGUGUUGUUCCUUCUGACAUCCCUAGUUCCUCUGAUGCUAAAUUGCCUUCCAGAGCUACUGUUGUUGCUGUUUCCCAGAACCCGCUCACUUAGGCUGCAUUACUCCGGAUGCGGCAGCUAGCCCAUUCUGCCGAUCAUCGUGCUACCAGACUUGAGGCCUCCAUUCCAAGCAUGAUUCAGACUUCCCUGGCCGAUGUUGUGACACCAUUGAGCGCUACCAUUGAUGACACGACCCAGGAUUACCCCCUAUACGUAACACGGCGUACUCGAACCCGAAGUGGUCUAAUACAAGCCCUUAGCAUCAUAACAUAGGUAAUAGAAAAGUAUGGAAAAUUUUAAACUUCUUUAAGAUACAAUCGAAAAUAUUUUCAUAAGCAAGCGAAAGUCUUUACUAAAACCUUUGUCUCAAACCAUCUAUUUAAUUUCAUGAAUAAAAGGCCUUGGGAUGCAGCCCAUACAAAAUCUAAAAACCUAGAGAAAAGACAUCAGGGAAACAUGGGUUCGUCCUCGAAACUAUGAGGACUCACCAAAUCUUCAAGUCAUUUUGCCUCUUAGAAAUCUAGCCUCCAAAGUAACUCAAGUCUCCAACCAUACAUUUGGUUAGAAUGUACGCAAUAUGUGUUAGUACAAAAUGUACCAAGUAUGAAAGCUAGCACAACAUCAUAAGAGCAUCACAAAUGGUUAGUCAACAUAAGACAUAAUCAUAAGAGAUAAUAACAUAGUCAUAGUAUAUUCAUCAUAGUCAUAGCAUAAUCAUCAUAGUCAUAGCAUGAUCUCCAACAUAAGCUUCAUAUAAACAUAAGUCAACAUAAGACAUAGUUAAUGAGAAUAGGAGACAAGUCAUAAUCAUAUAAGCAUAAUUGACUCUUAGUCAUCCAUACCAUAAUAGCACUAUUCUCAAGUAACCUCAAAAGCAUACAUGUGAAAAGCAAGAAUAGCAUCCCACAAUACUACCCGAGGCAAGUAUUCCUUUUUGGUCAUCUUAAUCAUAGUCUAUAUGUAUGGUUAAGUCUUAAGCUUCUUUACCAUAAGGGCACCAUACUUCUAGGUAACCUCAAGGCACACGUGUGCAAUGCAUGAAAGGCAUCCCAUAAUAUCCUUCACCCUAAGCAUAACCUUGAAGUCAUCCUAGUCAUAUUCACCCUCCUUUGGUCUUACUUAUAAGACUACUUCAUAAAGACAAGGGAACUACCACAUUAGUCAAUCAUAUCUUGGAAGGAAACUAUGGCAACAACCCAAGCUAAGUCAUACUACAUAAGAGAACCCUUCACAACUAGUCCCAAGUCAUACUUGUGCCAUGUAUGGAUAUCAUCCCAUACUACUACCCACACUAAGUAUUCCUUUAGACCAUCAUGAAUGUCCACUAGUUGGGGACUUGUCCCUCUUGACUAUUUGCCUCUAUUCAUAUUAGGUACUUCUCUAUUUAGUACUAGGCAAGUUAUCACACCUGAAUGACUACAAGACAUCAAUUCAAGGCUACCAAGGAAUAACACCCACUAGGCUAGACCAAGCUAAUAAUCUAACUAAAAUGACCUUACUAUGCUAAGUCAAGCUACCAUCGAGAAAUACUAUCAUACUAGUCCAAACUAUCCAAGGAAGGGUAUAAAUGUCCCAUCCUAAUCACCAUGCAAUACAUCCUAUGAUGUUAAUGCAAACUAUCCUUAGGAGAGUAUGAUUCUCAAUCCCAAGCUACCAUGAGUACAACUAAGUCAAGCUAACCUUACAAGCACACCAAGAUGGUAUUGUAAGCUAUCCUUAGGAGAGUAUGAAUCUCAAUCCCAAGCUACCAUCAGUACUACUAACUCAAGCUAACCUUACAAGCACACCAAGAUGAUAUUGUAAGUUGUCCUUAUGAGAGUAUGAAUCUCAAUCCCAAGCUACCAUGAGUACUACUAACUCAAGCUAACCUUACAAGCAAACUAAGAUGCUAUUGUAAGCUAUCCUUAGGAUAGUAUGAAUUUUAAUCUCAAGCUACCAUUAGGAGAGUAUAUGUCCUCAAUCCUAAAGCUACCAUGAAUUGGUCUUGGCCUAACCAAAUCAAGGUACCAUGAAAUGCAUUCUAACAAUGCUAGUUUAAGCUACCCCUUAGGAGAGUAUAGAUCCUCAAUCCUAGGCUACCAUGCCUAUUCUAAUGGAAGCUACCAUGAAAAGCAACCUACAAAUGCUAAUUCAAGCUAGCCUUAGGAGAGCAUAAUUCCUCAAUCCUAAUCUAUCAUGAGAUGGUCUUGUCUUACCAAGUCAAACUACACAUGAAGGCAUCCUUACAAUGCCAAGUCAAGCUAUACCUUAGGAGAGUAUAGAUCCUCCAUCCCAAGUUAUCAAUCUUGGUCUUAUCCUACUAAGCCAAGCUAUAAAUGAAGGUAACGUAUGCCACAAUUCAAGCUAUUCUAGACUAACAUGAUUUGAUUUAUUUUAGGUUCUUAAGUCAACCUAGAAUCAUUCUAUGUGAGAGAACUUGAAUCUCCUAGCAUACUCAUGUCUAUGUGUAUAAGAGAAAGAGAACACACAACAAGAUCACAUCAUAUUGACUUUACACCCAAAGCCCUAACAAUGAUGGCUACAAGCCCUAAUUUCAAGCUUAACUUCACUCUAUCAUGAUCCACGUCUAAAUUACAAGAUAUUAAAUCACAUUCUUUACUAUUAAGUGAUUCUAGUCAUAAUUGCUUCAUAAGGUUCAAUUCUAACUUUACAAGUCACGAUCCUUCCUUUUCAAUCAAGUCUAGGUCAAUUCAUUAUUAGAUGAUCCUAACUAUGAUCAAUUAGUAUUCAAGACAUUGAUUUAGGAAUAUCACUUUAGAACCUUCAACUUUGCCUCUAAUGGCAUAAACCCACAAAGAUCACAUUCAUCAAUUUAGAUUAGGGUUUACCAUAGAAAUUACAUGAAUUCAUCAUAAUAUCACUAAAAAAAAGAUAAAUCAUUCAUAAUUGGGUGAUAUCCACUAGAUUGGAAUAAACACCCAAACCCUACCCACAAUGCAAGCACAACCCUAGCUAGAAUUUGGUUUUUUAUUUCACAAGUGGGGAAACUAUGGGGGCUCCAUGGGUGGAAGAACCCAUGGAUGAUUAAGCUUCACAUACCUUUAAUCAAAGCCCUAGCACAAGCUCUCAACAAUGGACUUUGUUCUUGACCCAAGCUUAAAGCUAUAUCUUCUUCUUCAAUGGGGGUUUUCUAGAGAGAGAAAUAUUCUUUGGAGAAAAUGAAGUUGGAUUUUCUUUGGAUUCUAGGGAGAAUGACUUAAUUGAGCCAAACUUAGGUCUAAUUAAAUUAUAUACCUUCUAGGAAGGGAAUAAAAUAAUAUAGAGUCAACUUUGGGAAAGAACUAAGGACCGACCCUAAACGUUUUAACUUAAAAUUUACAGGCCUUCACAACUUUCCUCGCCCUUUGCACCCUCAUGGAUCGCCAAGGGCACUAGGUGGCUCGCCAAGUGGACCCUUGGCUCGCCCAAAUUUCCAAUAAGCCCCCUAAAGGGGAAUAUCACUUAGGCGAUGGAGGGGGUAACUUGGAGAUUCGCCAAUCCAAUUGGUGAGCCACGACUUUGCUCGCCCUUUCUCCCACAACUUAGGCCAAGGGGACUUCCCACUAGGUGGCCCCAUGUGCACUUUGGCGCAUCGCCAAGUCACUUGGGCGAUCAUGCAGCCCAAUCUCUAGCUAGGCACCUAGAAGAACAAGUUCUCUUUCACUUUACCUUGAUAGCUUAGGCCCUUGCCCACUCCCUAGACUCGACAACCCCUCAUACCAAGGCCUAAGUUAGCCUAUAAGACUAUGAGGUGUAAGACGUGCCUUGACGUUCAACUACUAAACCCCUCAUUCUGUCCACGGGAGGUCCAAUCUAUGACUCUAACUCUCAUACCAAACCUUAGAACCCUAACUUUAGGCCCUAGUUUGGUCUACUAGUUUCCGGGGUGUUACAAUAUCUCCCUCUUAGGAACAUUCAUCCUCGAAUGACGAUUCUAAACACUCCUUAAAGGAAACGAUUCUAGACUAGCAGCCCAUCAUGCAUGCAACAUAUCUAGUGCACAUAAACAAGGAGGAAAACUUCAACUCCUACUAAACAUACUCAAUGCAUGAAACUUUCAUAACCAGUCAUGUUCAAGGUGGAACUACCAUCCCCUAGUCACAACGUGCUCAACAUACUCUCAUGGAGCUCAAAAUGUAGCUUCUCAUAAAAGCAUCUAUUCAAGGAGGAACCUAUCAACUCCAAAACUAAGGCAUGCUCAUAUAAUCAAUUCAUGAAGUCUAUAUGCAAAUCUUAUUUAAAUGCAUUACAACAUAAGGAAACAAUGCAAUUAAGUCAUUUCUAACAAGACCUAAGCAUUUCAUAAACAUGCAUCAUAUAAGAACAUCAUGGAAACAUACAAUUCACACAUGACUUCACAUAAGAGAAAACCAAAAGGAACUUAUCAUCUCAAGCUUGCAUAGGAGUAGAAGGAAAGGAUGAGGACAUUGGGACAUCUCAUUGUCCCUUGGCCUCCCAAGUAGCACUCUUAACCAAACUCCUUACUAAAGAAAACUCCACACUACUUCAUGGAACAACUUCUUUGUUCUCCUAUUUCUUAAAUUGCCGGUCUAAGUCUUCUACCGAUACUUCUAAAUUAGAAAGGUUCUCACAAAGCAACUAUAGCUCACAAGUAGCCUUACUAACACCACUCAAGAUCUCACAUGAGCCUAACAAACCGAGACUAAACUUCUCAUACUUACUACACCUCUCAAGGUGAAAAUUUCUAGCAACCCUAUUUCAUGAACAUCAAGGAUACUCAACGGCCUUGCUAUCUAAGCACAUUAUCCCCCACUUGGGAGUAAGCCUAUACAAACUCUUUACAACAUCACUUCUUUCAAUUCCAAGGUCAGAGCAAGUCAUCACUAAACCUCAACCCUCAUCACACAAGGUGAUUCUAAAACACCACAUUUCAUCAACUCUAUCAACAUACCUUAAAACUCAUUAUGACUAAGCCGGGUUCUACCAACAACUAAACAUAACCACAUAAUAACCUUGCUAGGUAGGCACACUAUCUCACCUCCCCCCUCCCCCGGGAGUAAGCCUACAUAAAAUCUUCUAACAUCUUUCAUACUAAAGACAACAUCACAACCUAUCAUCUCAAAUCUACCAAGUCACAUAGCCAUAAUUGGAGUCUCAACCAACCUUUCUGCCUCACUUCGUGAAGCAUAACCCUUCUAAUAGUCACAUCCUAAAGACCACCAGAUAAGGGAUAAGAGAGAGAGAGCUUAUAGAUCUAUGGCACGACUUGGAGAAUGAAGAAGUGAAGUUUCCUAAGCAUCCAAUAGCCUCCCAUUCGUAAAAGUGACGUGAUUCACAUUUAUGAACAAGACUCUAUUAGAUGUGGUUUAAGACAAUCCUAGAACCAUUCUAAACCUUGGGCUCUGAUACCAAGUUUGUCACGACUCAGGGGUACCCUCUAGACGUAACAUGAUGUACUCGACCCUGAAGGGGUCUCACAAGCCCUUAGCAUCAUAACAUGGGUAAUGGAAAAGUGUGGAAAAUUUUAAACUUCUUUAAGAUACAAUCGAAACAUUUUCAUAAGCAAGCGGAAGUCUUUACUAAAAUCUUUGUCUCAAACCAUCUAUUUAAUCUCAUGAAUAAAAGAUUUUGGGACGCAACCCAUACAAAGUCUAAAAACAUAAAGAAAAGACAUAACGGAAACAUGGGUUCAUCCUCGAAGCUAUGAGGACUCACCAAAUCUUCAAGUCUUUUUGCCUCUUAGAAAUCUAGCCUUCAAAGCAACUCAAGUCUCCAACCCUACAUUUAGUUAGAAUGUACGCAAUAUGCGUUAGUACAAAAUGUACCAAGUAUGAAAGAUAGCACAACAUCAUAAGAGCAUCUCAAAUGGUUAGUCAACAUAAGACAUAAGCAUAAGAGAUAAUAACGUAGUCAAAACAUAAUCAUCAUACUAAUAGCAUAAUCAUUAUAGUCAUACCAUGGUCUCUAACAUAAGCUUCAUAUAAACAUAAGUCAAUAUAAGACAUAGUUAAUGAGCAUAGGAGACAAGUCAUAAUCAUAUAAUCAUAAUUGACUCUUAGUCAUCCAUACCAUAAUAGCACUAUUCUCAAGUAACCUCAAAAGCAUACAUGUGCAAAGCAAGAAUAGCAUCCCACAAUACUACCCAAGCCAAGUAAUCCUUUUUGGUCAUCUUAAUCAUAGUCUAUAUGGAUGGUUAAGUCUUAAGCUUCUUUACCAUAAGGGCACCAUACUUCUAGCUAACCUCAAGGCACACUUGUGCAAUGCAUAAAAGGCAUCCCAUACUAUCCUUCACCGUAAGCAUAACCUUGAAGUCAUCUUAGUCAUAUUCACCCUCCUUUGGUCUUACUUAUAAGCUUACUUCAGAAAGACAAGGGAACUACUACUUUACUCAAUCAUAUCUUGGAAGGCAACUAUGGCAACAACCCAAGCUAAGUCAUGCUACAUAAGAGAACCCUUCACAACUAGUCCCAAGUCAUACUUGUGCCAUGUAUGGAUAGCAUCCCAUACUACUACUCACACUAAGUACUCUUUUAGACCAUCAUGAAUGUCCACUAGUUGGGGACUUGUCCAUCUUGACAAUUUUCCUCUAUUCAUAUUAGGUACUUCUCUAUUUAGUACUAGGCAAGUCAUCACACUUGAAUGAUUACAAGACAUCAAUUCAAGGCUACCAAGGAAUAGCACCCUACUAGGCUAGACCAAGCUAAUAAUCUAACUAACAUAACCUUACUAUGCUAAGUCAAGCUACCAUGGAGACAUACUAUCAUACUAGUCCAAGCUAUCCAAGGAAGGGUAUAAAUGUCCCAUACUAAUCACAUGCAAUACAUACUAUGAUGUUAAUGCAAGCCAUCCUUAGGAGAGUAUGAUUCUCAAUUCCAAGCUACCAUGAGUACUACUAACUCAAGCUAACCUUACAAGCACACCAAGAUGCUGUUGUAAGCUAUCCUUAGGAGAGUAUGAAUCUCAAUCCUAAGCUACCAUGAGUACUACUAACUCAAGCUAACCUUACAAGCACACCAAGAUGCUGUUGUAAACUAUCCUUAGGAGAGUAUGAAUCUCAAUCCCAAGCUACCAUGAGUAUUACUAACUCAAGCUAACCUUACAAACAAACCAAGAUGUUAUUGUAAGCUAUCCUUAGAAGAGUAUGAAUCUCAAUCCCAAGCUACCAUGAGUACUACUAACUCAAGCUAACCUUCCAAGCACACCAAUAUGCUAUUUUAAGCUAUCCCUAGGAGAGUAUGAAUCUCAAUCCCAAGCUACUAAUAGGAGAGUAUUUGUCCUCAAUCCUAAAGCUACCAUGAAGUGGUCUUGGCCUAACCAAAUCAAGCUACCAUGAAAUGCAUUCUAACAAUGCUAGUUAAAGCUACCCCUUAUGAGAGUAUUGAUCCUCAAUCCUAGGUUACCAUGCCUAUUCUAAUGCAGGCUACCAUGAAAAGGAUCCUACCAAUGCUAAUUUAAGCUAACCUUAGGAGAGCAUAAUUUCUCAAUCCUAAGCUACCAUGAUAUGGCCUUGUCUUACCAAGUCAAGCUACACAUGAAGGCAUCCUAACAAUGCCAAUUCAAGCUACACCUUAGGAGAGUACAGAUCCUCCAUCCCAAGCUAUCAAUUUUGGCCUUAUACUACUAAGCCAAGCUAUACAUGAAGGUAACGUAUGCCACAACUUCAAGCUAUUCUAUACUAACAUGCUUUGAUUUAUUUUAGGUUCUUAAGUCAACCUAGAAUCACUCUAUGUGAGAGAACUUGAAUCUCCUAGCAUACUCAUGUCUAAGUGUGAAAGAGAAAGAGAAUACCCAACAAGAGCACAUCAUAUUGACUUUACCCCAAAAUCCCUAACAAUGAUGGAUACAAACCCUACUUUCAAGCUUAACUUCAUUAUAUAAUGAUCCAUGUCUAAAUUACAAGCUAUUAAAUCAUAUUCUUUACUACUAAGUGAAUUUAAUCAUAAUUGCUUCAUAAAGGUUCAAUUUUAACUUUACAAGUCAAGAUCCUUCCUAUUCAAUCAAGUCUAGUUCAAUUCAUUAUUAGAUGAUCCUAACUAUGAUCAAUUAGUAUUUGAGACAUUGAUUUAGGAAGAUCACUUUAGAACCUUCAACUUUGCCUCUAAUGGCAUAAACCCACAAAGAUCAACAUUCAUCAAUUUAGAUUAGGGUUUACCAUAGAAAUCACAUGAAUUCAUCAUAAUAUCACUAAACAAAGCUAAAUGAAUCAUAAUUGGGUGAUAUCCACUAGAUUGGAAUCACACCCAAACCCUACCCACAAUGCAAGCACAACCCUAGCUAGAAUUUGGUUUUUGAUUUCAAAAGUGGGGAAACUAUGGGGGCUCCAUGGGUGGAAGAAUCCAUGGAUGAUUAAGCUUCACAUACCUUUAAUCAAAUCCCUAGUACAAUCUCUCAACAAUGGACUUUGUUAUUGACCCAAGCUUCAAGCUUUAUCUUCUUCUUCAAUGGGGGUUUUCUAGAGAGAGAAAUAUUCUUUGGAGAGGAUGAAGUUGUGUUUUCUUUGAAUUCUAGGGAGAAUGACUUAAUUGAGGCAAACUUAGGUCUAAUUAACUUAUAUACCUGCUAGGAAGGGAAUAAAAUAAUGUAGGGUCAACUUUGGGAAAGAACUAAGGACCCUAAACAUUUUAACUUAAAAUUUACAAGCCUUCGACUUUCCCCGCCCUUUGCACCCUCAUGGCUCGCCAAGGGCAUUAGGCGACUCGCCUAGUGGACCAUUGGCUCACCCAAAUUUCCAGUAAGCCUCCUAAAGGGGUAGAUAACUUAGGCGAUGGAGGGGGCAAGUUGGCGAUACACCAAUCCAACCGGCGAGCCACAACUUUUCUAGCCCAUUCGCCCACAACUUAGCCAAGGGGACUACCUACUAGGCGGCCCCAAGUGCACUUUGGCGCAUCGCCAAGUCACUUGGGCGAUUAUGCUCCCCAAUUGCCAAUUAGGCACCUAAGAGAACAAGUUCUCUUUCACUCUACCUUGAUAGCUUAGGGCCUUGCCCACUCCCUAGACUUGACAACCUCUAAUACCAAGGCCUAGUUAUCCUAUAAGACUACAGGGUGUAAGAUGUGCCUUGACGUUCAACUACUAAACCCCUCAUUCUAUGCAUGGGAGGUCUAAUCUAUGACUCUAACCCUCAUACCAAACCUUAGAACCCUAAAUUUUGGCCCUAUUUUGGUCUACUAGUUUUUGGGGUGUUAUAAUUUAUGCCAUUGCUACUAGGAUAGCAGUGUGUGAGCGUGGACAAUGGGCCACCGAAGAAGUGUAAGGCUUUAAAGGCCGCUAUUGUUGCGCUAAGGAGUGAUGUGGAUCAGCUGAAGUCCACUGGCAUGUCCAUGAUUUUUGGGACGGUGGAGAUUUCUAAUGUGCCAGAGAUGCCUCCGGCUACCACCGGAGAUGAGGUUAGAGUUGAGGAGACAACUGAUCUUGAGUCCGAAGCUGAGAUGGAUGAGGAGAUGCUUGAGGUUGCUGAGAAGGUUUCUUACAAAGGCCUUACAGAGACUUAGGAGGCCAUGAUCGAUGCAGUUGUGCAGACUUUAUUGGCAGAUAUUCCUUUAGCUGAUCCUAGUAGGGUUGGUGAUACUGCUGAUGUGACUCCGGGCACUGAUGCCCAAUUUCAGAGCACUACUCUGAGCACUAAUGCCCAGAAAGAUGGAGUGACUGUGUAGACAUGAUCAUUCUUUACCUCCCUCUCUGUCUUGUAUUUAUUGACUUGCGAAUAUUAUUUUGCUUGCAUUUGAGGACAAAUAGUUUUUAUUUGUGGUGGGGUGAGUCCCACCUUUUGUAACUUUUGUUAUGUCUAUAUAUUGUGUUUCUGAGAUUUAAAUUAUGUUAAUAUUGCAUUUUGUGGAUGAUGGAGCUUGUGGCUCCUUGUUUUUAAUUGUAAAUGAUUUUUGGACCCUUCCAAAAAAAAUUGUGCCACCUCUUGUUUGUGUUUGAAUGUGGUUGUUCUCUUGCAAAUUUGAGUAUCUGUCUUGAUCAAUACCGAUGACUCGAAUAGUGCUCAUAAUCGAACAAAAAUGAAUGUGCGGCUAUGAAGAGGCCAAAUGAAGUUGCAUAGACAAUAUGUGAACUUUUAGCAUCUCGUUGUGACUAGCCAAGUAUCAAAUUGAGUCUCUUGUGAUGAACAUUGCACACUAGCAAAAGUGUGGAGUCUUGUUUGACAUUGGUGUCAAUGCCUUAUGUGAUGAGCUUACCGUGAGCCAUAUGUGAUGACACCUAUAAUUUACCCCGUUGGUCCGGUUGACUAAGUGAUGCAAUCUCUUGAAAUGAUCUUAGGCAACUUUGAAGAGUGUGAAACAAUUUGACAUUAUACCUCUUUUUGUGGCCUACCUUGUGAGUGUGUGAACCUCACUUGAACACUUUUUGAGCCUUAGCCUUUCCUUGGAAGAAAUUUGAUGAAAUUUUGACAUUUCGUUAUCCCUUCACCCUUAAUCCUCAUGAGAUGUGGUUGUUUGAAUAGCCAACUUUAGGGCCAAAACCCCUAAAGUUGGGGGUGUGGUGAAAAAGAGAAGGUAAAAUCAAGAAGUGCAAAGAAGUCCCCUUUUGACCCAUGGUUUUGAGAAAUAUGGAACCCCUCCAUACAAAAAAAGAAGAAGAACAGAAUGAAAAGUUGUAGAAUAAAGUUGUGAAAAUACAAAAAGAGAUGGGGUUUCCAACAGUCCAUGGAAAGUGAAUAAUGGAGUGACUUGUGCACAAUGAGAAUGAUGAAGAAAAGGAAAGAAAGUGUUGUUCACACUACAUCUCAUGAGAAUUACGCCUCGGAUGUCCAUAUAAAGAACACGACGAGCAUAAAUACCCUCUUUAACUUCUAUUCUAACGGACUGAAUAUCUUUUAUAAGGAAUCGGAGGAAUAUGCGACGAUUUUUUCCCGGAAAUAUUGAGCCUAAAUGACCAUACCUUUCCACUCAGCCCCAUUACAAGCCNNNNNNNNNNNNNNNNNNNNNGAAUAAUGGGGUGACUUAUGAGCAUAAAGGAGAAUGAUGAGGAAAAGGAAAUGAAGUGUUGUUCAUACCACAUUUCAUAAGGAUAGAAGCCACUGAGCCUCAAUGACCAUACCUUUACACUCAGCCUCGUUACAAGCCUUGAAAAGACCUUUUUUAUCUUGAGUGAGCUGAAACACUUGUCUGUUGGAAAAUAAGGGCAAACCUAUGGGUGAAAUCAUGUAUUAUGUUCAUCUUUGUGAGUGUAAGUGUUGCAUUUGAUUCUGGAGCUUUAAAUUGUUGAACCAUUGUGUGUGAAUAUGGAAUCAUUCUUUGUGUGAGGGCAUUUGAGUAGCUUUGUUAAUCUUGAACUUGCAUUUGAAGCAAGUAUUGUGAACUUGAGAAUCUUUGAUAAUGGUGAGUCACAACUUGAAUCUUUGAGUGCACAAUUUAUCCUUGCACGAGUAAGUUGAGUCUUUUUAUGUGCAUUCAUGAUUAAAUCUUGUGUAGCACUGUUUGAGACAUCCCUUUUGAACUGCUAAACUUAAGUUUUACUUGAGGACAACCAAAAGUUUAAGUUGGGGGUGUUGAUGAGUCCACGGGUUGGACUCAUUUAGGGCUUUAUUUUAAUAGAUUUAGUGUCCUCAAAUACGUAUUUUGUGCCAAUAACUGAUGUAAAUCCUUGAUUUUCAGGUAUUUGGAUUUAGGAACAAAGAAUGGAAACUAAUGAGCAAAAAGGAACAAGGCAACUAAAAGAAAGAGGAAAAGAAGGCCUGAUGAUCGCCUAACCCAUUGGGCGAGUCGCCGAAUGGCCAUGAUCUCGCCUAAAGUUAUAGUGUGCCAAGCCCUGAAGGAGAAAAUCAAGUCGGCAAUGGAAAGGAGCAGUCGACGUGUCGCCGAACGAUUCCACGAUGCAGUGCUAGAUCGCCCAAAGUUACAGAACUUGAAGAUGCUGAAGGUAAAAGAAAAAAGGCGAUGGAAUUGACCAAAGGGCGGAUGGCCGAAUGGAUCGGCGAUCCCGACUUAUUGCACCGAAUGUUCCUUCGCAACAUAUUUUUGGCGACUAUAAAUACAUUUUUCAAUUCUUAGUUUAGCAUUAGUUUUCAUUAUCAAUCAGUUUUAGAAGAGAACUGAAAGUCUUGAGACAAUAUUUUUCCUUAGCUUUGAAGAAUUGAAGUUUUCCAUUUUUGAAAAAUUGGAAGUGGGUCUUUGAGAUUCUUCAACCUUGACCUUUGUAAAGACGAAAUUAAUCUUACCCAGUUGAUGGAAACACAAUUUGGUAACGAUUUCUAUCUUUUUAUGAUGUCUAGCUAAAACCCCAAUUCUUGGGGUGUGAUUAUGUGAUUAUGGGUUGAGUUAGUUGUAGCGUAUUGUUAAUUAAUAGUUUAAAUACUGUUUAAAAGUGAUUGCAAUCAGUAAUUAUGGUUUAAUUUAAAGGGUAGUAGUUGCAAAUGCAACUCUACCUUCGUGUUUUUGGCUUGCUCGAGAGAGAGAGGUUUUAAAACCAAGGUUACUGAUUUGAUGUUUUGUGGGUAUUGGGUUGUCAUGGGUUCAUUUCGAGAGAGUGAAUCCUAAACCCUUUUCCACACAUUCAGCUCGAGAGAGUGAAUGGACUAAAGUGUAGAUUGUUCUUAAUUGUUGCUUAUUGGUGUUCGAGAGAAACCAAUUUGAUUCGGGGUAAAUUGUUCGAGAGAAAGUUUAUCCCCACUAAAGUCUAGCUUAUUCACUGAUUUACAACUAUUUAGUAUUAAUUGCAAUUACCCAUUUGCCUACCUUAGCCUAUAAUCCAAUCACAUCCCAAGAACCCGUCUCUUUGUUAUUUUCGUGUCAUUUGUUGUUGUAGUUGAUAAUUACAAUCAAAAACCCCUGUUAUUUGACACUUGUGUCACCCCAAACUUGAACCAUGCUUUUAUUCGUAAAUGUUUUUACCUAUGAUUGACUUGAGCAUAUUCAUGAUUUUCUAUUGAUUCUCAAAUACAUACCACUCCCUGUGGGAUUCGACCCCAACUCACUUAGUUGGGUUAUAUUACUAACUAAUGAUCGUUGACGCUUAGAAUUGGAUGAAGUGUCAUUGAAAUGUUAUUAAUCACCAAGCAACACCAAACUUCCCUCCCUUUUUCGGUGUUGAUCACUGAGUUGUGCAGACGGGCUCGGGUGCCUCGGGAUAAGAAAAAGGAUGUAGAAGUUACUCUCACCUCCUGUACAGACAUUCGGAGGAUUGAGGCGGAGUACUUGAAAGAUGAGGCCGAGAAGAAGAAAGAAGCCCCGGUGGAUACAUCCCCGGUUGUUGAUAUUCAGACACUACCUGCAUAGGCAAUAUUGCCUACUCCAGCCCCUGGGUAUUCAGGUACAUCUAGUGUUGUCCCUUCUGUUACUCCCAGUCUCUCUACUGCUCUCUUGCCUCCCAGAUCUGGUACUGCUGCUGCUGGCCAACCUCAACUGACCCAGGCUGCAUUGCUACGGAUGGGGAAGCUAGCCCAUUUUGCUGAUAGACGUGCCUCGAGGCAUGAGGCCACCAUUCCUGGCAUGAUCGAGAGGGCCCUUGCUUCUGUUGUGACACCCUUGAGUGCGGAUAUUGAUGCCCUUGCGGCUCGGUUAGCGGUGUGUGAGAAAGGUCAAGGGGCCACUGAGGAGGUGACGACUCUAAAGGCCGUUAUUGAUGCACUGAGGAGAGAUGUGGAACAGCUGAAGUCCACCGACAUGUCGAUGAUUUUAGGAACGGUGGAAAUUUCUGAUAUGCCAGUUGAUCCAGAUAUGCCUCCAGCUACCACCGGAGAUAAGGUUUGAGUUGGAUAGGUAGCUGCUGCCGAGUCUGGGGAAGAGACCGAUGAGGAGUUGCUUGUUGCUGAUGAGGAUGCUUUUUUUUAGGGUCUCACAGAGACUGAGGAGGCCAUGGUAGAUGUAGUUGUGCAGACAUCUUUGGCAGACAUACCUUUGGCUGAUCCUAGUAGAACUGGCACUAUUAAUGUGAUUCCGGGCACUGAUGCCCAAGAUCAGAGUGUCGCACCGGGCAUUGAUUCCCCAACAGAUGGAGAGACUAUGUAAUCAGGACCUUUCUUUACCUCCCUCUCUGUCUUCUUUUCUUGAUUUUUGGAUAUUUUAGUGCAUUUGAGGACAAAUUGUUUUCUGUUUGUGGUGGGGUGAGGUAUUCCAUACCUACCUCUUGUGUUGAUGACAUUUUCUGUAUAUAUUGGGUUUUGUGCUAUAUAUUGUGUUUUGACAUUAUUUUUGUGGAUGUUUGAUCUUGUGGUUCCUUAUUUUGAAUUUGAAUGAUUUUUGGACCCUUCCGAAAAAUUUUGCCACCUCUUGUGUAUUUAAUUGUGGUUGUUCUUGUGUAAAUUUGAGUGUCGGUUGUGAUCAAUACCGAUGACUUGAAUAGUGCUCUCAAUCGAACAAACAUGAAUGUGCAGCUAUGAUAAGGCCAAAUGAAGUUGCAUAGGCAAUAUGUGAACUCUUUGCAUCUCAUUAUGACUAACUGAUUAUCAAAUUGAGUCUGUUGUGAUGAACGUUGCACACUAGCGAAAGUGUGUAUUCUUGUUUGACAUUGGUGGCAAUGCCUUGUGUGAUGAGCUUACCGUGAACCUUGUGUGAUGACACCUAGAAUUUCCCCCCUUGGCCCGGUUGACUAAGUGAUGCAAGCUCUUGAAAUGAUCUUAGGCAACAAUUUUAAAGAGUGAAACAAUUUGACAUUAUACCUCUUUUGUGGCCUACCUUGUGAGUGUGUGAACUUUGCUUGAACACCCUUUGAGCCUUACCCUUUUUCUUGGAAAAAACUUGAGCAAAGGAAACCUUUCUUUAUCCCUUCACCCAUAAUCCUCAUGAAAUGUGGUUUGUUUGAAUAGCCUACUUAGGCCAAAAGCCUAAGUUGGGGGUGUGGUGAAAAGAGAAGGUAAAUCAAGUAGUGCAAAGAAGGCCCACUUUGACCCAUGGUUUUGAGGAAGAUGGAACCCCUCCAUACUAAAAAAAAAAGAAAAAGAAAAGAGGAAUGAAAAAGAAAAAAAAUGAAAAAGUUUGAAAUAAAGUUGUGAAAGUGCAAAAGAAAUGGGGUGUCCGGUAUUCCAUGGAAAGUGAAUAAUGGGGUGACUUUUGAGCAUGAAUGAAAAUGUUGAAGAAAAGGAAAGAAACUGUUGUUCAUACCACAUUUCAUGAGGACAGCAACCAUUAAGCCUAAAUGACCAUAACUUUACACUCAACCCCGUUACAAGCCUUGAAAAGACCUUUUUGAUCUUGAGUGAGCUGAAGCAGAUGUUGAUUGGAAAUAAGGGCAAACCUAUGGGUGGAGUCAUGCAUUUGUUCAUCUUUGUGAGUACGAGAGUUGUUUGUGAUUCCAGAACUAUUAAGUGUUGAACCAUUGUGUGUGAAUAUGGAAUCAUUCUUUGUGUAAGGGCAUUUGAGUACCUUUGUUGAGCAUGAACUUGCAUUUGAAGCAAGUAUUGUGAGCUUGAGAUUCUUUGGUAAUGGUGAGUCAUAACUUGAGACUUUAAGUGCACAAUUGAUCCUUGCAUGAGUAAGUUGAGUCUUGUCAUGUGCAUUCAUGAUUGAGUCUUGUGUAGCACUAUUUGAGACAUCCUUUUUGAACUGCUGAACUUGAGUUUUACUUGAGGACAAGCAAAAGUUUAAGUUGGGUGUGUUGAUGAGUCCAAGAUUUGAACUCAUUUAGGGCUUUAUUUGGAUAGAUUUAGUGUCCUCAAAUACUUAUUUUGUGUCAAUAACUGAUGUAAAAUCCUUGAUUUCCAUGUAUUUGGAUUGAGGAACAAAGCAUGGACACUAAUUUGCCAAAAGGAACGAAGCGAGCUGAAAGAAGGAAGAAAAGAGAGCCUAGUGAUCGCCAUGUUUAUUUGGCGAGUCGCUGAGUGGCCAUUUGACCGCCUAAAGUUCUAGUGUGCCAAGCCUUGAAGAAGAAAAUAGAGUUGGCGAGAGAAAGGAGCUGUCGGCGGAUCGUCGAGUGGUUCCGCAAUGUAGUAUUAGAUCGCCCCAAGUUACAGACCUGGAGGAUGUUGAAGGCCAAAGCAAAAAGGCGAUGGAAUUUACCAAAGAGCGGAUCACCGAGCUGAUCGGCUAGCCCGACUUACUGCGCUGAAUGGUAUUUCGUAGCAUAUUUUUGGCGACUAUAAAUACGUUUUUGAACAUUUAGUUUACAACUUUUUACAUCAUAGUAUUAAUUAGAGAAAUUUGUUAAUUUGGAACUUAGAGUAUUAAGACAAGUUUUCCUUAGCUUUGAAGAAUUGAAGAUUUUCACUUUUGAGAAAUUCGAAGUGGGUCUUUGAGAUUCUUCAAUUUGGACAUUUGUAAAGACGAAAUUAAUCUUACCCAGUUGAUGGAAACACAAUUUGGUAAUGAUUUUUAUCUUAUUAUGAUGUCUAGCUAAAACCUCAAUUCUUGGGGUGUGAUUAUGUGAAUAUGGGCUGAUUUAGUUUAUGGAUAUUGUUAAUUGUUAGUUUAAAUGUUGUUUAGAAGUGAUUUCAAUCAGUAAUUGUGGUUUAACUUAAAGAAUUGUAGUUGCAAAUGCAGUUUUACCUUCAUGAUUUUGGCUUGCUCGAGAGAGAGGUUCUAAAACCAAGAUUAUUGAUUGAUGGUCGGUGAGUAUUGGGUUGUCAUGGGUUCAGCUCGAGAGAGUGAAUCUUAAACCAUUUUCCACACAUUCAGCUCGAGAGAGUGAAUGGACUAAGGAGUAAGGUGUUCUUAUUUUGUAUGUUUGUCGAUGUUCGAGAGAAAUUGACUUGAUUCGGGGUAAAUUAUUCGAGAGAAAGUUUACCUCCUUUAUAGUUUAGCUUAUUCACUAAUAUUCAUCUAUUUCCUAAUAAUUGCAAUUACCCAUUUGUCUACAUUAACCUAUAAUCGAAUCACAUCCUAAGAACCCAUCUCUUUAUUGUUAUUAAUGUAUUAUUUGUUGCUGUUGUAGUUGAUAAUUAAAACCAAAACCCCCCUGUUAUUUGACAUUCCUGUCACCUCUGAUUUUAAUUAUGUUUUUAUUCGUAAAUGUCUAUUCCUUUGGUUGAUUUGAACAUAUUCGUACUUUUCUAAUAAAUCUAAAGCACGUACCAUUCCCUGUGGGAUUCGACCCAAACUCAUUUAGUUGGGUUAUAUACUGACUAACGAUCGUUGAUGUUUAGAACUGGAUUAAGUGUCUUUGAUAGCGUUAUUAAAUCACACGGGUCCGGAACCGAAACCUACACAAGUGUAGAAGCAAUGAGUGUGUACCAAACAACACAGUACUCAACAGUCAACCUACUAAAAAAAGCUUACGAAUAAUAUUCAAAACCUCACUGUCUAGUUCAAUCAAGUAAUCAAAAUAAGAUUAUGGAAAUAGUAAUUCUCAAUUCAUACAUUUUCAACAAUGGGUUAUAUAAACUCUAACACCCAAUUCCGAAAAUGAGAUUUGAAUUAAAAAAUCUUUACUUGAAAAUAUUACCCAAGACAUUUGAAACUCAUUGGUGAAAACCAUUUUGAAAAAAGGAGUUAAAAUCAGUUCACAAUCACUAUUUUACUUUGGAACUCAAGUUCUUGAAAAAUCUUGUCAUUUACCAAUCAAAAUCUCAAGUUUUGAUGUUAAAAUCCAUAAAUAAUCAAAGGGAAAUGAAUUUUUAUACUCCCUCUGUCCCAAUUUAUAUGACUUACUUUCCUUUUUAGUCAGUCCCAAAAAGAAUGACACAUUUCUAUUUUAAGUAACAAUUUGCCUAUAAAAUGUCUUUUUUACCCUUAGGCCCAAAUCUGGUUUUCCUGUCCGCCUGGACCAGCAUUUGGGCCUAUUUCGUUUUGGGACCAAAGACCCAAUAUUCAACACCUGUCCUAAACUAAUCUUUGAAUUUUGCUUCUCUUUGGGCCUUUGGCACAACCCUUGUCUCCUUGUAACUGUCCUAGUAACUAACAAAUAAUACUCCCUCUGUCCCAAUUUAUAUGACUUACUUUCCUUUUUAGUCAGUCCCAAAAAGAAUGACACAUUUCUAUUUUAAGUAACAAUUUGCCUAUAAAAUGUCUUUUUUACCCUUAAUGAAAUGAUUUACAACCACACAAAUUUCUAUCAUUCAUUUUGGACCACAAGUUUUAAAAGUCUUUCCAUUUUUCUUAAAGUUUGUGCCAAAUCAAAGUACAUCAUAUAAAAUGGGACGGAGGGAGUAGUUUCAAAGGCUUACCCAAUUGUUUUAGCAGAAGAAAUCUCUCCAAAUCGCCUCUAAGGGUUUUACAAAGCUUAAAAUAAGGGAAAAUGGGUAAAACUCAGAAAAUGGCAGGCAAAAAGGGUUCCCUAAUGUCUCUUAAACGAACUCAUGUUCUCUUAAGAGAAACCCACUAAAGUUGGGGGGUCUCGAUUUCGCGAACCAGGGUUCGCUUUCGUGACCAUCGCGAUCGUGACUCAUGGUUCGCUUAAGUGAACUCUGCCUAAAAGAGGUCCUUUGCUUUCGGGAUCAGGGUCUCGCUAACGCGAACAUCGCGAUCGUCAGGUACCCUUCGGGAAAGCGAGACACACCAACAACUGAAAUAUCAGCCAACUUUCAAAUCAUCGAAUGGACCCUUAGGAUUCAUCUGAAACCCCGUACACACAAACUAUAUAUGCCAAUCAAUUAUACUUGACGUUCUGGACUCAACAGAACCAUCAAAAUACGAAUCCUGGUCUUCUUAACUUGAAAUCCAUGAAAGUCACUAUAAACUAAUCAUAAUGCCUAAAAGGCUAAAUCAAGCUCGGAACUUCUAAAAAUUAAACCAAGACCUCACAUAAGCCUAAAAUCAUCCCCCAAAUUUAAUGAAACUCUUGAAAUUUUGAUAUGAGUAUCUGAACUCCGAAUGUUGAUCAAAGUCAAUCCAAAGGCUAAAAUCUUAACAAUUUUCCAAUUUAGGACCUCUGAAUAAGAAACUGACAACUCUCUCAGACCAAUUUACACAUUCUUGGACUGAUGGAAUCGAUACAGUUUCAUUCUGAUACUCGAAACUCUGAAAGACACUGAAAAUCAAUUUUUAAUAUCUUUAGCCUUUGAAUUUCAAAAACUUUCAUAAAUCACAACUCUUUACACAAAGUUGGAAACCAAAUUUUAAAAGUCAAUCAUAAAUGACUGUGGGUCAUUAUUAGGAGGAGAAAAAUGGUAAUUUUACGAAAGUUUUAAAAAAUGACCUUCCGGGUCUUUGCAUGAAAAUACAAUUCUAUCUAAAGCGAAGUUUUUUAAUGAAGGGAAAGAAGUUCAAACAAUAUUCUUAAGGGCCUUCAUGCAUUUAAUAUAGUAUAGAUAGAUUAUAAGUAUAUAUAUAUAUAUAUAUAUAUAAUGAAAGUAUUUUAUUAUAAUAGAUAGUAUAUUGUGUGAAUAUUUAGUACACACUAUAAGUAUAUCUAUAAUAUAGAGAAAAGACAUAAAGUGACACCUGAAGUUAUCUCGAAUUUUCAAAAAGACACCUUAACUUUGUGGGCGUCCUAUUACCCCACAUAACAUUUUAAAUCACAAUAAAUACACAAUUUUUGCAUAAUAUGUAUUCUAAAUGCUUGAGUGUUGGUCUCACCCCCAAUUAAUAAUAUAACUACUUUUUUUCCAACCCAUUUAGUAAAGAUCAAAUAAAAUCUCGACCUACUCCAUUUAACCCUAAACCCCUUUCAGAUUUUCACUCCACUUACUCUCUUUGAUGAUCAAAACCCUAAAGCAUUUAAAUAGUCAAAGUAAAAUUGUUUCGUGAUGAUAAUUUCUUGAAUUAUGGAGUCAAAACCAAGAAGUGAAGGCUUACAUGUUAAUUGCUUCUUGAUAUGAAUGUAAAUUUUGGUUAAAAUGUUCUUUUUAUAUAGUAGUGAUUUUUUGAAAAAUCACCUUGGUAGUGAUUUUAUUGUUAUAUUCUUCUUGUGCUAUCUAUUAUUCAUGUGUAUGUAAUGUUAAUUUAGGAUUGAUUAGAGUUUGAAUAUAUUUUCACUGAUUUAGUUUUGAAAUGCACUUUCAGGAUUUAGAAAUUAGUUGAUUUCUUGACUUUUAAAUACAAUAAAAAGAAGAAAUUGAAGCUAGUAAAGCUAUAUGAAAAUCUUGUUAAGGAUGGAGAAUUUUUAUUUUAUUGUAGAUGGAAAGCUCUUCAAUAUCAAUCAAUGGAGGUUUUGGAGAAGAUGAAAAGUUAGUUUUUUAAUAAAAAAGAAAAUCCAAAUUUAUAAUGCCACAUGACAUUUUUACACUGGGUUGGGGUGUAUUUUUACUCCUCCAUGCGCCUAUCAAAUGUGAGAACAAAACUAUUGUGAAAAUGGGUCAAACGUGUUUAUUUAUUGUGAUUUAAAAUGGUUUUAUGUGGUAAUAGGACGUACGCAAACGGUAGGUGCCUUUUUGAAAAUUUGAGACAAGUAUAGGAGUCACUUUAUGUCUUUUCUCUAUGAUAUAAUAUAAGUAUUCCAUUAUAAUAAAUAGUAUAUUGUGUGUAUAUUUUUAUUAUACGAUAUAAGUAUGUAAGCAAUAUUUUAUUAUAAAUAGUUAUCAUUAUUUCAAAAUUAAAUAGAUAACAAUACACUAUAUUGAUAAUUGAUUCAAACUUUCGAAUUCAUAAAUGGCGAUAAUUUUUUUUAAAAAGAACUCGGUCCUUUAACCAAAACCCGGCCCGACCUAGUUAGCCUGGGAACGUGUGCAGACGGGUUAUGGGCCGGGCCGAAUGGGCGGUAUUGUAACAUCUCGUACUUCAAAAAGUCAACUAGAGAUUUGUACAUGUAAAACUUCACUUUUUAAUUUUGGGUCAACUUCAAAUGACCAUAACUUUCAGCACAUAAGGAGUAGGUGGCCCAUGAGGUAUCAAAUCAAAGGUCUUCGAGUUCUCUUCCCAACGCCGCUAAGUUUGCUAAAUUCCGAGCUUAGAUGAAGGAGUUAUGCCCAUUUGAGUGCAGCCUCUCUAGUUAAGGCAUUUCUUCCAAUUUAAGGAGGGGUAUUUUGGUCUUUUCAUCAUUCCAGUAGGCCUAAACAUUUUUUUUCCACCCCAAUAGGGGUCUAAAAUCAACUGAUUGAGAUCAGUUUUCAUUCAUUCAUAAACGCUUAGGGUUGAGAGAAGGGUUUCAAGAUGAGAAAAAGAAGAAAGUUUCAAAAGUUCUUCCAAGCUUUGAGGAUUUUUGCCAAAACUUAGUUCUUUCAAGGUAUGUAAGCUUUCAUAGUGUUGGGUUUAUUCACCCUCACACCAAUUAUGUAAAUUCAUCCAUAGAUCGUAAUUUAAGUUGGUUGAUUUGAAUUCUUGAGAAGUUCUUGAGGUUUUGUUUCAUUCUUUAACAAUGGAGUCUUGUUGUGUUUUUCAGGUGAGGGUUUUGCGAAUGAGUGAAGUUCUUGACGGAAUUUGAGUGGGUUUUCAUUGAUUAUGUAUUGGGUUUAUGAAUCAAAAGAAGUUUGGAGGAAAUCAUUCGAUUAUAGAUGAAUUAGGCCUUGAAUUUGAGCAAGAAAAUUCGUAAAAAAUUUGGACAUGGGCAGUGGCAUGGGGCGGCGCGCCACCAUAGCACCAGAACUAUAGCCCAGUAGUUUGGGGCCUGGCACGGUACGCCACUCAGUGCGUCCCAAACACUGUUUAGUAGUUUUGAGGCUGGUGCCCCACGCCACUCAGUGCGCCAGGGUCGUCAGGUCCCUUACCCUUUUGUCCUUCUUUCCAUGUGUGUUUCCUCGCAUCGUACCGAAGUUCUCUUCUUGAAAUUCACUCUUAAAAUAUUCAUUAAUGUUUGAGAGAUCAUGAAUGUCCUAAUCACAUCUCUUAAUUUACAUUUUCUAAGUAAAGUCAAGAAGAAAGUUGAAGAACGUCCUUUUGAAUCAUUUUGAGAAGUCUUUUGCAAUUAUCUAUAACUUGUUUUAAGACUUGAGUAAAUGAGCAUGAUAAUGAGGAGAGUUGCGUUUCAUGUUUCAAAAUGAGUAUAAGGGAACUAAGUAUUCCCAAGUAUGUAACAUUUUUACAUUUUAAAAGAGAGAAACACAAAUUUCUAAACGAGUUUACAAGUUCAAAGGAGUUCCAGAAUAUCUCCUCUUUUAAGAGGAUCUUUUGAUUAUUUAUCUCAAAUUGAGGAAGACUUAUGUUUUUAAAUAUUUGAGAUGAUAUAUAUAUUAUUGGGAGUAGUAUUGAGCAGCAAUAUGGGGAUGAGUUCAGACAACUCAAAAUCCUCAUAAACCAUGUAUGCCAAUAUGGGUAAUGGAUCAUACUUUUUAAAUGAUUCCUUAUUGCUUUUAAUCAUGGCUUAGUGGAUCCACUUAGUUGGAGAUGUUCUAUACCACGAAAAGGUAUAGGAGAGUUUUGGCAACGUUUGCGAGACGUUGUAUCAUCACGUAGCUCAUAGUGAUGGUUGUCGGUUAGAGAAUCUCCCAAAAAAGAGUAAAGACUUUAUUAUUGUAUUUUUAUAUACAUUUGAGUUAUUAUCUACUGUUUUAAUAGCUUUAUAUAUAAUGCAUCUUUUAUUGUUGUUUUCAUAUUGAGUUGAGUUGAGGUGAGUAGGUUUUCCCUUUCUAUCAGUUCAGCUAUAUAUCCCUAUGUUCCGUUUUCCCCUUACAUGUGCAUACAUUUAAUAUAUUGAUGCCAUUUGGCCUGCAUCAUUUCAUGAUGCAGUUACAAGUAUUCAGGAUCAUCAAUCGGUGCUUCGUUGAUCCCAUCGCAUUCCAGCUAGCUUUGGUGAGCCUUCUUGCUUUCUAGAGGGCUUCACAUUAUGGUUUUGUUUUGUUAAGAUGUAGUGGGUCUUGUCCCGAUAUCUAUCAUAGUCUUGUCCCGAUAUCUAUCAUAGUUAUUAGAGGCUUCAUAGACAAUAGUAAUAUGAGGAGUCUUUCAUUGUCCCUUGUUGAUGUUUUAAGGACUUUGAGUUGAACAAUUAUGUUUAUUAAGUAUUUUAGACUAUAUUAAGUAAUUAAACUAUCAUAGUAAUUAGAUCUUAUGAGUUAAUCUUUACAUUUGAGUUUCCAAUGUUGUUGAGUAAGUCUUCCGUUGAGUAUUGAGCCAGGCCAAGGGUUCGCUUGGGGACCAGCUAUGGUUCUCAAUUGUCGGCCACGUCCAGGGUGUAGGCUCGGUGCGUGACAACUUAGUAUUAGAGCACAGAGUUCAAGAGUCUUACGAUAUCUAUGAAGCCGUGUCUGUAGAGUGAUACGUCAAAACAUACACUUCAAUUAAGAGGUAUAAAUGGUUGAAGUUAAUUUAUAGAACUAAACGUGAGUUGAGAUCUAUCCCACAUAAAAUUUCUUUACAGAAAUGGUUUCACUGUCGCGUUUACCCAAAUGUUGUUAUUUUUUCCUAAAGAGAAAAACAAUUACAGAAUACAAAAUGGGUUUAGCUGUAAAGCUCUAGUAACCAAGGUUGUUAAAUAAGAUCGAGUUUAACAAUUAACAGAGUGUUGAUUUUAAAGUUGUUUUGAUAAUUGAAUGAAACUAGAAUUGUGUUCCCCAUAGCGUUGCAUCUAGUUUUUUUCCAUAAAUGAGUUUCAGGCAAUUCAUCUCUGCAAAAUACCGGCAAGUUAGAUAUAUCUAACACUUCUCAGUCUAAUUAGAUAACUUUCACUCAAGCCCUCUCUGUCCUAGAGUGUUAACAAGUUUUACUCUCACUUACGAUAGUGUUAAACUUCCUUUCUGUCGAACUCAAACUUUGACACCAUUUCCUUAGGUUAAUUCAGCUUUUUCCCAACCAUCACUUUUCUCUCGAAUAAAUGAUAGAUACAGGCUAACUCUAAUGCGUGCACUCAUUAGAAUAAAUGAAUAAUGAAAACUAAACUAUGAUUUGCAAAUAUACAUCGUCUUCAACUCGUCUUAUGAAAUUACACUCAGAUUUACGUCAUAGUUCCCACAAUCGCAGUUGUGGUAUUUAUCAACUCAUGAUUUCAUGUAAACAUACAGAAUUAUAUAAUGAAAACAUGAUAAGAAAGUACUUAUGAAAAUAUGCAAAAUCGAUAAACACUUGAUAAUUCAAAACCGAAAAUAAAACUUUGAAACUUGAUUCAAUGUUAAUCGUCCAAAACCAUAGCUAAGAAUAUUUGAAACUUCGUUGCUCGUUCCAGAUAUGACGAGAUAAAAACAAAAACACGAACUAAAAAAUUCAAAUAGAAUGUCUAAAAUGAGUCCUGCUCGAAGUAGGACUGAGAUGUCGGGCAACUUCACGGACGCUCUAAUGGUCCGUCAAGGGUUCACGGUCCAUAAAGCGCCUCAUGAUCCUUACUUGGGAACUUGCAAACUUGGUUCUUCAAAUCCUAUGUACUGGAACCUUGUCACGGAUGUCACCACUAUUCGUGACACUGACCACGGUCCGUAUAGGUGCCCGUGGUCUUCACUUGGCCAAAUCAAUCUUCAGCUUCUCAAGGUCUCCCACCCCCGUGAGGUCGUUUGUGGUCUUUACUUGAUAUUGCCACAGUUGAUCUUCUCCACACCUACUCACUAGAAAGGUACUUCACGACCCUCAUCACGAUCAGUAGUGAAGACCACGGUCCGUGAGGCCGUCCGUGGUCUUUACUUGUUUCAAUUCACUUUCACUACAUUUUCUUCUAUCUUUUUUCACAUCCAUAUGUUUCACCUGUACAAACACUACCAAACACAUCAUAUCCAUAUAAACACACCUGAUUCUAGUAUUAAUCCCUAGUUUUCAAGCAUCAAAUGUGCUAAGAUUUUGCGGCACAUCAACACCCUCAACUUAGAACCAUUACUUGUCCUCAAGAGAUGAGAAAAAUAAUGCAUUUCACUAUCAAACAUUCAAAAUCUUUUUGAAACUGUGCAGCACCCAUCUCAAUCACAAAUUGUAUCCAAAACCAUCAAUCUAACAUGCAAGGAUCAAUAUGUGACAUUCCAUUACUCACAGUCGACCAUGCUUAUGCAUGUGUACUAUAAGCUAACACAAUCUACUAUCAAAUGCAAUCACUAUGUCCUCACACUAAAGAAGUCCCUCACUCAUGAUAAUUGGGACUAAGUUCUAUGCUCGCACUCUCAAAUAACUUCUAACAUUAACAACAAAAGACCAUAGGGUUACCUUUGCUUUCUACGCUCUAUCUUACCAACAACCAGAAUAGGAUCACUGUAGGACUUUAUCAUCUUGUAACAUAGGCUCAUGCUAGGAAAUGGAUUUUUGGGUUUGUGAGUGACUAGUACCUUGGUUCUCCAAAGUUUUGUUCGCACACAACUUUUUCUGAGCGAUUCCCUUUUUUUCUUCAUUUCAGUACCUCCCAGCAGCCAUUAUUUUAUUUUCUUUUUCUUUUCUUGUUAUUUUUAUUUCACAUUUUGUGCUUUCAGGUAACUGGUUGAACCUUCUUUUUUACUUUUCCUUUCUACUCAGGUUGUAAUCACCCUUAACUUAGGCCUUUGGCCUGAGUUGUGACAUCAUUUCUUCGGAGAUCUAAGGAUAUGAUGUUUAAUGGGUAAGAACAAAAUUGGUUCUCAGGCUCAAAUCGGGUUCAAGUGAUAAACUAUUUUAUUUGGUUGUUUUAAUUUUGGCUUUUCAAUGGCUUAGCCAAAAUGGCCUACUGAUCCUUUCCUAUCUAGUUAUUCUCAGAUUUAAGCAAGACUACUCGGGCAAGUUCUAGUUUAUGCUCCUAGCGUUAGACUUCGAGCAAACCUCACACACACGACACAUGACUACAUUCUCCAGUUUCUUGGUUCACCAAUUUAUUUUCAGACUAGCAAUGUUCAACGCAUGAGUACCUAAGAUGUCAUCUAAAGAGCCUAACAGUCAAACUCCAGAUUAAGUCUAUCAUUUCAAACAUAACUCGUUGAUGCACAACUGAACAUAAAAACUUCACAUUUUCCUCAAACACACAAACACAACAAUCACAAUUAUCAGACAAACACAGAGUCAACCUCCAUUCAUUGUAAAGGCUAACAUGGCAGGUUGCUCGCCACCCCCUCCAAAAAAAAGACUUUGCCCUCAAAGUCAAUGAAGAAAAACAAUACAGGGCUGUGUGAAGGGGUCAUACCUAUGGCGCAUUAGGCGCCGACAGCCGGAUCAGCGUCGGCACCCUUAUCAACAGGUGCACUCUCAGAAACCAACUCUGGGUCAGGUUGGCUACCACUAACCUGGAAAGGUACUCCGCUACCAGAAGCGCCAACUAACACUGCAUCUCACUAUUGUUACGCAAGUGUUUCAUCCUCUCUUCCCUUUUUCCUCGAAGCCUUGCGGGAUUUUUUUUUUGUCUUCUUUCUUCUUUGGAUAGGUCAGCCGGCAGCUCCUCAUAGAACUCUCCAGCUUUGUGUUUUCUCUUGCUGGAUUUGCUUUUAGGGAGUUGCCCCCAGAAGUCGUCAAGGGAUUGAGUGGUAGGUGGCUCACUAAACAAGUUCAUCAAUGAAUAUGGCAUGAUCGGAGUAGGCACUUGAACCGACUUCUCAGCUAGUUGAAAAACUUGAGCUCACAUCUCAGCCAACUGCAUUUUGAACUCAUCAGUAUUGACUGAACCGGCAGCCUGCAACCGUUCCUGGACAAGGACCUCCAAACCAUCCAUCCUGUCUUUUAAGACAAGCAGCUCCUUCCGCAUCUCAUCUUUUAUCUUCUUCUCUGCAGUUAACACAUCUUGCUCUAUUAGCUGGGGCAUCCGACAUACAAUUUGGUCGACUAAGGUCCUGGUCUGUCGCUGAUCUGCAACCAAUUUCUCAAGGAAUAGAGUAGGAAUAAUGACAAAAGUACCUGGAGCCUGUGAGGCUGAAGCUGGUAGCGGUGGUGCCUCUGUAGAUAAUUGUGAUGACUCCUCCUACUCUGGCCCUCUAUCCGCAUGUGGAAUGUUGAUCGGUACAUGAGGAACCACAUCCAAAGAACCCACACCUCCGACUUUCGCACCAAAUAGAUGGUUAGCAACAUCUUUUAUUUUUGAAGCCUGGGUGAGCCUGAAUGCCUCACUCCACCUAUCCACUAGCCUUUUUGGGAGGAGGGGUGUUUGCUUUCCGACAUAAUUUCCCUACCAAACAGAAAAAUGGAAAUUCAGCUCUCUCAUUUAGUGCCCUAUCCCUCAUUUAUUUCGCUAUGAUCCGCCCCACAUUUAUCAAGUAACCAUCCAUAAGGCAAGCUACCAAAGAAGCCAGUGAGGGAGACAAGGUAUUAUCAUUACCUGUAGGUUUCAACUGUGCACAGACAAUAGCCCACCAGACCUUGACUGAAAAUGAAAGUGACGCUUUGGUAAUAUGUAUCGAUAAUCUUGUAACCCAAGAUGCAUUCUCCCCCUCUGAGGAAAUUUGCCUUGCAAUCCAGUGCAUAAUCCUCUCAUGAGAGCUCUGGACCUCUAUCUCAGCUUCACUGGUUACAACAUGAUGCUUGCCCUCAAAAAGGCCAACUGAAGCUAGUGUUGUGUAUUCUGGACCAUGCAACAUCCUACUGACAAUAGACUUAGAGAUAUUCACGGAUGUGCCCCGAACCAUAAUUGAAUCAAGUGGUCCCCAAGUACUAGCAAUGUCCUUCUUCCCAUGUUUAGUUGUCUCAGUCUCUGUAGCAAAGUUCAUCAAUGUGGCUACAUAUGAAGCAUAAAACUCUCGGGUGAGAUGGCUAGAAAAUUCUCCAGGUGCGUUGUUCAUCCAGUCAAACUGAUGCAGCUAAAAUAUCUUAUAAAUAUUGGGGAAUGAUUUGAUAUCUCCCACCACCACUCUAGCCUCUGGCAUGAUUGGUCUAUUCUUGAAGCCACCCGACUUGCUCACAAUUCCAUUCUUGAAGAAGUCUUCGGACCUGUUCACAAUCCUCAUAGAAUGGAAAAAGUCAAUCAGUUGUUGACUUGCUGCGGGAUCGAAUUCAUGGAGGUGGACAUAUUGGACCAUUGUAUCAUCAGUGGUAAUGUCCUCAUCCGCUUCUACAACACCUGUCUCUUCUUGUGCUCCAGUUUCAGCUUCUAUUUCUACUGCAGGUGGAGGGGUGGUUGCAUCAUCCUGAGAGCUGCUCGCAGACUCUACACUACCUCCUGAACCAUUACCAGACUGGCUACCUGAUUCGUCACCAUUACCGGAACUACUACCUUCCUCUUUAGAUUGGGAAGGAAUGUUCUGGAGAGUGGCCCUCGUUGUAUGGGAUCCAGUAGUUCGAGGUGGGUGAUUCUCAAUAGUGUUAUUUAUCUGAACCGCCAAACUACUAGACCCUAAAGCAUUAUCACCUUCUGAUUGAGAAGCAGUAGGUGAGGAAUAUGGGGCUGCGUUCUUUAUUCGGGGAGCCAUAGUACCUGAGAAAUACAAAAGAAAAACAUUAGUACACAAAUCAAUAAAAUAACACACUAUCGGGUACUCAAACUUCCACUGUGUAAUUACAACGUGACGCCUUGCCUUAAGAAUGUCGUCACCCAAUCUAUCAUUGGGAAGGGCCACAGAAUUGAAAUGCAAAAAAUAGAAUUUAAAAGAACAUAAACAAAAAUAAUAUUUUUGUUUUUGUUAUAUAUACGGGAGCCUAGAUGGGCCGUGGUGGGUACCACGGUCCGUGAAUACAAGUGAGUACAUUGACUGUGUGGGACAACUUACUGGAAUGGACCACGGAUGGAUUCAGAGUCCAUGGAGUGAACCACGGUCUGUGAAGACGAUCGUGAUCCUACCCUGCGUAACCCCAUUUUGCUAAGUGUGGUCCAUGAGGGGUUUCACGACCCGUAGUUGAUCCCACGUUCUGUGAAGCCCAUCGUGGACUUACACUUGGCCCUUUUUAAGUGUCCCUCUUCUUCCAAAACCACAUAUGCCCAAUUUUACCCAAUUUCAUCACCCAAUCACAUAGUGACGAGAUCUAAAUGCACACGAGUUCAACAAAUUUACCACAUCAAACAAUCGCCAUUCAAACAAGAACAAUGUAUACCUCAUAUAAACAUAACCAAGGCACACAAGUGUAAUCCCCCAAUUUCAACAGUUUCAUUGGCAAAAUUCACUUAAUCAUACUUUCCGCUCACAAAUAGGACUCAAACACACAUUAAUAUCACAGUUCAACACCAAUUCCUCAAGAAUCCACCAUGCCCAUACAUCAACAACUAGUUCCAUAUAAUUUCAACAAACCCAUAUACGAAAACUCCCAACUUAAACAAACCCACUACAAUUUUGUAUCAAUAAUACUAGUUCAUCACAUAAUCAUAGUAAAUUCGAACAAUUUAAGUACUUCUAACUUGCCUAUUGAUAAGAUCAAACUUAUAACAAGUUAAAGGAAGAACUUACUUUGAAUUCGAUUACAAAUUUCACCCAAAAGAGAGACAGUAAACUUUGACUUCAAAUUCUUGAUAAAAUAGAACUAGGGUUUUGAUUAUUUGAUGAAGAAUGGACAAUUUAGAGAUUAAAAUCCCUUGUUUAUAUUUCUAAUACCCGUUAUAGAGGAGAGGAAAGGGAAAGGAACUGACCCUUGGCGCUUAGGAUAGUUUAUAAAUGCUCAAUUGAAUUUCUCUUGAUGUGCGGGUCGGGUUGGGUUUCAAUGAUUCUGGGUUAAGAACGACGGACAGUGAAGUUUCCUGUGAAGGGCACCACGGUCCUUAUAGGUGUCCGUGAAUAUGACUUGACAACAUGAAACUUGCAUGAAGUUCACGAGAGGCUAGACGGUCCGUACAAAGUCUGACGGACCGUGAACCCUUCCAUGAACCAAUUUCCAGUAGCUCCUCUUAGGUGGGUGCUUGUGACGAGCCGUAAAGUUUCCCGUGAAGGGCACCACGACCCGUGGAACUGCCCGUGAAGGGCUUCCUGCACCCAGUUCUGCAAUUCUUAGUCCAUGUACUUCCUGCACACUUCAACACCAGUGACUCUAUAAAAAUAAAGAAAAAUGAGUAAAAGUAAACUACCUAUUACAAUUACCAUCUUGGGUUUCCUCCCAAGCAGCACAGAAUUUAACGUCACGGCGCGACGCAGGUUACUUGAUUACUCAGACUUCAUCAAGCUUACAUUCCUCCACUAUUUUCACUUCUUCUGGAACACCCAAAUAUGCCUUGAUUCGCUGACCAUUUGCCUUGAACCUCUCACCCUUGUCAUUCUCAAGCUCAAUAGCACCCGACUGGAGCAACUUAGUUACUUUAAAAGGUCCAGACCAUUUGGAUCUCAACUUCCCUGAAAACAGACGAAGUCUGGAAUUGGAAAGCAACACCAAGUCAUCAGGAGUGAAGGUUCUUUUCUCAAUAUGCUUAUCAUGAUACAGCUUCAUCCACUCCUUGUACAGUGUAGACCUCUCAUACGCUCUCAAGAGGAAUUCAUCCAUCUCAUUGAUCUGAUCCAAUCUCAGGUUUAUUGUUUCACUCCAACUAAGGUUCAGCUUUUUCAAAGCCCAGAGUGCCUUAUACUCAAGCUCAACCAGGAAAUGACAUGCCUUUCCAAACACCAAUUGAUAUGGAGACAUAUCAAUAGGCGUCUUGAAAGCUGUCUGAUAUGCCCAUAGAGCAUCAUCUAACUUUCUUGCCCAAUCUGUCAUGUUGGCAUUCACUGUUUUUGCCAGAAUAGCCUUUAUUUCCCUAUUUGAUACCUCCACUUGGCCACUGGUCUGCGGGUGAUAAGGUGUUGCCACCUUGUGCUGUUUUACCCCAUAUUUAGCCAGAAGAGCACUGAAUACCUUAUUCCAAAAAUGGGAACCCCCAUCACUAAUAAUAACUCUCGGUGUGCCAAACCUUGAGAAGAUAUUCUCCUUCAAAAACCCAUCAACACUCUUGCCAUAAUUCUUAGGCAGAGGAACUGCCUCAACCCAUUUGGACACAUAGUCCACUGCCACAAGUAUAUACGUUUACCCAUAGGAGGUCACAAAUGGGCCCAUGAAAUCAACUCCCCACACAUCAAAUAGUUCCACCUCCAGUAUAGGUGUCAUUGGUAGCUCAUGGUGUCGAAAGAUGGCUCCUUGUUGCUGGCAUACACAUCUCUUUACUAUAUCCAUUGCAUCCUGAUGAAUUGUAGGCCAGUAGUACCCACUCUGAAGUACCUUGUGGGCUGUCUGAGCACCUCCAUGAUGGCCACCCACUGGAGAGGAAUUGCAGGCCUCUAAAAUAUGUAAAAUCUCAGCCCCAGGGAUGCAUCCCCUGAUGAUAUUAUCAGCACACUCCCUGUACAAAUAAGGUUCAUCCCAAAAAUACUUACCCACAUCAUGCAGAACCUCUUUCUUUGCUAAAACGUCGGUCCCUCAGGCAUCAAGUCACUAACAAGAAAGUUAGCAAAAUCAGCAAACCAAGGAAUAAGAUCAAGAGUUGCAGUUAAUACUUGCUCAUCCGGGAACGAAUCAUUGAUUUGUAGCUCAAGCUCCUCUUUCUUUUCAGCAUCAAACCUAGACAGGUGAUCAGCCACCUGGUUUUUACAACCUCUCAUAUCCUUAACCUCAAAAUCAAACUCCUAAAGCAGUAACACCCAUCUGAUCAACCUAGUCUUGGCAUCUUUCUUUGCCAUCAGGUAUCUCAGAGCUACAUGAUCCGUGUGGACUAUCACUCUAGUACCCGGCAAGUAGGCCCUGAAUCUCUUAAAGGCAUAAACCACAGCCAGUAGUUCAUGUUCAGUGACUAUGUAGUUUCGUUGUGCUCCAUUUAGUGACUUGCUAGCAUAGUAGAUCGGAUGGAACAUCUUGUUGCGCUUCAGCCCCAACACAACUCCCAAGGCAGUACCACUAGCAUCGCACAUUACCUCAAAUGGUUUAUCCCAAUCUGGGCCAAUAAUCACUGGUGCAGAAAUCAGUUUCUCCUUCAAGCAUUCAAAGGCUUUUAGGCAUGCUUCAUCAAAAGCAAAUUUCACCUCGUUCUCCAAAGGUUGCACAAGGGAUGUGCAAUAUUCGAGAAGUCCUUUGAUGAAAUGCCUAUAAAAUCCAGCAUGUCUUAAAAAGCUUCGAACACCAUUCAAACAGAUAGGUGGAGACAAAUUUUCAAUCACCUCAAUUUUUGCUUUGUCAACCUCCAAUCCCUUUUGUGACACCUUAUGACCGAGGACUAUACCUUCCUUGACCAUGAAAUGGCAUUUCUCCCAGUUCUACACUAGAUUGGCCUCCUCGCAUCUGUGUAAAGCCCUGCUAAGAUUUAACAAGCAGUCAUCAAAAGUAUCACCUACCACUGAAAAGUAAUCCAUGAAUACCUCUAGAGUGUCUUCCACCAUGUCCGAGAAGAUGGACAUCAUACACCUCUGGAAAGUUGCUGGUGCAUUACAUAGUCCAAAUGGCAUACGUUUAAAUGCAAAGGUGCCAUAAGAACAUGUAAAAGUGGUAUUUUCCUAAUCUUCAUGAGCAAUUGAUAUCUGGUUGUACCUAGAGUAUCCAUCUAAGAAACAAUACCACCCUUUUCCAGCCAACCUGUCAAGCAUUUAGUCCAUGAAUGGCAUUGGGAAGUGAUCCUUCAAGGUCUACUUGUUCAGCUUUAUGUAGUCCAUGCACACUCGCCAUCUAGUGACCGGUCUCUACGGGAUCAACUCAUUCUUCGCAUUAGAAACCACUAUCAUACCACCAUUUUUAGACACACAAUGCACUGAGCUGACCCAAUGACUGUCAAAAAUAGGGUACACAACCCCAACAUCUAACCAUUUGAUGAUCUCCUUUUUGACCACCUAUUCCAUCGGUGGAUUUAACCUCCUCUGGUGCUCAAUGCUUGGGCUGCAAUCCUCCUCAAGUUGAAUCUUAUGGGUGCAUAUACCCGGAGGUAUCCCAAUGAUGUCAGUGAUGGUCCACCUAAUUACCCUUUUAUACCUUAUCAACACUUUGAUCACGGCUUGUGCAUGUUCUUCAUUCAAAUCUGCAGCCAAGAUCACAGGCAAAGUGUUGUUAGUGCCCAAAAAUACAUACCUAAGGUGACUAGGUAAUUGUUUCAAUUCCAGCACAAGCAGCUCUGAUUAAACGUAUCAAGGACACUUCAUCCAAUUCUAAGUGUCAACGAUCGCUAGUCAGUAUAAUAACCCAACUAAAUUAGUUGGGGUCGAAUGCCACAGUGAGUGGUACGUGUUUAAGAUUCAAAAGUAAAGUACGAAUAUGUUCAAGUCAAUCAUAGGAAUAGACAUUAUCUAAGGAAAACAUAAUUCAAAUUAAGGGGUGACACGAAUGUCAAAUAACAUGGGGGUUUUGAUUUCAACUAUCAGCUACAACAACAGCAAAUAACAUGAAUUUAACAAUAAUGAGAUGGGUUCUUGGGAUGCGAUUCAACUAUAGGCUAAUUAUAGAAAAAUGGAUAAUUGCAACUGUUAGUAAAUAGCUUUAAAUCAGUGAAUAAUCUAGACUUUAGUGGGGAUAAACUUUCUCUCGAACAAUUUACCCCGAAUCAAGUUGGUUUCUCUCGAACACCAACAAGCAAGCAAUUAAGAACAACCUACGCUUUAGUCCAUUCACUCUCUCGAGCUGAAUGUGUGAAAAAGGGUUUAGGAUUCACUCUCUCGAGCUGAACCCAUGACAACCCAAUACCCACAGACCAUCAAUUCAGUAAUCUUGGUUUUAAAACCUCUCUAUCGAGCAAGCCAAAAACAUGAAGGUAGAAUUGCAUUUGCAACUACAACCCUUUAAAUUAAACCACAAUUACUGAAUGAAAUCACUUUUAAAUAGCAUUUAAACUAACAAUUAGCAAUACCCAUAAACUAAAUCAACCCAUAAUCACACCCCCAAGAAUUGGGGUUUUAGCUAGACAUCAUAAAAUGAUAGAAAUCGCUACCAAAUUGUGUUUCCAUCAACUAGGUAAGAUUAAUUUCGUCUUUACAAAAGGUCUGAAUUGAAGAAUCCCAAAGACCCACUUCCAAUUUCUCAAAAAUAGAAAACUUCAAUUCUUCAAAGCUAAGCAAAAGUUUUUGUCUCAAUACUCAGAGUUCUCAAUAUCCAAAACUUAAAAAAUCUAUAUUAUGAAAACUGAUACUAAACUAAAUACUUAAAAAUUUAUUUAUAGUUGCCAAAAAUAUGCUACGAAGGUCCAUUCGGCGCAGUAAGUAGGGAUCGUCGAUAAGCUCGGUGAUCCGCCGUUUGGUCAGUUCCAUUGCCUUUUUGCUUUGGCCUUCAGUAUCCUCAAGUUCUGUAAGUUUGGGCGAUCCAUCACUACAUCGCGGAACUACUCACUGACUGCUCCUUUCUAUCGCCAAAUUGAUUUCUCCUUCAGGGAUUGGCACAUUGGAACUUUAGGAGGUGAAGAGGCCAUUAGGCAACUCGCCAAAGGGACUUGGCGAUCACCAGGCCUUCAUUUCUUCCUUCUUUCAGCUCGCUUCGUUCCUUUUUGCAAAUUAGUGUUUGUGCUUUGUUCCUCAAUCCAAAUACUUGGAAAUCAAGGAUUUAGAUCAAUUAUUGGCACAAAAUAAGCAUUUUAGGACACUAAUCUAUCCAAAUAAAGCCCUAAAUGAGUUCAAAUCUUGGACUCAUCAACACCGCCAACUUAAACUUUUGCUUGUCCUCAAGUAAAACUCAAGUUCAGCAGUUCAUAAAGGGUGUAUCAAACAGUGCUACACAAGACUCAAUUAUGAAUGCACACAACAAGACUCAACUUACUCAUGCAAGGAUCAAUUGUGCACUCAAAGAUUCAAGUUGUGACUCAUUAUUAUCAAAGAUUCUCAAGUUCACAAUACUUGCUUCAAAUGCAAGUUCAAGCUCAACAAAGGUACUCAAAUGCCCUCACACAAAAAAUGAUUCCAUAUUCACACACAAUGGUUCAACAAUUUAAAGCUCUGGAUUCAAAAACAACUCUCGUACUCACAAAGAUGAACACAAUGCAUGAUUUCACCCAUAGGUUUGCCCUUAUUUUCCAAUCAACAUUUGUUUCAGCUCACUCAAGAUCAAAAAGGUUUUCAAGGCUUGUAACGGGGCUGAGUGCAAAGGUAUGGUCAUUUAGGCUCAAUGGUUAUAAUCCUCAUGAAAUGUGGUAAGAACAAUUCUUUCUUCCCUUUUCUUCAUCAUUUUCCACUCAUGCUCAAAAGUCACCCCAUUAUUCACUUUCCAUAGACUAUUGGGCACCCCCUUUUCUUUUUGCAUUUUCACAACUUUAUUCCACCACUUUUUCAUUCUUUUUCUUUUUCAUUCUUCUUUUCUUUUUCUCUCUUUUUUUUUUGUAUGGAGGGGUUCCAUCUUUCUCACAAUCAUGGCUCAAAGGGGGGAGGGGCUCUUUUACAUUUCUUGAUUUGCCUUCUCUUUUCACCACACCCCCAACUUAGGCUUUUGGCCUAAGUUGACUAUUCAAAUAAACCACAACUCAUGACGAUUAUGGGUGAAGGGAUAAAGAAAGGUAACAAUUGUGUCAAGUUUCUUCCAAGAAAAGGGUAAGGCUAAAGGGCGUUCAAGCGAAGAUCACACACUCACAAGGUUGUCCACAAAAGACGUAUAAUGUCAAAUUGUUUCACACUCUUCAAAGUUGCCUAAGAUCAUUUCAAAAGAUUGCAUCACUUAGUCAGCCGGACCAACGGGGCAAUUUCUAGGUGUCAUCACACAUGGUUCACGGUAAGUUCAUCACACAAGGCAUUGGCACCAAUAUCAAACAAGACUCCACACUUUUGCUAGUGCGCAAUGUUCAUCACAAGAGACUCAUUCGAUAACCGGCUAGUCACAACGAGAUGCAAAAAGUUCACAUAUUGUCUAUGCAACUUCAUUUGGCCUCAACGUAGCCGCACAUUCAUUUUUGUUCGAUUAUGAGAACUAUUCAGGUCAUCGGUAUUGAUCAAGACCAAUACUCAAAUUUGCAAGAGAACAAACUCGUUCAAACACAAUCAAGAGGUGGCAUAAGAUUCAAAAAAAAUUGGAAGGGUCCAAAAAUCAUUUACAAUUAAAACAAGGAGCCACAAGCUCAAAUAUCCACAAAAGCAGUAUCAAAACACAAUAUAUAGCUCAAAAACCCAAUAUAUGAAUAGAACAAUAAUCACAAAAGGUGGGCCUCACCCCACCACAAAACAAAAGCAAUUUGUCCUCAAAUGCAAGAAAUAUCUAAAAAGUCAAUAAAAAGGGGACAGAGAGGGAGGUAAAGAAGAAUCGUGACUAAAUAGUCGCUCCAUCUGUCGGGGCAUCAGUGCCCGGUGUAACACUCUGAACUUGGGCCUCAGCGCCCGGAGUCACCUCAGAAGGACUGGCUCCAUUGGACCCACCAAUGGUGGUGUCAGUCUCAAACAUCACAUCCUCAAGGUCAGCCAUAUCAUCAUAAACCUCGGCAUCUCUCAAAUCUAUCUGCUCCUCGUCGGUCUCUACAUCUGAAUCCUCAGCUGCCAUAACAUCCCGAUGUACAUCUCCGGUGGUGGCCGGAGGAAUCUUAGAAGUCGUCGGGGCAUCAACAUCAUUAGCUGCCUCCAAUAGGGAAGUGAAGUCAGUGGACUUCAAGUAGUCCACGUCCUUCCUCAGAUCCGCAACCUCGGCUUUCAAAGCCGUAACCUCAGAAGUUUCCCCCUGUCUACUCUCACAAGCCUUAACUCUCGCAGUAAGAAUGUCAAUAGAAGUUUGGAGGGGGUCAAUGUAGCAAGGAUGACACUCUCAAUCAUCCAUGGGACUGCAACUUUUAAUCGAGUCACCCUCACAUCAGCUGAAUGGGCCAGGUGCCCCAUCUUCAAGAUCAUAGCUUGAGUGAUCUUGGUGGGCUGGGAAGAGGUAGAAGCACCAGGCUCCUGUGAAGAAGAAGUAAGAGCAAAUGUACAUGAAGUCCCAGAGACCGGAGUAGGCAAAGAUGCCUCUGCAUGUAUAGAAUCAAUGUCCACGUCCGGAGAUGUAUCAACUGGAGUUGCUCUCCUACUGUUAGCCUCAUCCCGAGUGUACUCGGCCUCAAUACCCCGGAUGUCUGUGGAGGAUGAAGGGGUAACCUCAAUAUCUCUAGUCGCAUCCAGGGGGACUCCAACACGUCGGCACAACUCUGUGAUCAGCACCGGGAAUGGAAGGGAUGUUUGAUGAUGUUUGGCCCGCAUGGCCAUCUUCUGCUCUAUGAUCAGUCCUAUGUCAAUACUCUUCCUGGAUAUGAUUAACCCGAGGCAGGCCGCCUUAGGAUGGCGGAGGAUGGAUUCGUUCUGGGAUGAUAUGAUGGAGCUACUCAUGAAUCCAGAUCAAUAUUGUGCAGCUACUCUCAAGUCUUUUUUUUCGAUCGGAACUCCGGCCUCAAUCCACCUCGGGGUGGUAUCAGAAAUGAGGGGAGCUAACCAGCCUUUGAGUUCAUCUAAUGAUGUCGUAGUGGUAGCCACAUUUGGGUAGUCAUAGACUGACCCUCUAUUAAGUACCGCGUUGAUGUGGUCAUGGCUACAAUGUACUACUGUCCCAUGUACAAUUAUGGACCCCACCGGUCUAAACUCACUGGUCUUCUUCUUACUUUUAGGAACCAGAUCACCAUAUGUUGUAUAAAACUCCCGAACCCAUGUAGGUAUGUACGGGCCUCGGGGUCUAGUGAAGUGCUCAAAGCGGUGAUACUAGAGAAUGUCCCUCACUUAGGAGUAUUUGCUCUCAAUACCUCUGUGGAAAGUAGCUUCUCCUCAAGGAUAGUCUAUAACCCAUCAUUUUUCAGUCUGUUGAGAAGUCUGGGAGGAGGAACCACAGGUGGCACUGGAGCCAGAGGAAGUGCCGGAGCUAGCACUGUGUCUGCCGGAGAAGAGGUUGUUGGGACUCUAGCUAAGUCAGUAUGAGACCUAGCACGGAUCUCGACUCUUCGGGACUGUAAAGGAUGGUCGUCCUCCGGCUCAGAUAACAUAGCUUGGGAGUUAUGAGCAGUUAUGAGCUUCACUCUCACUGCCGGAGUUGUACUCCGAAACCUCAGUUGUUGGCCUGUUUCUUUUGCCCAUGCCUCCAUUUGGAGGCUAUGUUCUUCCUUUCUUGGGAGAAUUGGCUCCCCUUUUCAUUUAUCACGAUACCCCGUGCUCUCUUACGAGUGCCAUGUCAAGAUUGGUUCUAGCCAUAUCUGUCAAAACAUCAAAAAGAGUUAGAGAUAAUUCAAACAAAAUUGAAUAAAAAUAUUUGCAAAAAGACUCACCGAACUGGUCGACGAGUCACCGAAUAUCUUUGGCAAUCCAGGUCGGGCUCGCCGAAAGGAUUAGCUCAAAAUUGUCUCAGACAAAAUGGCAUGUUGGUGAUGGGAAGGGCCUUUCGACAAAUUACCGACAGCAUUCGGUGAGCAAGGACUAGCCCACCGAAAGUUACAGUGCAUUUUAGGGGUUAGGGCUGCCGAAAAGAGCGAUCAAGGAAGACAUUCGGCGAGUCGCCGAGUACAUUCGGCGAACUCAGGCUUCUCGCCGAAAGUUAUAAAACCAAACAUCAAAUUUAGCAUAAAAUUAAAGGUGAUAAGGGGGGUUCGGUGAAGCGCCGAGUGGUUCGGCGAGCUCGACCCAGCUCGCCAAACGGCAACGUGCCUACUUCAAUCCCAUUUUCCAAACUCAACCCCGCAUACCCCGAAAACAAAAUCAAAACAGGCACUCCUCUAAUUAAACUCAGACCCAUUACACCCAUGCCUCCGAGAUACUCAGACGUUUUCCCGAUUUGGCCAAAUUUUGCCAUUUGAUGACUUUUGCCAUUAAAAAUGACGCCAACCGCUCCAUCAUUGGGCAAAGUACGUCAUUUGGCACAAAUGUGGGUUACUUAGACUUCACCCGACUAGACCCAACAACAACAAACCAACACCCAACAAUUUUGAUCAAUUUUAAGGCAUGCAAAAUUCGGGAAAUCAACGAUAAAGCAAUUUAGGCAUGAUAUUCAAAUUAAAACAGACACACACAUAUACAAUUACGAUCAGAGAGGCCCAGCACACAUCACUAAGAUAAGAAAUCAUUGCAUAAGAGUAAAAUUCACAAUAUAUAAAUUUGGGGUUUGGAAAACCAACUUUAGAAGCCGAAUAAAUACUUUGAAACGCUAGGCGGCAAAGAAUCCAACUUUAAACACAGACUUGACGACUAAAAUGCGGUAAAAACACAAAAAUAUAGAAUACUAUAGAGCGGGUAUGAUUUUGGUAAGUUGAAAAGUGAGGAAAUGUGAAAGAUGUUGAACUUUUGAAAUAUUGUCCUUUAAAAACCGUCCAGUUCUCGCCCAUUCGGCAACAUAAGUUUUGCUCGGCGACACGCCGAGUGGGCACUUACCUCGUUGAGUUUUACAGGACCUCCAGUUAAUGUGGGGGUCUAAAUGGCGGACUAAGUCGUGAUCGCCGACCUAGUCGGUGAUUCGCCAAUAUGCUCCUAGGCUCGCCGAGUUUUAAAGACUCCAAUUUCAAAUUGUCUAGAGUCCAACGGCGGUUCAAGUAGGACUCGCCGACCUCUUCGAUGAGUCACCGACUGGACUUUUAGCUCGCCAACCUGCACUUUUAAAACACAUUCCACACUUUGACCUGCACAAUUAACACACCAUUAUUUCAAAAACAAAAAUAAAGUGAUAAACACUUGGGUUGCCUCCCAAGAAGCGCUUUAGUUAAUAUAGUGGCACGACGCAAGUCCCCACUUAAAUUCCAUUUGAGGGGUUUGCCUCAUUUUCAUAAGGCAACCCUUCUUCUGGCUGUAGGUAGAGACAAGACAAUACUUGGUCCAUUUGGGACUAUAGUAGUUGAAUGAACAUGGAAUGAGAGUUUGUCAUCUGAUUCAGCAUUAAGACAUUCUCUCUUAUCUGCUUCAACACUUUGUCGUGCUUUUCGACUUUGUGUAGAAUGAGUGAGAGGACCUCUUCAAUUUACCCACCCUCUUGCUUCUUCGUCCUUCGACGCUCUUGAGGGGGGGAUGUACAUGUCCUUCUUUUUGGACACUAUCUCCAAUUACAUGACUUUCUUGGCCAAGACAUCCAGCUGAGUCAACAUUGUGGCCAAUUCUUGGUCUUUUUCUGUCUCCUUUUUUGUCUUGGCCAUGUGAUCAAGGAGUUGGGCUAAUAUUGCAUAAGGUAGUCGGAUGAGACCACUUGGAGAAAUUUGGUCAACCACUAUUCUAUUUUUGGGGUCAAGACCCCUGUAGAAGCAUUCCAGACGCAUCUUAUCUGGAAUUCCAUGAGUUGGGCACUGCUGCAAUAGGGCCUUGAAUCUCACCCAUAACUCAUGGAUUGACUCUCCCUCCAAUUGUAUGAAACUUAAGACGUUAUCCCUAAGAAUCACCAUCUUCAAAGGAGAGAGGUCCAUUUGGUCACCGUUGCUGCAAGACAUGCUCCUUUCUUCUAUUCUAAACAAGCAACACGAAAACCAAAACUAAAACUAAGUAGAUUCAACUAUAACUAACAAGAACAAAAUUCAACUUAACCAAAGAAUCUUAACCAACACCACUCCUCGACAGCGGUGCCAUUUUGAUUAAACGUAUCAAGGACACUUCAUCCAAUUCUAAGUGUCAACGAUCGCUAGUCAGUAUAAUAACCCAACUAAAUGAGUUGGAGUCGAAUCCCACAGGGAGUGGUACGUGUUUAAGAUUCAAGAGUAAAGUACGAAUAUGUUCAAGCCAAUCAUAGGAAUAGACAUUAUCGAAGGAAAACAUAAUUCAUAUUAAGGGGUGACACGAAUGUCAAAUAACAUGGGGGGUUUGAUUUCAACUAUCAGCUACAACAACAAGAAAUAACACGGAUUUUAAAAUAAUGAGAUGGGUUCUUGGGAUGUGAUUCGAUUAUAGGCUAAUUAUAGAUAAAUGGGUGAUUGCAACUGUUAGUAAAUAGUUGUAAAUCAGUGAAUAAGCUAGACUUUAGUGGGAUAAACUUUCUCUCGAACAAUUUACCCCGAAUCAAGUUGGUUUCUCUCAAACACCAACAAGCAAGCAAUUAAGAACAACCUACGCUUUAGUCCAUUCACUCUCUCGAGCUGAAUGUGUGGAAACGGUUUUAGGAUUCACUCUCUCAAGCUGAACCCAUGACAACCCAAUACCCACAGACCAUCAAUUCAGUAAUCUUGGUUUUAAAACCUCUCUCUCGAGCAAGCCUAAAAUACAAAGGUAGAAUUGCAUUCGCAACUACAACCCUUUAAAUUAAACCACAAUUACUAAAUGAAAUCACUUCUAAACAGCAUUAAAACUAACAAUUAGCAAUACCCAUAAACUAAAUCAAUCCAUAAUCACAUAAAUCACACCCCAAGAAUUGAAGUUUUAGCUAGACAUCAUAAAAAAUAAAAAUCAUUACCAAAUUGUGUUUUCAUCAACUGGGUAAUAUUAAUUUCGUCUUUACAAAGGUCUGAAUUUAAGAAUCUCAAAGACCCACUUCCAAUUUCUCAAAAAUGGAAAACUUCAAUUCUUCAAAGCUAAGGAAAAGUUUUUGUCUCAAUACCCAGAGUUCUAAAUCUCCAAAACUAAAAAAAUCUAUAUUAUGAAAACUGAUACUAAACUAAAUAUUCAAAAAUGUAUUUAUAGUUGCCAAAAAUAUAUUGCGAAGGGCUAUUCGACACAGUAAGUCAAGAUCGCCGAUCAGCUCAGUAAUCCGCCCUUUGGUCAGUUCCAUCGCAUUUUUUCUUUGGCCUUUAGCAUCCUCAAGUUUUGUAACUUUAGGGGAUCCAAUACUGCAUCGCGAAACUACUCGGUGACUCGUCGACUGCUCUUUUCUAUCACCAAAUUGAUUUUCUCCUUCAAGGCUUGGCACACUGAACUUUAGGCGAUCAAGUGGCCAUUAGGCGACUCGCCAAAGGGAAUUGGCGAUCACCAGGCCUUCAUUUCUUUCUUUUUUCAGCUCGCUUCGUUCCUUUUUGCAAAUUAGUGUCUGUGUUUUGUUCCUCAAUCCAAAUACCUAGAAAUAAAGGAUUUUUCAUCAGUUAUUGGCACAAAAUAAGCAUUUGAGGACACUAAAUCUAUGCAAAUAAAUCCCUAAAUGAGUCCAAAUCUAGGACUCAUCAAGCUCCUCAAUGGAUGGUUUUACUGGAGGACUUGGCCUGUUUUUCAUAUCCAGGUCCAGUUUUUUUGGAGCAUAAGAGUGUGUUCUCAUGCCUUGUAAAACAUUCAUGGUCUCCAUAUAGUCAGUCCAAAAAUCAGCUUCAAAGUUCAUCAACACGGCUGCUAAUGUUUCGACAGCCAACCUCUCCUCAAUAGUCGUUCCCAUCUCUUCUUCAUCAAAGGCCUUUAUUGCAGACACCACAUUCAUGACUUUCGGCUGUUUAAUUGACCUGCAAAUUUUAAACCUUACCUCUUCCUUGUUGAGUCUGAAUGUCAGUUCUCUACUCUCAACAUCUACCAAUACUCGUCCUGUGGUAGAAAUCGUCUUCCCAAAAUUAUGGGAACCUCAAAAUCGACUUCGCAAUCCAAGAUCACGAAGUCUGUCGGAAAGAUGAAAGUGUCCACCUUUACAAGCACAUCACAUAAGAUGCCCACAGGUCGCUUCACCGAUCUAUCUGCCAUCAUCAACCUCAUUGUUGUGAGUUUUGGAACUCCUAACCCCAGUUGCUUGUAGAUGGCUAGCGGCAUCAAGUUGAUAUUGUCCCCUAAGUCACCUACGGCCUUUGCAAACUCAAUUGAUCCGAUGGUACACUGUAUGGUGAAUGCACCCAGAUCCUCCAUUUUUUGUACUAGAGAUCUAGUGACAAUAGCACUGCAGUGAUGAACAUUGUUAGUAAAAUCAAAACUUACAGCUCGUUUCUUCGUGACCAAGUCCUUCAUGAACUUAGCAUAUCCUGGCAUCUGCUCUAGGGCUUCCACCAAUGGGAUGCUCACUGAUAGUUGUCUCAGCAUAGUUAUGAACUUAGCAAAUUUUCCAUCUUCAACUUUCUUUUUAAGCCUUUGAGGGAACGGAGGAGGUGGUCUUGGUAUCUAUUGUAGAGGCAUAGUUCCCUCAACCCCUCUUUCUUUUACUCCUGUUGGUUUUGCUAUUGGUUGAAUGUCGUCUACAUCAUCUACAUGUUCAGCUUCAGCCUCCUCUCUUCCAGUUCGCUCCAACACCUGUUCAUUCUCAGUACCUGCAGACAUUGGUUCAUUAAGAAUCUUACCACUCUUGGUGGUGAUAGCCAUGUAAUGCCCGUACUUCUUGGGAUUUUUAAUAGUGUCACUUGGUAGUGACCCAUUCUUCCUCUGGUUCAGUGAUGCUGAAUGUUGCCCCAACUGCUGCUCUAUUUGUUUGAUGGUGGUAGUGUGAGAGUCUACCAGUUGACUCAUACUGGAAAAAUCACCUUUCAUCUCCUUCACCCCUGCAUCAGUUGACUCAACCUUUUGAAAAACCUUAGCCAACAUGUCUUCCAGCAUAGACACGUUGGAACUACUAUUCACACGGUCUCUAUUACCUUGGGGCACAUACACACAACUGCGAUCAUUUCUGUACCCAUCUCUAUUCUGCCAGUUUCCCUGCUCUCUAUUCACUGGCAUGUCAUACUGUCCUUCUCUGGAAUAGUUCUGACCUGUAUUUCCAGAAUUAUAUCCUUGGUUUCCUGAGAUAUAAUUUUGGAAACCACCUUGAUUUCCCAAGUAUUUGGCCUCAUCAUCCAAGUCAAUAUCCUGAUCUUCAUACAUGUUUGGUGGUCCUACAACAUUUACAUUUUCAGAACUUGCGACAAUAUGUUUCGUGAGUAGAUCUAUCUGGGUCCUCAUGUGUGUCAUAUCCUGAUCUGUUUCUUCUUCUUUUUUUCUUUGUUAAGCUGAAAGUUCAAAAGUGAACCUAAGAUCUCCUACUUCUGCAUUCCUGGUAUACCAUGCCUAUUAUUCUUAGACACCUCAUCCAUCAGCUGCAUGCUCUCUGAGAAUGGCUUCCUCAUGAAUAAUCCUCCACACACUGCAUCAGCAACAGGUUUAGUAACAUAGUUUAAAGAUCUAUUCAAAACAUGUUUCAGAUGUCUCUCAGUGAGACCAUGGUUUGGACACUUCUUCAGCUUUUGGUUGAAUCUCCACUAGGUGUCAUGCAUCGCUUCUCCUCGUAACUGCUUGUGGGCACUUAUCUCAUCAUUCAUUUGCAGCUCUUUUGAUUCAGGAAAGAAUCAUUACAGGAAAGCCUCUUUGAACUCAAUCCAAGUCUUGAUUGAGUAAUCUGGCAUCUCAUUCAGGCAAUUGGUUGCCUCCCCAGUGAGAGACAAUAGGAACAGCCUCAAUCUCAUCAUUGUCUGACUAACUCCAAGAAUUUCUUGCGAUUUGCAUAUCACCACAAAGUUCAUCAAAUAUUGAUUCGCAUCAUCACCAGUUGCACCCCUGAACAUACCUUUCAAAUUCAGCAAUUGAAUCAUAGUGAUGGUGAUUGUAAAUUUCACACCUGGAGGUAGUACAUGUAACAAUAUCGCUCAUGUGGCUCCAGCUCCAUCCAAGAAUAAAUCAUCUUCUUCGUACAUCACGUGAGCUGGAUGUUGUGCUCUACCCCUUGGAUCUAGUGGUUGGCGGUGGGGAGGAACUAUUUCGUCCACUCCUAUAUUUUCUUCCACCACCCUAGGCGGGUUGUUCAAAGCAUUCUACUGAAUACCUCUUGCAUUCGUUUCAGCUUCCAAUCCCAAUCUUUGCCUCUAAGCCUCAAGUUCUUGUGCAUUCACCAUUUGCAGAUUAUUUUCCUAAGUUCCGGAUUGUAAGGGAUCAAUGGUGAUCCCUUACUUCUGGUAUUUGGCAUACACAUUCGAACUAACCUGUAAGAGACACAGACAAAGAACAAGACGUAAAAUUAGGAAAUAUAACUACGCUUUGAAUAAAAUCUAGUAAAACACUUCUGAAUUGAAAUUCCCCGACAGCGGCGCCAAAAUUUGAUACGUCCAAACUUACACCUCAAUUAAGAGGUAUAAAUGGUGGAAGUCAAUUUAUAGAACUCAACAUAAGUUGAGGUAGAUCCCACAGAGAAUUUCUUUACAGAAAUGGUUUCAUUGUCGCGUUUACCCAAAUGUUGUUAUUAUUUCCUAAAGAGAAAAACAAUUACAGAAUGUAAAAUGGGUUUAGCUAUAAAGCUCUAGUAACUAAGGUUGUUAAAUAAGAUCGAGUUUAACAGUUAACAAAGUGUUGAUUUUAAAGUUGUUUUGAUAAUUAAAUGAAACUAGGACUGCGUUCCCCAUAACGUUGCAUCUAGUGGUUUUCCUUAAAUGAGUUUCAGGAAAUUCAUCUUUGCAAAAUACCGACGAGUUAGAUAUAUCUAACACUUCUCAGUCUAAUUAGCUAACUUUCACUCAAGCCCUCUCGGUCCUAGAGAGUUAACAAGUUUUACUCUCGCUUACGAUAGUGUUAAAGGUUUUUUCUCUAGAACUCAAACUUUGACUCCAUUUCCUCAGGUUAAUUCAGCUUUUUCCCAACCAUCACUUUUCUCUUGAACAAAUGACAGAUACAGUCUAACUCUAAUGCGUGCACUCAUUAGAAUACAUGAAUAACGAAAACUGAACUGUGAUUUGCAAAUAUAAAUCGCCUUCUACUCGUCUUACGAAAUUACACUUAGAUUUUUGUCAUAGAUCCCACAAUCCCAGUUGUGGUAUUUAGCCACUCAUGAUUUCACGUAAACAUACAGAAUUAUAUAAUGAAAAUGUGAUAAGAAAGUACUUACAAAAAUAUGCAAAAUCGAUAAACACUUGAUAAUUCAAAAUCGAAAAUCCAACUUCGAAACUUUAUUCAAUGUUAAUCGUCUAAAACCAAAGCUAAGAAUAUUUGAAACUUCGUUGCUCGUUCUAGAUAUGACGAGAUAAAAACAAAAAAUGACCUAAUUACUUCAAAUAGAAUGUCUAAAAUGACUCAUACUCGAAGUAGGACUGAGAUAUCGAGCAACUUCACGGACACUCUGACGGUCUGACAAAGGCUUCACGGUCCAUGAAGCCCCUCGUGAUCCUUACUUGGGAACUUGCAAACUUGGUUCUUCAAAGCCUAUGUACUGGAAUCUUGUCACGGACGUCACCACGGUUAGUGACACUGACCACGGUCCGUAUAGGUGCCUGUGGUCUUAACUUGGUCAAAUCAAUCUUCAGCUUCUUAAGGUCUCUUCAAUGGUUCAACUGUACAGACACUACCACGAACCGUUGUGAGGACCACAGUCGUGAGGUCAUCCGUGGUCUUUAUUUGAUAUUGCCACAGGUUAUCUUCUCCACAUCUGCUCACUGGAAAGGUAGUUCAUGACCCUCAUCACUAUCAGUAGUGAAGACCACGGUCCGUGAGGCCGUCCAUGGUCUUUACUUGCUUCAAUUCACUUUCACUGCAUUUUUUUUGUUUUUUUAUCUUCUUUCAUGUCCACCUAUUUUUCAUGUACAUAAACAACCAAACACAUCAUAUCCACAUAAAUACACCCGAUUCUAGUAUUAAUCCUUAGUUUUCAAGCAUCAAAUGUGCCAAGAUUUUGCGUCACAUCAUAGAGUACUUGUUAUCGAUGUGAAGUGCGCCACAUCUAUAAUUAGGAGGCUACAACAUUUAGGAAAUAUUUUACUUCCUUCUUACUAUCUUUCGCGCGAUAGAGUUCAACUCUGUAAAAGUUUCCUCAUAAUUCGUGCUUGCACGUAUCUUUACAGAUCAUGCCUCCACGAAGAGAUGCUCGAGGUCAUCCUGCAAGGAGAAAUAUUGAUCCACAAGACCAAGGUGUACCCAAUGCGCCAAAAGUGCGACUAUAACACCCCAAAAAUUAGUAGGCUAAACUAGAGCAAAAUGUGAGGAUUAACGUCAAGGAAGAAGGGCAAGGGCCAAGGAAGGGGGAUAGGGCAGCCUACCUUGAAGUAGGCACUGCCCCACCUACCACGCCCACCACCACGACUCAUGGUCAAGACCACGGCCCUUGGUGAAGCUCGUGGUGGGCUAGGCAGAACCCUUCCGUAAUAUGUCAAAAAUCAACCCCUCUUCACGAGCCACUUCACGGCUCGUGGGAAGGCUCGUGGAGGGGAGUUGGUUCUGUGAGGGUGGAAAGGAAGUCGAAUGCCACUGCCUCAAGGCCCACGAGAGGGAGCACGGCUCGUGGCAAGCACCACAGCUCGUGGCAAGCACCACGGCACAUGGAGCCCCUCGUGAAGAUGCCUUGGGCUUAUGGGAUAAAGGCACUUGUUUCCUAGCCACUACCUCAAGUCCACGAAGGGGACCAUGGAUCGUGGUCAUGACCACGGCUGGUGGGUUCCCACGUGAUACCUGGCAGCUCACUUAAAGUGAAGGAUGUUUUGGAUCAUUUUUGUUUUAAUCCCACUUAAGUAAGUUCGAUUUGCCUUAACUUAGGGUCACUAUAUAACUCAUUUUAAUCCAAAAUUCCACCCAUUCAACUCAUUAUUUCCAAAACCCAAAUCAAAUCCCCAAAGUUCAUCCCCUUCAAAUAUUCUCUCUCUAGAACUUGUAGGAGAAGAAGAAGAAGAAGAAGGGAGGAGGAGGAGAAGAAGACGAAGAAGAAAAAGAAUAAGGAAGUUGGAGCUAGGGUUCAAGAAUCAUAGAUAUUCACAUCAAAUUCAUUGGGCUUUGUUGUUAAGGUAUGGUAGCAUUCAUCUAUGGAACCCCUUCAAAAUCCCAAUUUCAAAGAUAGAAAUCCCCAAAUGUUAGGGUUUGAUUCCAAAGUCAUGGGUUCCUUUCAAAAUCGAUUCUAAUGAUUGAAUUAUGUUAUAUUAAGCAUGAAUUUAUUAUUUCCUAUGGUUUUUAUGGUGAAUCCCCAAAACCCAUGAAAUCCCCAUAUUUCUCAAUUAUGAUCUUAGGAUAUGGGUCUUUGUUGAUGAAAGAAGAAUGUUAUGAAAUUAUACACGUAGUGAUUGGGUUACUUGAAUUAUGAUGAUAUCCAUGUCUAAUGUUUGAAUUCUUGAUGUGUUGAUUGAAAGUGAGCUAUGACUCUUGAAAGGGCAAAGCAUGAUAUUAUGCAUGUUUUAUGAAGUUUAUGUAAAUGCUUUUAGAACACUUUGAGAGUGAAGUGUUUAUGAUUAUGUUGUAAUUAUUGUGUUAUUAAAAGGAUAUUCUCAUAUACACACCUAUGUAUGAAUGUGAUAUGAUUUGAAAGCUUUUCUCACAUCAUGAAGAUUCUAAGGUUGAAAGGCUUUCUCACCUAAUUGAAUCUAAGACUUGUAUGUAGACAUGGAUAGUGAAAGGUUAUUCUCACGCAUCAUCUAAGAGUUAUAUUAUGAAUUGAAUAUGGAUCGAGUGUUAAGACAUUCUUCCAUGGAUAUGAAUUUAUGUCAAGAGUUAAUAAGUACUCCGUGGGAAUUAAUGCUUAGCACCGAGUGGAUAUGGUAUAUGAGAUGGAAGCUUUUACACUAGUUGAGUCCGACUUUCCAAAUGGGAUCCGUUUACACUAGUUGAGUCUAGGUUCCUAAAGUAUGUCUCAUGAGAUGGAGACUUUUUAUGCUAGUUGAGUGCGAGUUUCUAGAAACAAUCUCCUUAUCCCAUAAACUAUGUGCCCACAUAGGAUAUUUAGCUAGUGGAUCCACCUAAGCUAAAAUUAUUGUUCUACCUUAGGCUAGUAGGACAACCCUUUUUGGUGUGGGUAACACCGGAUUCCAUGUUAAGCUCACAUGGUCUCCUGCGGUUAAGGCUAUUCCCACAAUAAGAACAAGAAUAUGAAUUAUGAACUAUGGUUACUCAAGAAGCUUAUAUAUGAGUUCUCAAAGGUGUUAAAGGUGAUGAUGACUAUGUUGGCUAUGUUUAUGACAUUAUGUUGCUCCACUAUCUUUAUGAUGAUGUUUAAACUUGGUAAAUUGCAUACUGUCAAACGAAAUGUCCCCUUUAGCGUGUUUUCAAUGUUUUUGUGCAUGGCUAUCGUACUUAGUGCAUCUUUGUACUAACGCCUAGUUUUCCUACUUUUUCCCAAGUGUAGUGUCCGGUUCUCAAGGUGAUCAUUUUAGUGGCUAAACCUUGGACUUUUGUAUCUUCCGACCUUGUUGGUGAGUCCUCAUGGUUCGAGGAUGACUUUUUCUCAUGUUGUAGUUUUGUUUCAUGUAUUUCCCUUUUUGGAUAUGUUGUAUGGGCUAGGCCCUAUUUCAUUCAAACAUUGUAAUAGAUGGCUAUGUUGAGACUUAGUGUCUAGACUUCCGCUUCUCUUUAUGAAAUUUUUAGACAUAGAAAUGUGUUGUUUUACUCUUAUUGUUCUAGUGGUUAUGUUAUGAAGACUAAGUGUCUUCUAUAGAGUCCUUCGGGGUUCUAUACACCAUAUUAUAUCUAGGGGUACCCCUGGUGGUGAAAAACUUGGUAAUUAGAGCACAAGGUUUAAAAUGAUCCUAGGAUGAUGUCUCAUAAGCCACGUCUAGUAGAAUCUUGUUCAUGAGUGUGAAGCAUGCCACAUUAUGAAUAAGAAGCUACAUACAAGAUGUUUAGGAAAUUCCACUUAUUCAUUACUCUUGUCAUGCGAUAGAGUUUAACUCUAUAAGGUCUUUCUUCUAAUCCUUACUCGAUGGUCUAUGGAUAAGACUACUCGAAGGUCUUUCACUAGAAAGAAUGAAGAAGACAAUGUGAAUCAAAGAGCUCCUACUCAAGCUCCUCAAGCUCCAGUUGAUCCUCUAGUUAAGAAUGUUACACAUGCAGAGUUUAGGGUGUCUCUUCAAACUUUGUCUCAAGCCCUGACGGCUCAAGCCAAUAGAGUGGUGAUUGCUCCCAUGAACCUAAUAUGAAUUCCGCAGCUUCAAGAGUGAGGGACUUUGCUAGGAUGAACCCUCCGGAGUUUGAUGGCUCCAAAGUUGAGGAAGAUCCUCAAGAAUUUAUCGAUGAGUUCUAUAAGGUACUUGCUAUUAUGGGGGUAACUUCGGUAGAGAAGGCGAAGUUAGCCGCUUACCAAUUGAAAGGUGUUGCUCAAGUGUGGUAUAAUCAAUGGAAGGAUGUGGGGGCGAUGGGAGCGGGUCUCGUAGAGUGGGAAGUGUUCAAAUUGUCGUUUCUUGCUAGGUUCUUUCCCCUAGAGUUGAGGGAAGCAAAGAUGCAAGAGUUUAUUAACCUUCUUCAAAGAGGUAUGAGUGUGAAGGAGUAUGCUCUAAAGUUCACCCAACUAUCCAAGUAUUCUCCAACUAUAGUGGUAGAUUCGAGGGCUAGGAUGAAUAAGUUUGUGAUGGGAGUGUCCUACAUGGUAGUCAAAGAAUGUCGUACGGAAAUGCUUAUCCCAGAUAUGGAUAUUUCAAGUCUCAUGGUGCAUGCUUAAAAAAUGGAGGAAGAGAAACAUAAAGAAAAGAAUAGGGAGGUAAAAAGAGCUAGGAUCGGUGAUGGGAACUUCUCCAAUACUAGGUCUGAUGGACAAGCUCGACCAAGGUUUAAACAAAGGUUUUCGAACCAAGGUUCUUCUAACGCUCCUUCGAGAGUCAACAAGGAUAGGGUGUCCAACCUUAAACCUCAAGGAGGUAAUGGUAGUGGUUCUUAUGUGGCUAGAUCUACUUGUGCGAAGUGUGGAAAGAAGCAUGAUGGUAAGUUCCUAGUUGGCACGGAUGGUUGCUUUGAUUGUGGAAAAAGUGGUCAUAAAAUGAGAGAUUGUCCGAUGCUUAAGGUUCAAGGAAGAGAGGGCAAGCAAGCUCCUCCUAGUGGUUCAAACUCCAAUGCUCCCCAUCAAAAUCGUUUCUAUGCUCUCCAAAACCGAGGUGAACAAGAGAAUUCUCCAGACGUGGUCACCGAUAUGUUAAAAGUUUUCCAUAUUGAUGUGUAUACCUUGUUAGAUCUCGGUGCUACUUUGUCUUUCGUUGCAAUGAGAUUUGAUGUGCUUCCUGAGGUGUUGUUAGAACCUUUUCUAUCUCUACUCCUGUUGGUGAUUCUGUGGUGGCUAAGAGGGUUUAUAGAAAAUGCCUCGUUUCCCUAUCCUAUAGAGUUAAUCUUGUUGAUUUGGUAGAACUUGACAUGCUAGAUUUUGACAUUAUACUUGGUAUGGAUUGGUUACACUCUUGUUAUGCGUCAAUUGAUUGUAGCACUUAGGUAGUCAAGUUUCAGCUCCCGAAUGAGCCUGUCCUUGAGUGAAAGGGGGGAAAUUCUAUGCAUAAGGGUCAGUUUGUCUCAUGUUUGAAGGCUAGAAAGAUGAUCUCGAAAGGUUACUUUUACCAUGUUGUUAGGGUGAGGGAUGUAGAUUCUGAAACCCAUUAUCUUGAGUCGGUUCCCGUGGUUAAUGAGUUCCCGAAAGUUUACCCAGAUGACUUACCCGGUAUUCCUCUCGAGCGGGACAUAGACUUCGGUAUUAAACUUCUCCCAGAUAUGCAACCUAUCUCAAUUCCUUGUUAUAGAAUGGCCCCGGUUGAGUUAAAGGAGUUGAAAGAACAGUUGAAGGAUUUGUUAGACAAGGGUUUUAUUUGAUAUAGUAUCUCUUUGUGAGGAGCUCCGGUGUUAUUUGUUAGAAAGAAAGAUGGGUCUCUUCAUAUGUGUAUCGAUUAUCGACAAUUGAAUAAAGUGACCAUUAAGAACAAGUAUCCUUUUCCAAGGAUAGAUGACUUGUUUGACCAACUUCAAGGGGCUAGUUAUUUCUCAAAGAUUGAUCUUCGUUUGGGUUAUCACCAAUUGAGGGUGAGAGGGGUUGGCAUUCCGAAGACGGCUUUUCGAACUCAGUAUGGUCAUUAUGAAUUCCUAGUGAUGUCAUUUGGUUUAACUAAUGCUCUGGUGGCAUUUAUGGACUUGAUGAAUAGAGUGUUUAGGCAAUACCUAGACAUGUUUGUGAUUGUGUUUAUCAUGAUAUUUUGAUCUAUUCAAGGAGUGAGAAUGAGCAUGUGGACCAUUUAAGAGUUGUAUUGCAAGUUAUUAAGGACCAUCAACUUUUUGCCAAGUUUAGUAAGUGUGAAUUUUCGUUAAGGUUUGUAGCAUAUUCCUUGGGCAUAUUGUGUCAAGUAGGGCUAUUGAGGUGGAUCCUAAGAAGACGGAUGCGGUCAAGAGUUGUCCAAGACCUCUAACUUCUUCGGACAUAAGAAGUUUUUUGGGUUUGGCCGGUUAUUAUAGAAGGUUUGUUGAACGAUUUUCUUCCAUUGCUUCUCCUUUGACAGCUUUGACUCAAAAGAAGUCUAAGUUUUUGUGGUUGGAAGCUUGUGAGAAAAGUUUCCAAGAGUUGAAAGAUAGACUUACUUCCGCUCCGGUGUUGACAUUACCGAAAGGUACAGAUAGCUUUGUAGUGUAUUGUGAUUCCUCUAGAGUUGGGUUGGGAUGUGUGCUUAUGCAAAUGGUAAGGUUAUUGCCUAUGCUUCAAGGCAACUUAAGGUCCAUGAGAAGAAUUAUCCUACCCAUGACCUUAAGUUAGCGGUGGUUGUGUUUGCCUUAAAAAUAUAGAGGCAUUAUUUGUAUGGGGUCCAUGUGGAUGUUUUCACCGAUCACAAGAGUUUACAAUAUGUGUUUAGUCAAAAGGAUUUGAAUCUUUGCGAAAGUCGGUGGCUUGAAUUAUUGAAGGAUUAUGAUAUGAGUGUUCUUUAUCACCGCGACAAAGCAAAUAUGGUAGCGGAUGCUCUUAGUCGAUUGUCUAUGGGGAGUGUUGCUCAUGUGGAUGAUGAUAAUAAAGAUUUGGCUCGGGAUGUUCAUAGGUUGGCAUGGUUAGGUAUUCAAUUAGUGGAUUCCACCAAGUGUGGUGUCAUGGUUCACAAUGGGUCUGAAUCGUCUUUUGUGGUGGAUGUGAAAUCUAAGUAGGGCCUUGAUCCUAUUUUGGUUGAACUGAAAGAGGCGAUACUCAAGAAAUCCAUUGAGGCUUUCUCCCAAGGGGGACAUGGUGUACUUAGAUACCAAGGUUGUUUAAUUGUGCCUAAUGUUGAUGACUUGAGGGAGCUAAUCUUGUCGGAAGCUCAUAGUUUUCGAUAUUCUAUUCACCCGGGAGCCACCAAGAUUUACCAUGACUUGCGGAAGGUCUAUUAGUGGAAUGGGAAGAACAAAGAUAUCGCGGAGUUUGUGGCUAAGUGCCCUAAUUGUCAACAAGUUAAGGUUGAGCAUCAAAGACUGGGAUGUUUAUCCCAAGAUAUAGGUAUCCCCACUUGGAAGUAGGAAGAGAUAAAUAUGAAUUUUAUUGUGGGUUUACCUCGCACCCGGAGACAACAAGAUUCUAUAUGGGUUAUUGUAGAUCGAAUGACCAAAUCGGCUCACUUUAUUCCCGUCAAGGAUUCCUUUUCAGCGGAGGACUAUGCUAAGUUGUAUAUAAAAGAAAUGGUGAAGUUUCAUGGAGUGCCUUUAUCCAUUAUUUUCGAUCGUGGCCCUCAAUUCACUUCUCACUUUUGGAGGUAUUUUCAAAAGGGUCUAGGCACCAAGGUUAAGCUUAGCUCAGCCUUUCAUCCCCAAACCGAUGGGCAAACGGAGCGCACCAUCCAAACUUGGGAAGAUAUGUUAAGGGCUUGUGUCAUUGAAUUUAAGGGUAAAUGGGAUGACCAUUUGCCAAUAGUAGAGUUUGUCUACAAUAAUAGCUAUCACUCAAGUAUUGGUAUGGCUCCAUUUGAGGCCUUGUAUGGUAGGAGGUAUAGAUUUCCUAUAGCUUGGUUCGAGGUUAGGGAAAUGGCUUUGAUAGGUCCCGAAUUAGUUCUAGAGGCCAUUGAGAAAGUUUGACUUAUUAGAGAUAGUUUGAGAACUGCUCAAAGCCGGCAAAAGUCUUAUGCCGAUGUGAGGAGAAGGGAUCUAGAAUUUGAGGUUAACGAUUGGGUCUAUUUGAAAAUCUCAUCAAUGCAGGGUGUGAUAAGAUUUGACAAGAAAGGGAAGCUUAGUCCCCAUAUGUAGGGCCAUACCAAAUUUUGAGGCGUAUUGAUAAAGUUGCCUAUGAGUUAGAUUUUCCAAGUGAGUUGGCUUCGAUGCAUCCGGUGUUUCAUGUUUCUAUGCUUAAGAAGUGUAUUGGAGAUCCGGAAUCCAUAAUCCCCUUAGAAGGGUUGGGGGUUGAUGAAAGUCUAUCAUAUGAGGAAGUUCCGGUAGAGAUCCUAGACCUCAAGUUAAAAGGUUGAGAAACAAGGAAAGAGCUUCCGUGAAGGUUAUAUGGAGGAAUCAACUAGUUGAGGGUUCAAUUUGGGAGGCCGAGGCCGAUAUGAAGUCCCGCUAUCCUCAUUUUUUUCCUUCUACUUCUACUCUAGCUUGAGGUAAGUAGUUCCUCUUGAGUUUUCCUUGUUUUGGGAGUCAUGUGUGUUAUUUGAGUUUAUCCAUGAUUUCCCUAUGUUAUGCAUGUUCUUGAGAAAUUUAUGUUUAGUAAGAAAAUGAGUUUUUAUGAUUGAUUGUCCUCGUGUUGUUGUGCAUUGAGUAAGAGUUGCCUGUGUGCACCAUGAGGUUGUGUUGAGCAUGCUUUUAGUUUGGAGAUGGUAAUUCCUCCUAUGAACAUGAGAAAUGUUCAGAUUUCAUGCAUAAUGGGUUAUUAGAUGUAGUUCGUACUUCCUUGUGAUGCAUUGAAUAAAUUUGAGUUGGAAUUGAAGUUUCCUCCUUAUAAUUGUGCUUUAUUUUGGUGUUGCAUGCAUGAUGGGCUGCUAGUCUUGGUCUUUAUUUCCAUAAGGUGUCUAGAUCAUCCUUCGAGGACGAAUGUUCCCAAGGGGGAGAUAUUGUAACAACCUGGAAAUUAGUAGGCUAAACUAGAGCUAAUCGUGAGGGUUAACGUCAAAGAAGAAGGGUAGGGGACAAGGGAGGGGGGUAGGGCAGCCUACCUUGGAGUAGGCAAUGCCCCACCUACCACGCCCACCACCACGGCCCUUGGUGAGGCUCGUGGUGGUCUAGGCAGUAGCCUCCCCAAAUCAGCCAAAAAUCACCCCCUCUUCACGAGCCACUGCACUGCUCAUGGUGAAGACCACGGCUCAUGGGAAGGCUCAUGGAGGGGAGUUGGUUGUGUGAGGGUCGAAAGGAAGUGGCAAGCGACUGCCUCAAGGCCCACGAGAGGGACCACGGCUCAUGGAAAGCACCACAGCUCGUGGAGCCCCUCGUGAAGAUGCCUUGGGCUUAUGGGUUAAAGACAUUUGUUACCUAGCCACUACCUCAAGUCCACGAAGGGGACCAUGGCUCGUUGUCAUGACCACUGCUUGUGGGGCCCUACGUGAGACCUAGCAGCUCACUUAAAGUGAUGGGUGUUUUGGGUAAUUUCGGUUUUAAUCCCACUUAAGUAAGGUCAUUUUGCCUUAACUUAGUGUCACUAUAAAAGUCAUUUUAACCCAAAAUUCCACCCAUUCAACUCAUUAUUUCCAAAACCCAAAUAAAAUCCCCAAAGUUCAUCCCCUCUAAAUAUUCUCUCUCUAGAACUUGUAGAAGAAGAAGAAGGAAGUUGGAGCUAGGGUUCAAGAAGCAAGGGUAUUCACAUCAAAUUCAUUGGAUUUUGUUGUUAAGGUAUGGUGCCAUUCAUACAUGGAUAGAUUUCAUCCAUGGAGCCCCUUCAAAAUCCCAAUUUCAAAGAUAGAAAUCCCCAAAUGAUAGGGUUUAAUUCCAAAGUCAUGGGUUCCUUUUGAAAUCGCUUCUAAUAAUUGAAUUAUGUUAUAUUAAGCAUGAAUUGAUUAUUUCCUAUGGUAUGAUUAAUCCCCAAGAACCCAUGAAAUCCCCAUAUUUCUCAAUUGCUAUCUUAAGAUGUGGGUCUUUGUUGAUGAAAGAAGAAUGUUAUGAAAUUAUACACAUAGUGAUUGGGCUACUUGAAUUAUGAUGAUAUCCAUGUCUAAUGUUUGAAUUCUUGAUGUGUUGAUUGAAAGUGAGCCAUGACUCUUGAAAGGGCAAAGCAUGAUAUUAUGCAUGUUUUAUGAAGUUUAUGUAAAUGCUUUUAGAACACUUUGAGAGUGAAGUGUUUAUGAUUAUGUUGUAAUUGUUGUGUUAUUAAAAGGAUAUUCUCAUAUACACACCUAUGUAUGGAUGUGAUAUGAUUUGAAAGCUUUUCUCACAUAAUGAAGAUUCUAAGGUUGAAAGAAUUUCUCACCUAAUUAAAUCUAACACUUGUUUGUAGAAAUGACGGUGAAAGGUUAUUCUCACACAUGAUCUAAGAUCUAUCUUAUGAAUUGAACAUGGAUCGAGUGUUAAAACAUUUUUUCAAGGAUAUGAAUUUAAGUCAAGACUUAAUAAGUACUCCGUGGGAAUUAAUGCUUAGCACCGAGUGGAUAUUGUAUAUGAGAUAGAAGAUUUUACACUAGUUGAGUCCGGCUUUCCAAAUGGGAUCCUUUUACACUACUUGAGUCUGGGUUCCCAAAGUAUGUCUCAUGAGAUGGAGACCUUUUAUGCUAGUUGAGUCCAGGUUUCUAGAAGCAAUCUCCUUAUCCCAUAAACUAUGUGCCCACAUAGGAUAUUUAGCUAAUGGAUCCACAUAAGCUAAAAGUAUGGUUCUACCUUAGGCAAGUAGGGUAACUCUUUUCAGUGUGGUAUCACCGGAUUCCAUGUUAAGCUCACAUGAUCUCAUUUCGGUUUAGUCUUAUUCCAACAAUAAGAACAAGAAUAUGAAUUAUGAACUAAUGGUUACUCAAUAAGCUUUUAUAUGAGUUCUCAAAGGUGUUAAAGGUGAUGAUGACUAUGUUGGCUAUGUUUAUGACAUUAUGUUGUUCCACUAUCUUUAUGAUGAUGUUUAAACUUGAUAAAUUGCACACUCUCAGACGAAAUGUCCCCUUUAGCAUGUUUUCAAUGUUUUUGUGCAUGGCUAUCAUACUUAGUGCAUCUUUGUACUAACGCCUAUUUUUCCUACAUUUUUACCAAGUGUAGGGUCCGGUUCUCGAGUUGAUCAUUUUAUUGACUAAAGCUUGGACUUGUGUAUCUUAUGAGGUUUGUGCGUCCUCAUGGUUCGAGGAUGGCUUUUUCUCAUGUUGUAGUUUCGUUUCACGUAUUUCCCUUUUUGGAUAUGUUGUAUGGGUUAGGCCAUAUUUCAUUCAAACAUUGUAAGAGAUUGCUAUGUUCAAACUUAGUGUCUAGACUUUCGCUUGUCAUUAUGAAAUUGUGAGACAUAAAAAUGUAUUUUUUACUCUUAUUGUUCUAUUGCUUAUAUUAUGAAGACUAAGUGGCUUGUAUGGAGUCUUUCGAGGUUCUAUACGCCAUGUUACAUCUAGGGGGUACCCCUGGGUCGUUAUAGUGACCCCCCUCAAGGAGAGGUCACAAAUGCUGAGUUCCAUGAUGUUAUCCAGAUGUUGAGUCAAAUUGUGGCCAAUCAAGCUGGUCAACAAAGAGUGGUUCAUCAAGAUGUGGCUGAUACAUCCAGGAUCCGUGAGUUCUUAAGAAUGAAUCCUCCAGAAUUCUCAAGGUCAAAUAUCACUGAAGAUCCAGAGAACUUUGUCGAGGAGCUACAAAAGGUGUUUGAGGUUAUGCAUGUUGUUGAUGUUGAGCGGGUGGAGUUAGCUGCAUACCAGCUCAAGGGUGUUGCUAGGAUUUGGAAUGACCAAUGGAAGAAGAACAGGGUUGAAGGGGCACCAAUUGUGAGUUGGAUUGUGCUUGAAAGUGCCUUUAUGGGGCGUUUCUUUCCCCGCGAGCUGAGAGAGGCAAAGGUAAGAGAAUUUCUCACUCUUAAAUAGCAGUCCAUGAGUGUGCAUGAGUACAACCUCAAUUCACUUAACUGUCCCUUUAUGCUCCAGAGAUGGUUGUUGAUAUGAGGAGCAUGAUGAGUCUAUUUGUGUCUGGACUGUCCCGCUUGUCAAGCAAAAAGGGUAAGGGGGGCAAUAGUGCCCAAUUUUCUUCAGUGGCUCCAGUAGAUAGUGUUGCUCCAAGAGGAGCUACUUUAGGGACAUGUGGAUGAGCAAACUGUCUAUAUGUUAUCACCAGUCGCCAAGAGAAUGAGAAUUCACCAGAUGUUGUCAUUGGUAUAAUCAAAGUUUUUACUUUUGAUGUAUAUGCAUUACUUGAUCCAGGUGUGAGUCUAUUUUUUGGGACUUCGUAUAUAGCUAUGAGAUUCAAUAUUUUUCCCGAACGACUUCUUGAGCCCUUCAGUGUUUCCACACCUGUUUGUGAGUCUACUCUAGCCGAGUGAGUUUAUCGUGAUUGUGUCAUCUCUGUCAAUCACAAGGACACCAUGGAUAACUUAGUCGAGUUAGACAUAGUGGACUUUGAUGUUAUUCUAGGUAUGGAUUGGCUUCAUGUUUCUUAUGCCUCAGUUGAUUGUAGAACUAGAGUAGUCAAGUUCCAGUUUCCUAAUGAGUUAGUUAUAGAGUGGAGGAGUAGUUCAACAAUGCCUAAGGGUCGUUUCAUCUCAUAUCUUAAGGCCAGAAAGUUAGUUACUAAGGGGUGCAUAUAUCACUUAGUCCAAGUUAACAAUUCUAGUGUUGAGACACCGCCUAUUCAGUCAGUUCCAGUUGUAAGUGAGUUUCCAGAGGUCUUUCUAGAUGAUCUUCCCAGAGUCCCUCUUGAGAGAGAAAUCGACUUCGGCAUAGAUAUUCUUCAUGAUACCCGACCUAUCUCCAUUCCGCCAUAUAAAAUUGCUCCAGCUGAGUUAAAAGAGUAGUUGAAAGAUCUUUUCGAUAAGGGUUUUAUUCGACCUAGUGUCUAACCUUGGGGCACUCCAGUCUUAUAUGUGAGGAAGAAAGAUCGUUAUCUUAGUAUGUGUAUUGAUUACCGUCAGUUGUACAAGGUUACUAUAAAGAAUAAGUAUCCCCUUCCGAGAAUUAAAGAUCUAUUUGAUCAACUUUAGGGUGCCACCUUCUUUUCUAAGAUAUACCUCAAAUCUGGCUAUCACCAGUUGAGAAUAAGAAAAAGUGACAUUCCAAAGAAUAUAUUGAGGACCCUUUAUGGUCACUAUGAAUUUCUUAUUAUGUCUUUUGGCAUGACUAAUGCUCCUGCAGCGUUCAUGGAUCUUAUGAACAAAGUAUUUAAGCCAUAUCUUGACAUGUUUGUUAUCGUCUUCAUUGAUGACAUACUGAUUUAUUCGAGGAAUAAGGAGGAUCAUGCUAGUCAUCUCAUAGUAGUUCUCCAAACUCUCAUAGAUAGAGAGUUGUAUGCUAAUUUUUCUAAGUGUGAGUUUUGGUUUGAGCCUGUGGCGUUCUUAGGCCACAUUGUAUCCGGAGAAGGGAUCCGAGUUGACACUCAAAAGAUUGAAGCAGUGCAGAAAUGGCCCAGACCCACAUCUCUAACUGCUAUAAGGAGUUUCUUGGGAUUGGCCGGUUAUUAUGGAAGGUUUGUCGAGGGAUUUUCAUCUAUUUCAUCCCCGUUGACAAAGUUGACUCAGAAGAUAGUAAAGUUUCAAUGAUUUGAAGCUUGUGAGAAAAGCUUUCAGGAAUUGAAAACCCAAUUAACUAUUGCCCCAGUGAUGACCCUACUAGAGGGUACACAAGGCUUUGUUGUGUAUUGUGAUCCGUCUAGAGUUGCACUUGGUUGUGUAUUGAUUCAGAAUGGUAAGGUCAAAGCCUAUGCCUCCAAACAACUCAAGGUUCACGACAAGAAUUACCCAACUCAUGAUCUAGAGUUGGUUGUUGUAGUAUUUGCUUUGAAAAUAUGGCGUCACUAUCGCUAUGGUAUUCAUGAAGAUGUGUUCACCGAUCACAAUAGACUUCAGUAUGUUUUCAGUUAAAAAGAGCUUAAUCUAAGGAGGUAGUUAGAGUUACUCAAGGAUUACAAAAUGAGUAUCCUCUAUCACUCUGGUAAGGCUAAUGUUGUUGUUGAUGCUUAUGAGACAUACUGCCCAUAUUGAGGAAGGCAAGAAAGAAUUAGCCAAAGAUGUGCACAAACUUGCACGAUUGGGAGUCCAAUUGUUGGAUUCCAAUGAUGGUGGAGUGGUGGUGAUGAAUGGGGCUGAAUCAUCACUAGUGUUGGAAAUUAAGGAGAAACAAGACCAAAACAACGUUUUGCUUGAGCUAAAGACAAAUAUUCAUAAGCAUAUAGUGAUGGCUUUUGAAUAAGGGGGAGAUAGUCUAUUGAGGUAUCAAGGUAGAUUGUAUGUACCAAGGGUGGACGAACUCCAAGAGAGGAUCAUGGAAGAAGCUCAUAGCUCCAGAUAUUCGAUCCAUCCCGAUUCCACAAAGAUGUAUUGUGACUUGAGAGAAGUCUAUUGGUGGAGUAGUAUGAAAAGGUGUAUUGCAAAGUUCGUUGCUAAGUGCCCGAAUUUCCAACAGGUCAAGGUAGAUCACCAAAGGACCGGUGGUAUGGCUUAGAAUAUAGAUAUUCCGGAAUGUAAGUGGGAGAUGAUCAAUAUGGAUUUCAUUACUAGUUUGUCGUGAUUUCGCAGGCAACAUGAUUCAAUUUUUAUGAUUGUAGAUUGGAUGUCUAAAGCAGCUCAUUUCUUGCCGCUAAAGACUACCUUUUCGACAGAAGAUUAUGCCAGGUUAUAUGUUCAAGAGAUAGUCAGACUCCAUGGAGUUCAUGUGUCCAUCAUUUCAGAUAGAAGGGCACAAUUCACCGCUCAGUUUUAGAAGUCUUUCCAGAAAGGUUUGGGUUCAAAGGUGAACCUUACUACCUCUUUCCAUCCUCAAACUGAUGGUCAAGCAGAGCGUAGAAUUCAGACCUUAGAAGACAUGUUGAGGGCAUGUGUCAUAGACUUCAAGGGUAAUUGGGAUGAUCACUUACCCCUCAUAGAGUUUGCUUACAAUAAUAACUAUCACUCUAGCAUCCAGAUGGCUACUUUUGAGGCUCUUUAUGGGAGGAUAUGUAGAUCUCCUAUUGGUUGUUUAAGGUUGGUGAAGCUGAGUUGAUAGGACCAGAUGUGGUUUAUCAAGCCAGGGAGAAGGUGAAGAUUAUUCAUGAAAGGAUAAAGACAGUGCAAAGUCGUUAGAAAUCCUAUAUAGAUGUUAGGAGAAGAGACUUGGAGUUUGAGGUAGAUGAUUGGGUUUACUUGAAGGUUUCAACCAUGAAGGGUGUUAUGAGAUUUGGCAAGAAUGGGGAACUCAGUCCCGGUAUAUUAGUCCUUACAAGAUAUCUAAGAGAAGAGUUAGCAGCAGUCCAUCCGGUAUUCCACAUUUCUAUGUUGGAGAAGUGUAUGGACGAUCGUUCACUUAUUAUACCUACUGAGAAUAUUGGUAUUAAAGACCGUCUAUCUUAUGAGGAGAUACCCGUUCAGAUUCUUGGCCGUCAGGUUUGCAAGUUGAGAACCAAGAAGGUUGCAUCAGUCAAGGUCUUAUGGAGGAAUUAAUUUGUUGAGGAAGCUACUUAGGAGGCUGAGGAGGAUAUGAAGAAGAGAUACCCACAUCUCUUUGUUUCCGGAGAAAUUCCAAACCAAGGUACUAAUUCUUUGUAAAAGUACUCUUUAAGUUAAUAUGUUGAGUUAUGUGAAUUGCAUGUUGUGUACUUGAUUUGGGGUUGUUAGAUGCUUCCCCUUUGCCCUUUUUGGCUUACUAUGAUCUCAUUCAAGGAUGAAUGUUCCCAAGGGGGAGAUAAUUUAACAUCUCGUACUUCAAAAAGUCAUUAAGAGAUUUGUACAAGAAAAACUUCAGUUUUUAGUUUUGGGUCAACUUCAAAUGACAUAACUUUCAACAAAUAAGAAGUUAGGUGGCCCAUAAGGUAUAAAAUCGAAGGUCUUUGAGUUCUCUUUCCAACGCCACCAAGUUUGCUAUAUUUCGAGCUUGGAUGAAGGAGUUAUGACCAUUUGAGUGCAGCCUCUCUAGUUAGGGCAUUUCUUCCAUUUUAAGGAACGGUAUUUUGGUCUUUUCCUUACCCCAUUAGGCCUAAACGUUUUUUCACCCAAAUAGGGGUCUAAACUGAUAGAGAUUAGUUUUCAUUCAUUCAUAAACGCUUAGGGUUGAGAGAAGGGUUUCAAUAGGAGAAAAAAAAAA